UAUGCUGUAGGUAUAUUCUGGUGGAAUUGGUUCUUAUGCCCUCCUUGCUAUGCUCAUAGCAAUGUUGCAGGUAUGUAACUUCAAAAUCUUACAUGUUGAAUAUUAACCUUUUUUUUUAAAUCAGAAAUGCUAGACUUUGAAUAUCAAUCAAAUUCUUCCAGGUGUGUACACACAAACACAUGCUUAUCUUUGAGCCCCUUAACAACUUGCUAUUGGUUGGCCAGCCAUAAUUUGCAAUGUCUAAAAAGAAGUGAAAAGGGAAUAAUGAGAAAUGUUAGCAACACACAAUAGAACAGUGAAAGGGGGAAAUUUAUAGACUAUGAAAUAUAAUAUGGUAAAACUAUGUUAAACUACUUCUACGAUCAAGUUGUUUUUGACUUGUUCAGGAUUUGGAUAUUAAAUCUACGAUACUAUUCUUGAAGUGUCUAUAACAUAACAAUAGUAUCUGGUACAGACAACUGCUUCAGUGAAGCCACUGCUAAGUACCAAUAACUGAUUCUCAUUCCUUUCUAUAUCUUAGAAUUUAAAAUGUGACGACAUGGUAGUAAAUCAAUUUUUUUUGAAUCCUCACUCUUCCCUCUGUGAAUUGUACUGGACUUUGUAGCUUGUGCCACCCCAAGUAUAAAUUACUGGACAUCAUCUUCCCCUUCAAUUUAGGAGUUUCUUUUUGAUUCAUUUAACUAGGUUGACAUUUUAAAAUGAAAAACAAAAAAUACCAGCGAUUUAUUACUCUAUCAAAGGAGCAUUUUUUUCCCUCCCAUGAUUUCCUUGUUAACUUUUUCUGAUCUUUUUGGAUAACAAUUACCACUUGGUUUGGAAUUCACUGUGGUUAUAUUUCAAGUUAAAUGAGAAGCAUCAAAGUGAUUUUUGACUCUAUAUUAAGGAAGCAUAAUUUUUUACUUCUCUUCGUAUUAAUCUUUUUUUUUGGGAUUGCUAGAAUGUUGUGAUUUUGGAUAUGAUUGGGUUUGAGUUUUAUCGGUAUUGUUUUAUCAUGCUAUGUCUAUAUAAAAUAUUUAAAGGCUGUAACCGAAUGUAAUCUGAACAGGAGCUUGGUUAUAUUUACACUGCCAUUGUCAGUUAAUGCUUUAAAGUUUAUAUCUUGAUUUGCUCUGUUCAAAAUUCCCUUGAAGAAUGUGGACAGGAGAAAUCUGAGUAGGGCUUUGGCUCAAGCUUAAGUGGAAAGGGGGCUGAGAUGGGGUUGUGGGAGGUUCCAAGUUCACAUUGCUGAGGGAACAUUUUAAAAAAGAAAAGAAAAAAAAUUACCUAUCAAAAAAAAUCAAAGAAAAAAAAAAUCCUCUUGGUCAGGUCCAUAUAUGUGCUAUGGGAUCUGAACCUAGCAGGGUCUUAUUCAAUAAGGAAUGAUAAUUGAGCUGUAUGUUUUCAUAUCAAAAGGAACUGGACCCUAUUUGAUUAAUGGCAAUGGUAAAAGUGGAUGUAGGGUUUCCUGUGAUUGCAUGUGGGGUAAAUUUUUCCUCUCUCCAUGUAGGAUUUGGUUAAUCCACUUGCACCUUUGAGAAAAUGCACUUGUUUUUUCUUAUUAGAACCAUUAUUUCCACUGCUGCAAAUGCUGUGCAAUCCUUGGAUAAAUGCAAUAUAUCCCAUGCUUUUUCUAUUAAGAUUUAUCAUUUUCUUUUUCAUGAUUUGUUGCGUUUUCUGUAUAAUGCUUGGGACCAGAAUCUCCAAGAGUGGAAUGCUUCUGUAGAACAUAACUUGGGAGUCCUUUUGGUAUGUGUUCCUCUGCUAUCUGUAUCCUCUGUAUGCUCUCUUUUCCCUGUAUUGUUGUGCUGAAAUUUAUAUUGUUAAAUAACAAAAAACUUGGAAAACAAGAAUUUCAAGUCCAAGCUUGAUAUUGAGUUAUGUUGCACUGAGUGAUAUUAAGAAAUGAACAAACAAGCAAGAAAAAAUCCUUAUCCCCACUCCCACACCCCACAAAAGAAAAAAAGCAUGUUUUGUGGUGUUGCAUAUUUACAUAGUUUUCAUUCUGAUGAAUUGGUAUGAGAUUCUUGAACUAUGGGACUUUGGAAUUUAGUUAAUAUUCUUACCUUUUAUUAUGGGAAUUGAAUUUGUUUAGAUUUUAAAGAUGGAAAAUAAAAUGAGUAAGCUGGACCUAAUUUGUGUGGUAUUCUCUUGUUAAUCUUGUUCUGCAGUUGUGUUUUAUAGCAGUAAAGCAUAGAUGUAGAAUAAAAGCACACAUGGUGGAUUUAUGAAUUGUGCAAUUAGAGAUUGUAAAAAGAAGUCAAAUGUGGAUACACAAAGUUGUAGAUGGUUGUUGAUUUUGGCAUGAUUAAUUUCUGAUGUACUGAGUGACAAACUGGGAUUACAAUUUUCUUCAUUUUAGUUUGUGAUCGGGCACUUAAGGUUUAAUAAAUCAGGGGACAAAAAGGGUUUUCACCAUUGUUGCAUGUGGUAACUCUGCUCAUAAUACUUGAAUUUAUAAUCACUAAUCACAGUUGAUCCAUACAAAUGCAUUAGGAUGCUUCUUGGAGGUAGGAAAUGGUUAUUGUUUUCCUGAUGCCUCCUUCCACUUGGAUAUCACAAGAAAGAUAAAAUCAUAUGCAGUGGAAGGUAGUAUGAUGCUGAGAACUUAACUCUUUUGUAAGUCCAAGUAUAUUUGCAUAUGGACCAUGGAUUGCAUUUUGUUUAGCAUUACUUUUGUAUGGUUAUAUCUUCACUUUGAGAGUUUAGCCUUUGGUUUUUGGGGGAGGGGGACAGGAUGUCAAUAACUUCUACAUUCUUACCAAGCUGUUACUUUGGAGAUAGGUAAACUUCUUUGACUUUUAUGGACGCAAAUUGAACACUGUGGAUAUUGGUGUAACAUGCAAUGGGCCAGGAACCUUCUUCUUGAAAAGUACCAAAGGGUAAAAAAAGAAAAAACCUUUAUGAUGUCAACUGAUCCCCCUUUUCUUCCUGUCUUAGUUUGGGAUCUAUCUCUACUUAUUACAUUCCUUGGUUUUACCCUCUCCUUAGGUUUGUAAAUAAAGGGCAGAAGUUUCUUAUCUCCAUUGAGGACCCACAGGUUACACUGCUCUCUCUCUCUCUCCCUCUCUCUAUCUAUCUAUCUAUUUCUCUCUCUUCCUUUCUCUCCAGAACACAGCCUGAGUGUUGUUCUGCUGGUUUUGCCCCAAAAUUAUUUUUAUUAUAUUUCCUUAAAGAGUGAGAUCUUGACAAAAGCAAGGGAUGUUUCACUUCUUGCUUUUCCAUGAAAUUAUAGGCUUGUAUUUCUGUAUCUUGUUGCAAUCCAUUGUGAUUGGGAACAGAACUAACUGUAAAAUGGGAAACAUGAGGUGACUGUUGCCAUAUAACCAUUUUUUUGCCAUAAUUAUUCACUGAACACAUUCGUUUCCCCUUGAAUCAGCUACCAGGCAAUGACAUUGGGAAAAAUUCCUUCAACUAUUUCCAGGUUUGUUAUGCCAUAUUUUAUUUUUGCUCCAUUCUUCUGCUUUUCUUUCUUUGUAAUGUUUAUCACUGAAUUUUGUUGGUUAGUAGAGAGUUUUGGAAUUCCUUUUGGUGAUAUGCUUGUUUUUAUUUUUACUAUACAUAAAAUAAAUCUGAGCAGUAUGGUUCUGAUGAUCACACAAAUAUUCUAGUAGUUCCAAGAUGUUCAAUAUAUACUCGAAAAACAAAAUAGUAGUAUGGCCUUAGUGAAGAGAAUGAACAUUUUAUGGGGUUACUUGUUCUCCCAUAAUUGUUUUAAUUUUAUGUUUCCCAUCGGUCUCCUCAUGUCACAUCUACUGCCAUCCUCAUGUGUUGGCAACAAGGAUGAGCUAUUCCUCAUAAAGUGACUGUAGUCCACUUCAUUGAUGAACUAUUUUCUACUGUCUUUGCUGUUGCAGAUUCGAUCAGCUUUUUCUAUGGCUUUCUCGACACUGACAAAUGCAAGGACCAUCUUGGGCCUAGACCCCAACCGGAGCAUUCUUGGUACCAUAAUAAGACCAGACCCAAUCCUGCUGGAACGAAAAGGAGGUUCUAAUGGGACCAUGACUUUUGACCAUUUGCUCCCUGGGGCAGGGGAACCAUUGUCGCCACAAACUGGGGGCCAAGAGUUAUUAUGCAACUGGCAGGUUGAGGAUGCAGAAGAAGAGCCACUGCCACGCAGCAAUCCAAUUGCAGGGGAUGGCAGUGCAAAUUCUUCAGGAAAGAAACGGAAGGCUUCGAAAGAGAGACUUCGUAACAAGGUGAAAGAACACGCAGAUAUGGAGAAAGACAAAAGUAAAAAGAAGAGAAGGUGGAAACAUCAAUGAGAUGCUGAAGGCAAUGAUCUUGGCUGUUAUACGCUGGCAGGUCAACGUGGAAUGGUAGAUUACAUGCUUGCAUCUUUGGCUGCAAUAUCCAGUUUCUGCAUCCCCACAAUCAGGUCCUGAAUGCGGUAUGCUCCAACUACAUCUUCAUGGCUUUUGCAGAUCUGCAGGGAGCGCAAUCCCUCGGGCAUUGGCACAGACCAGAAGGAUUCAAAGCCCCAUACAAGGCUAUGUUUUUUGGGUAGAUUUCUUCAAAACUGGAAGACUUGAGUUAUUUUUGAAUUAGUGCUUUCCCCCCCCCUUAUUUAUGGACAAUUUACUUUAUGAUGGGUUUGAAUGAUGAACCCAACCCAUCACCAUUACAAAAUAUACACCAAAAUCCUAGUGUCUAGUCCUGAAAUCUGUUGAAGAAGUAUAGGGUUCACACCUGCUGAUUUUGCUUGAACAUGUACAUUGAAACAUUUUGAUGUAAUGGAAGCUAAAAGGAUGGAGAAAUUUUGUAUUUUUCUUCUCAACAUUGAUUUUUCAGUUACCUCUCACUUUUCCUACUUGAUAAAUAACCAAUCUUUAACCUCUAUUUAACUCUAUUUCAUGGAAUUUAGAGUGUCUUUACCUAUGGCAUGUUUCCCCAUAACUGGUUAUUCUAAAAUGUGAGAAAAUAGAAAAGGAAAAAAAAAAAGGGAAAAAAGAUUGAAAGAUAACAAAAAUGUAAUGGCAAACUAAACUAAAAAAAACGGAAAAAAAAAACAAAAAUUUUAAAGUAUGAUAUAAGAGAAAAUAUGAAAUAUGAAUAUUUAUAUAUUUAAAAUCAAACAUUAUCUUUAUAAAGAAUGAUAUAGAUAUUUUUUGGUUAGAAAUAAAUCAUAAUGAAUAGUAAUAAAAUUCAUUUCUUUAUUAUUUAUUAUAUAUAUUUUUCGGGAUUUGAGGAUCUCCUAUACAUAUAACUAAAUAUUAAACUCAUUUCAAAACUAAAUCUAGAGUAUUCAUGAAUUUACAAACUUAGGUGGUGUUUGUUUUUUUAUUUAAUUCUAAAUAAAGCCUUAAUGUUUAAUAGUGUUAAAUAUUAGAUUGUUUGUUUUUGUAGUAUUUUAUUUUUAUUAAAUAUUAAAAAGUAAAGAAAAAUCAAUAAGUUAUUUUUUCUAUUUAAAAAAAGCUAAAUAUUUUGGUUUUUUAUAUUCAGUAAAAAGUUUAUAAUAAGUCAUGAAAAAAUAGAAAAACAAAUAAUUUAAAUUCUGAAAACAAAUUGUUUUCAACAAAAAGUAAAAAAAACAAGCAUCCUCUUAGUCUUACCCUUACUCUUUUCCUUUGGUUUUAAAAUAAACUCAAUAACCAUAUCCAAGACUCUAUACCAUUAAGUACCCAAGACGACGUAGUAUAUAAUGAAUGAGUAAACUUCAAUACUAGAACAUGAAAAUAUCUGCACAUGGAAAAAUACUUGAACAUGGAAAUAUCUUAAUAUAUCUUAACUUGAAAAUUUACAAGGAUAAAUAAUUUACAAUGGAAAUUUUGAAAAUUCCUAUGCUUUACAUCAAAAGAAAAAGAUGGAAAAAAAUGAGAGAGGAAAGAUUGGUUCGUAUGGAAAUAUGUGAAAUCUUUAACUUUUGUGUUAAAAAUCUUAUUGUCGUCUUGUGAACACCAAUUUUAUGAACAUCAAUCUUUCUGUAGACAUAUUCAUUCUUAUGCUUUAACUCUGUGAACACCAUGUGAAACUUAAAAUACCUUAACUUUUGUCUAGAAAAUCUUCAUAUGAACUCUUCAGCUUUUGUCUGAAGCCUAUCUCAAUGACUAUUCUAAAGAAUCUCAAUGAUUGAACUACUAUUGUUUAUCAACUUGAUUUUCUCAUGGAAGGAAAGAUUUCUUUAGUCAUAUUUAUUCUCUUGUAAAUAGAAUGUUGAUGGAACUUGUGAUCCAAAUUUUUUCUUGUCAGUCAACAUCAUCUUCCUCUUUGUGUGAAAAUAGGAAGAGAUUGCCCUUAAGGAGCUUCUAGUAUUCUUUCAAGAUUUUUGCAAUAAAGGGUUAGACUUGGAUAUGUUGUUUUUUAACGAGAAACAAACAUAUACGAUGACAUGUAAUAUUAUAUAAAAUUUUAAUUAUAUUUUUUUCACUUUAUAUUAUUAAAAUUCAGAACCAACCAAGAUUCUACAAAUAUAAUUUUUUAAAAACCAAUUCAUGUUUUUUAAUCAAAUAAAUUUUCAAAGAAUAAUAUAUAUUAUAAAAAAUAUUUUAAGCUAAUAAUAUUUAUAAAGUAAACAAUAUAAACCAAGCCAGCUAUAAAAGAGAAGUAAAGUUGAUAAGUUUGAUAGUUUGUAAAGUUGAUAAGUUAAUUAGUGUCCAUAUGUAAAUUAAAUUUCAAGCAUUACGAGUAUGUAUUUUUUUUCUUAUCAAAAUAAAUUCAAUUAAAAAAAUUUUAAUGUUAUAAAUAAAAAACAAAAUUUUCUCUUGGUGAUUGUUUGAAUUUAUAAAUAGAAACUAGAAAUAUCUUUGUCAAAGAUGAAGACAUUAUUUAAUUUAUUUUUUAACUUUUUAAUCGCAUAAUAAUCGAAGGAUUUAUAUAAUUAUAGGAUUUUAUAAUAAUUUUUAAAAUUAAAUUUUAGAGUGAUAGAUAACCUUCAAAUAGUGUAAAAUUUAGAGUAAUAAUGUCUAUUGUAAUAAAAAGAAAUUAUAAGAUGUGUCACAAGGGCAAAGUUGACCAAAACAUGAAAGAAAAAAAAGGUAUAAUAGAAAAAAUAGAAAAGAAAAAUGGAAUGAAAAAACAUUUAAACUAUAAAAGAAAAAUUAAAUGGAUAAUGACACAAUGAUUUUUGUUUAUAUUUGUUGGAUUGUGAAUCUUGAAUCAGUUUUGUUAUAUUUAGUUUUUAUUGCAUUUUAUUCGAGAUGUCAAUGUUAAGUUGUUCGGUCAAUUAGCAAAGGUUGAAGAGGGCAGUACCCAUGAAUUUUAUUUUAUUUUAUUUUUUUAAUGAAUGACGAGUUUGCCUGUAUUAUAUAUAUUUAACCCCUUUUAUGUUUUAGGGUUUGAUUUUUGAAAUGGUGCAACCAUAAUUGAGAGGUAUUUUUUAGAGUUUCACCAUUGUAUUCUUUCGUAUUUUAUUUGAUUAGUGGAUUAUUAAAUGUUAGUACACUCCAUGAGCGGUAAGGAUCACAUUGAUCUCCCAACCAUGUCAAAAAAUUUACGUUCUUUUUUUUUUUUUCUAUUUUGUGUGUGUGCAUGAUUUGGUUAACAACAUUUACUCUAAUAUUUUAUUUUAUACAAGUAAAACAAGUAUAUUAUAAAUAAAAAAAAUUAUCAGUGGGAUUGCUGAUUAAAAUGCCUAUUUUGAAGGACAAACACAUUACACGUUGUUUUUGAACUUUUGUAAUCCCAUGAUAAUUGUAAGUUUUAUAUAGUUAUAAGAGUUUAUACUAAUUUUUUAAAAUCAAAAUUUAAAUUAAUAUAUAACUUAUUCAUAGGGGAAAAGAGAAAAAAAUGGAACGUAAAAGAAGAAACAAACAAAUAAGUAAACUAUAAAAGAAAAUUAAAAUUAAAUAGAUAAUGAUAUAUUAAGUUUUUUUAUUUUCUUUAUCAUCCCACAUCGAUAAAUAUUUGACUAAUUUAUACAUUUAUUAUAAUGGAUAAUAACGAAACUGCACGCCGAGCUUCCUAACGAGAGCUUCUAACCAAGUGGGGCAUUAAGGUGGUUGGACAUGGUGGUAGACCUUAUCAUACCCGUAAGUAGCGGGCCACAAAAAUUAUGAUACGGAUACAAUACACUACACAUAUGAACAACCAACCUUUUAUUUUUUUCUCCAUAUUUUACUAUUUUCUCUCACUGAUUUUAAAUACUAAUAAUUUAUCUAAUCAAAUCCGUACUUAUCUAUUUUCAUUUUCUUUUCUAAUUCUAUCUCAUCCUAAUUUUUCUCACACAAAUUAUUUUUUUAGGUGGGGUAAACUUUUAAAUUUUACUAUUUUAUAUAAAAUAAAAAAUAAAAAAUUUAUAAAAUCUAUUUACUAUUGAUAAAAUUAUUAUUCUAUUCUGGAAUUACAAAAGUUCUAAAAACAAAGUAAUAUGCUUGUCCUUAAAAUAAACUUUUUAAUCAAUAAGUCCUAUGAUAAAAAUUUUAUUUUUUAUUUAUAAAAUGGAAAUUAUUUGUUGAGCUUAUUAAUAGUAAAUAUUCAUAAAGCUUGAAACUUAAUUUAAAAAUGACCAGCAAUAACUUAUUAUAUAUCUUUUUUUUUACUCUUAAAGACAAAUAAUAGAAUAAUAAUUUUAUCAAUACUAAAUAGAUUUUAUAAAUUUUUUUCAAAGUUUUUCCUAUGUUUAAAUAUUUUCUUAUAAAUUUUAAAUAAAAUUAAACAUAUAGAUUUUAAAUAAAAUUUAAAAUAAAAAUAUUUUCUUAUGUUCCACUAUUUUCUUACUGAUUUUAAAUAAAAUUAAAAACAAAAACAAGCAAAUAAUUUAUAAAAUCAAUUUAGUGUCAAUGCAUAUUUAUUAAAUAAAAUCUCAAUGACUAUUAUAAAGAAUCUCAAUGAUUGAACUACUAUUGUUUAUCAACUUGAUUUUCUCAUAGAAGGAAAGAUUUUUUUACGGUCAUAUUUAUUCUCUUGUAAAUAGAAUGUUGAUGGAACUUGUGAUCCAAAUUUUUUCUUGUCAGUCAACAUCAUCUUCCUCUUUGUGUGAAAAUAAGAAGAAAUUAUCCUUAAGGAGCUUCUAGUAUUCUUUCAAGAUUUUUGCAAUAAUGGGUUAGGCUUGGAUAUGUUGUUUUUUUUUCUAACGAGAAACAAACAUAUACCAUGGCAUGUAAUAUUAUAUAAAAUUUUAAUUAUAUUUUUUUUCACUUUAUAUUAGUAAAAUUCAUAACCAAACAAGAUUCUACAAAUAUAAUUAAAAAAAAAACAAUUCAUUUCUUUUAAUCAAUUAAAUUUUCAAAGAAUAAUAUAUAUUAUAAAAAACAUUUUAAGCUAAUAAUACUUAUAAAGCAAAUAAUAUAAACCAAGUCACCUAUAAAAGAGAAGUAAAGUUGAUAAGUUCCAUAGUUUGUAAAGUUGAUAAGUUAAUGAGUGUCCAUAUUUAAAUUAAAUUUCAAGCAUUAUGAGUAUGUAUUUUUUUUCUUAUCAAAAUAAAUUCAAUUAAACAAAUUUUAAUGUUAUAAAUAAAAAACAAAAUUUUCUCUUGGUGAUUGUUUGAAUUUAUAAAUAGAAAAUUAGAAAUAUCUUUGUCAAAGAUGAAGGCAUUAUUUAAUUUAUUUUUUAACUUUUUAAUCGCAUAAUAAUCGAAGGAUUUAUAUAAUUAUAGGAUUUUAUAAUAAUUUUUAAAAUUAAAUUUUAGAGUGAUAGAUAACCUUCAAAUAUUGUAAAAUUUAGAGUAAUAACGUCUAUUAUAAAACAAAGAAAUUAUAAGAUGCGUCACAAGGGCAAAGUUGACCAAAAAAUGAAAGAGAAAAAAUAUAAUAAAGUAUAAUAGAAAAAAGAGAAAAAAAAAUGGAAGGAAAAAACAUGUAAACUAUAAAAGAAAAAUUAAAUGGAUAAUGAUACAAUGAUUUUUGUUUAUCUUUGUUGGAUUAUAAAUCCUAAAUCAGUUUUGUUAUAUUUCGCUUUUGUUACACUUCACUCGGGAUGUAAAGGUCGAGUUGUCUGGUUGGCUAGCAAAAGUUGAAGAGGGCAACACCCGUGGAGAAAUUUCUUUUAUAUAUAAUGAGUUUGCCCCUAUUUUAUAUAUUUAACAUUUUUAUGUUUUAGGAUUUGUUUUUUUUGAAAUGGUGCAAUCAUAAUUGAAAGGUUUUUUUGAGAGCUUCAACAUUGUAUUCCUUUAUAUUUCCUUUGAUUAGUGGAAUGUUAAAUAUUAGUGCACUCCAUAAACGUAAGGAUCACAUUGAUCUUUGAACUAUGUUAAAAAUUUCACGUUCUUCCUUUUUUAUUUUUUUAUUUUAUGUGUGUGCAUGAUUUGGUUAACAAUAUUUACCCUAAUAUUUUAUUUUAUACAAGUAAAACAAGUAUAUUAUAAAAAAAAAAUUAUAAUAAGUUUAAUAAAAUAAUUUUUAUUUUAUAAAUAAAAAAAUUAUCAACACGUUUUUUUUGAACUUUUGUGAACCCAUGAUAAUUGAAAGUUUUAUAUAGUUAUAAAAGUUUAUACUAAUUUUUAAAAUCAAUUUUUAAAGUAAUAUAUAACUUAUUCAUAGAGGAAAAGAGAAAAAAAAUGGAACGUAAAAGAAGAAAAUACAAACAAACAAACCGAUAAGUAAACUAUAAAAGGAAAUUAAAAUUUAAUAGAUAAUAAUACAUUAGGUUUUUUAUUGUCUUUAUUAUCCCACAAUAAACACUUAACCAAUUUAUAUCUUUAUUAUAACGGAUAACAACGAAACAAUAUGCCGAGCUUCCUAAUGAGAGCUUGUAACCAAGUGGGGCAUUAAGGUGGUUGGACAUUGUGGUAGACCUUAUCAUACCCGUAAGUAGUGGGCCACAAAAAUUAUGAUAUGGAUACAAUACACUAUACAUAUGAACAUCCAACAUUUUAUUUUUUCUCCAUAUUUUACUAUUUUCUCUUAUUGAUUUUAAAUACUAAUAAUUUAUCAAAUCAAUUUAGAGUCGGUACUUACCUAUUUUCCUUUUCUUUUCUAAUUCUAUCUCAUCCUAAUUUUUCUCACACAAAUUAUUUUUUUAGGUGGGUUAAACUUUUAAAUUUUACUAUUUUAUAUAAAAUAAAAAAUAAAAAAUUUAUAAAAUCUGUUUACUAUUGAUAAAAUUAUUAUUCUAUUCUGGAAUUACAAAAGUUCUAAAAACAAAGUAAUAUGCUUGUCCUUAAAAUAAACUUUUUAAUCAAUAAGUCCUAUGAUAAAAAUUUUAUUUUUUAUUUAUAAAAUGGAAAUUAUUUGUUGAGCUUAUUUUAAUAAAAUAGUAAAUAUUCAUAAAACUUGAAACUUAAUUUAAAAAUGACCAGCAAUAACUUAUUAUAUAUCUUUUUUUUUACUCUUAAAGACAAAUAAUAGAAUAAUAAUUUUAUCAAUACUAAAUAGAUUUUAUAAUUUUUUUUUCAAAGUUUUUCCUAUGUUUAACUCUUAUAAAUUUAAAAUAAAAAUAUUUUUUUAUAUUUUACUAUUUUCUUACUGAUUUUAAAUAAAAUUAAAAACAAAAACAAGCAAAUAAGUUAUAAAAUCAAUUUAGUGUCAAUACAUAUUUAUUUUCCUUUCCUUUUCUAAUUCUAUUCCAUCCUAAUUUUUCUUAUACAAAUUAUUUUCCAUUCCUUUUAAUUUUUCUAAGGCAUUAUCUUAUUUUCAACAUUUUAAUUGCACAAUAAUUGAACGAUUUAUAUAAUUGUAGGAGUUUAUAAUAAUUUUCAAAAUCAUAAUGUCUAUUGUAAUAAUAAAAAAAUAUAUAAUAUAAAAGAAAAGAAGAAGAUAGAAAUGGAAGAAAAAUAAAAUAAAAUAGAGAAUGAUACACUAAUUUUUUAUUUACAUUUACCCUAAUAUUUUAUUUUAUACAAGUAAAACAAUAUAAAAGAAAAAUAAAAUUAAAAAAUAUAAUAAACUCAAUCAAAUAAUUUCAAUGGAAAAUUUGAAAAUUCCUAUGCUUUUUUACAUCAAAAGAAAAUGAUGAAAAAAAAUGAGGGAGGUAGGAACGAUGGUUCGUAUGAAAAUAUGUGAAAUCUUUAAUUUUUGAGUUAAAAAACUUAUUGUCAUCAUGUGAACACCAAUUUUACAGUGGGUAUGUGAACACCUUUUAGCUUUUAUGUGAAAAAUCUUACUAUAGUCAUAUGACAUCAAUCUUUCUAUUGACAUAUGCAUUCUUAUGCUUUAACCUAAAAAUUCUUAUAGAAACUCUGUGAACACCAUGUGAAACUUAAAAUACCUUAACUUUUGUCUAGAAAAUCUUCAUAUGAACUCUUCAUCUUUUGUCUGAAGCCUAUCUCAAUGGCUAGUGUGGACCCCGCAUUUCGAUUGCUCGAUGCGUUUCCCACUCGAUGGCGAGCUCGAAUUUUAAUUUGAAAAAUUGAUUUAUAUUGAUUAUGAAAAUGACUUGGAGUCGCCACUUAUUUUUGUUUUAUUUUUAAAGGGUAAACAAAAUAAGAAAGAAAAACCCUAAGUGUGACUCCUUAUUUUGGAAAAGGUGGUCUGUGAAAAACCGGAUCGGGUUCGGGGGUCAGGUUACUUAUCAGGAAGGUACGGUAAAAACCGUAGCACCCUUCUAAGUCCCUAAAAACGGGUCUCUACUAAUAAAAUGAAGCAAUCAUGGCAAUUGAUGAGGAAAUCAAUGAAUACUCAGAGUGAUCAUGCACACGUGAGAAUUUAAACGUGCAUAUCGAAAAUGACCAGAGCGGAUGUAGAUGCGUACCUGGGCAGUGAUCCAUGAAGCGCUAUCAAGAAGUGACGUUAGUGCACAAUUAAGAAAUAAUAGCAUGCACGUCGUAGAGCAGGAUAAAUAAAUAGCGCGUGACAAACAAAUCAAUCAAUCAUAAAAUCACGUAUGUGGGGCCCCCACCAAAGCCCGAUUGAUCUUGCACGAAUUAAUCUCACAAAUUCCAUUGUUCUGAAAUUAUGAAAAUGACAUUCACGCUUAUCUAAAAUUAAGAGAAAAAGAAGAUUAUUUGAAAACCAAAGUGGAAUUAAAAUUGUUCGAGUGAAAACUGGAUUUUUGAAAUUUAUUUGAAAAUUGAAGUCCCGAAGAUUAUCUGAUAAUUGGAGCCUUGGGAAUUGAAUUUAAGAAUGGGAAAAAGAAAUUGGAAUUUUUUUAAAAGGAUUUGAGAAUUGGUGUCUUGAAAAUUAAAUUUAAGAAUUGGAACUUUGAAAAUUAAAUUUUAAAGAAAUUGGAAAUCUUAAAAUUAUUUGAGAAGUAAAAAUUGUGAAAAUUAAAUUUAAGAAUUUGAGUUUUAGAAACUAAAUUUAAAAGAAAUUUGAAUUUUGGAAAUUAUGAGAAUUUGAAUUUUGAAAAUUAAAUUUAAGAAUUGGAGUUUUAAAAAUUAAUUUUUGAAAGAAAUUGGAGUCUUGGAAAUUGAAUUUACGAAUGAGAAUUUUGGAAAUUAUUUAAAUGUUGAAUUUUUAAAAAUAAACAAAUAAAUAGGUGAGUAAAAUGAUAAUGAUUAAAUAAAUUGAUAUGAAAAUUGAAAUUUCGAAAAUUGGAAUUUAGAUUUAAAAAAUGGAAAUUUAUACGAUUAUUUGAAGAUAAAAGUUUUGGGAAUCAAAAUUUUAGAAAAUUAAAAUAAAUAAAUAAAGAUAGAGAAUUAAAAUGGAAUGGUGGUGCACACGCGUGAAAGGAAAAAAAAAAAACAAAGGCAAUUUAAGUGGAGGAAAACAGUGAAAUAAUUAAAUAAAUAAAUUGGGUUAGGUGGCUGCAUAAGAGAAUGGGAAGAAUGGAAAUGAGUUGACCAAGUUGGGGCCCUCAUUCCAAGCUUCACUUCUCCACGUGUUCAACUUCCUCUUGUUCUCCUCCCUUCCUCUCAGCUACCACAAAAACGAAAUGGCCUUCCUCUUAGUUUCUUCUUUCCCCUCAAAACCGCUCAUCCAUGGACAUAACCCACACGAACCAGAAAAUAAUAAUAAGGGAAUUCACAGCUCAUUUUUGGUAAAGGCCACUCAGCAUUUUCCGUUCCUAGCCUCACAACCCAACAAUGAACUCACCAAUUUAAAAUAACAUGUAUGGCAGAAAAAAAAAAAAAAUGCUGGGUAACAUGAAGCAUAUGAACCCAUAUAUGUUAUAGCCUCAAGUGAAAUCACAGAAAAUGAGAAAAUGGCAUAGCAAUCACAUUCAAAUGGUGAAUGAAAGCUAAAACAACAAGGCAAAUGCAUGAAUGUGAAAAUAUAAUGAGAAACAUGAACAGAAGAAGAAAAAAAAAAAAAACCGCAAAGCACGCACCUAGAAAGCUCUUCUCCAGCAAAAAUCCGUGAGAAAACCCCUCAGUUCUUCCCUUCCCCCUUUCUCAUUUUCUCUCCUUCUUCUUCAAGCUUCACUCCCUCCAGCCGAUUCCUACCUUCUCGGGCAAGCCAUUACCUGCUUCCCUGUUCAUCUCUGCAGGUAUGGGCUCCUCCAACUCCAGCAUGGCCUCUGCCACGUCUCUUUCUCUCCUCCCAUCUGGUGGUCCCCCCUUUGUUUAAAAGAGAAAUGCCCAGAAGAGAGAAAAAAACUCUCCCCCCCGGGCCCUUCAUAAAAGGGGGUCUACAAAUAUGCCCCUCUUCAGUAGAGCUCACGAGUGUAAGGAAUAUGAACACUGGAGUGAAAGGUAAGUGUGAAUAGUGAGUGGAAUGAAGUGAACUCUACCGAAGAACCAAGGAGACCCCCAUUGGGACUCUAGUGAAAUGCAAAUUCACUCAGGCUAGCGAACGAACACAAAGGCUCUGAUCCUAAAAGAAGAAAGAUGUCUCAAAAUGCCUCUAAAGCCACACUAAGGAUCCAGGUUCCCUCUAAGAUGUCUCCAAAAGUGACUCGAAGAUCGAUGUCAAAGAUGAGUAACGGUCGAAUCACCCUGGAGCACAAGAAAGAAUGUGCCCAAAGGAAACUACCCUAUGUGAACUACAUGAGAAGACUAGGUGUAGGGCGCCCAACGACAUGACAAAAACACGCAUCACGGAAUCAAAGAACUAUGUCAUGUGCAAUGGAAUGGGAAGUCUAGAAGAGCAAUGACGAUAAAAAAUAAGCUCCAGGUAACUGAGUGAGGAAAAUGACUCUGAAAAACCAAAAUGGAGGAAUAAUGGUGACUCAGAAUGCAAAGAAGACUCAACUCAAACCGACAAAACAAUGACCGAUCGUAUAGGUGCGGUCUCGACUCAAACUGAUAAGAUGAUGACCGAUCGUAUAGCUGCGGUCCCAGAAACUGAAUUGACAUGACAAAAAGAUGACCGAUCGUAUAGGUGCGGUCCCAGAAACUGAACUGACAUGACAAAGAGAUGACCGAUCGUAUAGGUGCGGUCCCAACUCAAACUAACACGAUAAUGACCGAUCGUAUAGGUGCGGCCCCGACUCAAACUGACACGAAUAAUGACCGAUCGUAUAGGUGCGGUCCCAACUCAAACUAACACGAUAAUGACCGAUCGUAUAGGUGCGGUCCCAGAAACUGGACUGACAUGACAGGAAGAUGGCCGAUCGUAUAGGUGCGGCCCCGACUCAAACUGACACGAUAAUGACCGAUCGUAUAGGUGCGGUCCCAGAAACUGAACUGACAUGACAAAGAGAUGACCGAUCGUAUAGGUGCGGUCCCGACUCAAACUGAUAAGAUGAUGACCGAUCGUAUAGGUGCGGUCCCAGAAACUGAACUGACAUGACAGGAAGAUGGCCGAUCGUAUAGGUGCGGCCCCGACUCAAACUGAUAAGAUGAUGACCGAUCGUAUAGGUGCGGUCCCGACUCAAACUGAUAAGAUGAUGACCGAUCGUAUAGGUGCGGUCCUAGAAACUGAACUGACAUGACAGGAAGAUGGCCGAUCGUAUAGGUGCGGCCCCGACUCAAACUGACAAGAUGAUGACCGAUCGUAUAGGUGCGGUCCCGACUCAAACUGAUAAGAUGAUGACCGAUCGUAUAGGUGCGGUCCCAGAAACUAGACUGACAUGACAGGAAGAUGGCCGAUCGUAUAGGUGCGGCCCCGACUCAAACUGACACGAUAAUGACCGAUCGUAUAGGUGCGGUCCCAGAAACUGAACUGACAUGACAAAGAGAUGACCAAUCGUAUAGGUGCGGCCCCGACUCAAACUGACACGAAUAAUGACCGAUCGUAUAGCUGCGGUCCCAGAAACUGAAUUGACAUGACAAAAAGAUGACCGAUCGUAUAGGUGCGGUCCCAGAAACUGAACUGACAUGACAAAGAGAUGACCGAUCGUAUAGGUGCGGUCCCAACUCAAACUAACACGAUAAUGACCGAUCGUAUAGGUGCGGUCCCAGAAACUGAACUGACAUGACAAAGAGAUGACCGAUCGUAUAGGUGCGGUCCUGGAAACUGAAUUGACAUGACAAAGAGAUGGCCGAUUGAUAUAGGUGCGGCCCCGGACUCUAACAGACAAGACAAUGACCGAUCGAUAUAGGUGCGGUCUCGACUCAAACUCAAACUGAUAAGACAAGAUGAUGAAUGACCUGAUCAAGUGACCCAAAACCAAAGGAUGACCCAGAUAAUGAUGCAAGUAAACUCGGGAGGGGAUAUGCCCCAGUAUGACAACUCAUAAGGAUCGAAAACUAGGUCGAAAGAUAAUGAAGCCUGUGAAAGGUCCGAUGAUCUCGGAGAAGGAGGGUAUGCCCCAGUAUGCAACUCUCGGGGUCGACAACCAGAUCAAAAGUGAAUGAAACCUGUCGAAGGUCCAAUGCUCUCGGAGAUGGGGUAUGCCCCAGUAUGUAAUGAUGAACAGACAGAGAAGCAAAAUGCCUCAAAACUACUGUACUCUGAGAUAUGCUCAUCCAUCAUGUAAUGAAAAUGUCCAACCUCAAAUAAGUAAUGCCAAACAGGACUAUGUAUCGUGAUACCAUGCUGACUAAACAGAAAUGACUGACGAAUAAAAACAAUGAUGACCAAUGUCCGAAAUGCGAAAAACAAGCAAAUCAACACUCAACAUGCCAACUGUCAAAAUGAAAGCAUCAACACUAAUAAGUCAGCAAUCUGUCAGGCCCUGCCAUCAUGGAAGAUGUUGAACCUAAAGUCCAAAAGAUAUAUGAAAGCACAACCAAGGUGAUCGAGGACUGAUCUACAUCUCCUCAUAAUCGAGAAAGGAGUGAGGUCAUGUGCCAUGGUAAGAUGUGAAGGAUAAAAGAAGGUGAUGGUCAGGCUCCGGUAUGAUAGAAGGUAUGAAAGUAUCCAUGGUGAAACGUCUGAGUAUGAAAUGAAAGGUAGGGAGAUAUCAGAGAUCAUCCAAGUAUGCCGAGAAGACUAAACCCGAGGUGUCAAUAGCUCCAUAAUCCAUCGAAAGCAGUAAUCACAAACAGGAAGUCAAGCCUCAAUGUCAAAACCUCCAACAAGGUGGCUAUGCCCCAGUAUGCAAUGAGGACAAUAUGAAAUAAUCCAAUGAUCUCCAUGUCACUCGUCAGGUGCUCCAAUGUCAAGAACCCAUCUGAUCUCCCUCCAAAAGAUGGACAUGCCCUAGUGUAAAUGAUCCAAAUAGGGUGGCUAUGCUCCAAUGAAAAAUGCUCUCCAUCCCGGCUAUGCCCCAGUGUAAAGUAGUGUAUCCGAGUCAACAAAUCAAUCAACCUCUACUCCUGGUGCCAAAACGGAAACAUCUCAACAUAAUCCAUAUGAAUCAGAAUCCCCGGGCUCCAUGAAUGUGAAUGCGGUGGCUAUGCCCCAGUAUAAACCAACUGAAGUGACUAUGCUCCAAUGACCAAUCAAAGUCCAUCACCAAUGAGAGGGCUACGCCCCAAAUAAAAUCGUCAUCUCAAAAACCAACCAUCGAUGAGUAGAGCGUGUCCCAAUGCAGAGUAUCGAGUAGAGCGACUGUAUCUCCAAUAAAAACGCCCUCUGAAAUGGCUAUGCCCCAGUGUAGGGUCAUCCAACAACUCCUAAUCCAUCAUAAACCAAGUGAAAAAGCGAACUGACUAUGCCUCAGUGCAAGGUAUCAUCCUGGAAGAAAACGUCAUCGAUGAGCAGGGUAUGCCCCAGUGUAGAUAAUGUCGCCUCUGAAAAUCCAUCACUGAUAAGAGGGGUAUGGCCCAGUGUAAAUCAUCAUCUCAACUCCCCAUCCAUCAUGCUCUGAGAAAUAAUCUCCGACCAAGAUCGAGUAUCGCCCACGUGGGAGCUAUCAAACACGAUGUAAAGUAAUGGCCUCAGGGUGGUCUUCAGACACGGGACGUAACGUAGGCUAAGGUUAUAGGGUGAAAGAAAUGAAAGGAAACUAGGCUCAAAGAUCCCAAUGAUAUAAUCCCCAUACCCCUCGUGCAUGAAAUGCAAUGCAUAGAAAACGUCAUGAGUCCCGAAUCUAGGGGUCCCCACACGAAAAAUGGUGAUAAAUGAAUGGUCACAUCGAGUAAACAAGAAUAAAGUGUGGAUGCUGAACCCAUGUCGAACAUCGAGCAGGAUGAGAAAAUAAUGAAAUCCGAUGAGGUAAGGUCAAACGGAGGAAUAAAAUAAGGAUAGAAGAAGGCGCAAAGAUAGAAAAAAUGAGUGAUGGUCAACCUACAUCAAAGCAUGGAAAGUAGUCACAUCCGAAAUAAAUGGAAUGAUGGAUAGAGCAAUGAUCCAGAGAUACUAAAGAAAAGUCGCUCGUCUCUCUCACAAAAAUCGAAUGGAUGACUCAUACUCUCACCCAAAAUGUACACUAAGAUAGAAUCUCAGAAAGAAGCUCUCAUACAAACUCUCUCUGACACAUAAACUGAAUGAAGCAAACCGGCACGUCCAUACACAUGCCCAAUGGAAAAAUAAUAAAAUGAACAAUGCGCUAUCUUUUUUUUUUUUUUUUUUUUUUUUUUUUUUUUUUUUUGCGCAUACUCUGAUCAAUAAUGAAUGAACUCCCAUGAAAAUACAUACCCAAAUGAUCAAACCCUCUCCACAUACGAAUGUAACAUGAAUCCUCACCAACAAGACAACCUCUCAAAAUAACAUCUUUGAACCACUGCCCAUGGGGUGAAUGAUAGGAAAGAAUGUGACAACCCUCCAUGCAGUGACGUGUGAGAAACCACCACUCAAGGUGGAACAAAAAUAAUGUCGAGUAAGUAAUGAUGUGAGAAAAGACAAAGAACGAAUAUCGCAAGUGGUGAUAUGUGAUAUCGGAAAAUAGUGAUGAAAUGAUGACCAAGUGGAAGAUAUCACAAUGAAGAGUGAGGAAUGAGACCCGAAUAUGUGUGUCAGGUCUAGAACUCAUGACGUAUCCAAACAUAGCAUGCAAGCACUACAGGGUCCCCAACCCGGUGUAAUAGGUAAAUGAGGUGAUGAAAGAAAAGGCUAUGUGCUCGUGUGAGGCUCGAAGGGCUAGCAACGGGUAACUCUAUAUGUAAGGGUGAUAAAGUAAAUAGGCUCAUGAAAUGAUGGCCACCCAUCCUUUGACCACAACCUCAAACAUCGUGCUUUCAAGAUUCCACAUGGUCAAUACUGAAGACUGGCAUCCAUCCAACAAGGUCAUGACGACUCCUCUAAAAUCGUACGAAAGCCCUCACUGAUGCUCUAUGAUAACCAUCAAUGUCCUCUGAAAAUCAACUCACUCUAUCAUCACAAGCCACUCACCAUCGUCUCAUAAAAAGAACCAUCUCUAAUCACCCUGGCUCCCUAAAGUCAUGUGUAAUGACUCAAAUCCAGAUGCUCCAUGACGACUCCUCUGCCUCAACAACAUCGUCAAGCAAUCAAGCCACUCUCUCAUCAUGAUCCAUCUAUCUUUGUGUAGAGCUCACCUCAGGUCAAACCAUCUUAGACACUACCAGGUCAGAUCAAGGAAAUGAUGGAAAGAAUAGGCAAUGGUACUAUAAUAUACGAAGGCGAAUAAGAAUGGUAAAGGUCAUAUAACGGUACCAAGAGGUGGUGUCAUGUCAAGCUCAAAAUGGGUAGGUCAUCAAGUCCAUAGAGUCAAGGUAUGGAUAUUGAUAUGGGUAUGGUACUGCUCUGAACGGAAGGUGAAAUGGGUCACAGUCUCGAACUCCCUAAGUCGAUCUCCUAAUCCUAGGUCAAAAGGCUCAAUAUCCUCCAUGAUAGGUUAGACUAAAGUGAUCAUGAUGUAUAAGUGAAAAUAUGUCUCAAAUCAAAAGCAUAGCACACAUCAACGCAAGAUAUGCAAAACAUACUCAUUAGAAAAGAGAAUAACACAUACUCAAAAUAAAAGAUCAUGUCACUGAAUGAACCAAAUGAGUACAUCAUGUGUGAAGCGAUAAAGGACUACAAACGAUUAGAAAAACAACGACUCUGAACCAAACUGGACUAAAAAAAGCCACUCUAAUGAACUAAAAAAUAGACUCGACAGAACGAGAACGGCUCUGAUGACGACCAUAAAUCAAAAUGGAAGGUGCCCUGAGCUAAAUCGCUGCAAGAUGAUGUACCCAUGUCAACUGAAACAAAGUCCCCAACCCGAGGUGUCCCAAAAUACCAUGCGACCAUCAAUACCAUCAACAUCCAAAUCAAUCUACUGAAGACCAGGAGGAGGAGGAACUGCGUGUGUAGAAUGUGCAGGCAGGGGAUUGGUGGUCACACUUGGCCUAGCCAAGUCAACCACCCCUGAAUCGAUCAAAUCCUGUAUCGCAUGAUGGAGUGCUGAACAAUGCUCAGUAUCGUGCCCCGGAAUCUGAUGAUACAAGCAGUGCUCAUGUGAACGAAAAUGGGGAGGAAUAGGAUGGGGCAAAGGCCUCGGUGCCAAAGGAACAAUCACUCCAGCGUCUCUAAGCUUCUCAAAAGCUCUAGUCAAAGUCAUGCCCAAGGGAGUGAACUGUCUCGGGGGCCUCUGUGCAUAUGGUCUAAGCGGUGGGCGAGUAGCGGCUCUCGGAUGUGGUGGUCGUGGCUGCAUGCUAGUCUGAGCAAUGUAAGGCUCCUGAGCAUAAUCCAGCUGAUACUGAUACUGUGGAAGAGAGAAAGGAGCUCUGACUGUAGGAGACCUAUAAGCUGAGUGAUGCGCGGGCCUCCGGUGCUGAUAGCUAAUAGCACCAACCUCUCCAGAUCUGGUCAAUGGUCCAAUCAGCUUCUUCCCUUUACUGUCAGGGGAAGCAGCAGUAUCUGUCCAUAAUCCUCGAGCCAUAGCCUCCUCUACACUGAAAGCAGCAUGAACCAAACUCCUAAGAUCCUGAAAUGGGAUGCCCACCAGACGUCUAGCGAACCUCGACUGUAGGUUCCGAAGAACCAUAUCAAUCUGAUCCUGCUCCUUAGGCCGGUCUAUCAUACCAGCCACCUUCGCCCUCCAACGAGUGACAAAGGAAGAAAUAGACUCAUCUGGCCUCUGUCUAGUGGCCUCCAACUCUUGUCUAGAUACGUCAAUAUCGGCACUGAAAGCGAACUGGGUCAGGAACUCACGAGCCACAUCCUCCCAAGUGCAGAGUCUCGAAGGCUCAACUGAAGCAAACCAUCUCUGAGCUGCCCCACUAAGUGACAUGGGAAAGAGGGUCACCAGCUGUGCAUCAUCUAUCCCGUGCGCCCUCAUGACAGUGCUGUAUAAUCUCAAGUGGAUCUUGGGACAACCAAUCCCACUGUAGCGCUCAAUGUCUGGCAUGCGGAACUUGGCGGGCAAGCUAGCUGCCGGUAUGCCAUCUCUGUCAUCCCAAGUCAAACCUCCGUCCUGCAAUCUGAUCUGUCUCAUCAUGGACUCGAGCCUCUCAACCUUGGCCUCCUGCUCGGCCAAUCGAGUAUCCCCAAUAGUAGGAACCAUGGGAGGCGACACUGUGAUAGUAGGUGGUGGAAUGGUCUCAUAAUGAUCUGCCAAAUGGAAUGGAGUACUAAGUGAAACCCCAGGUGGACGAGUCUGUGCUGUCUGAGAUGCAUGAGGAAUCGUCUCGUCAGUGACCACGCCAGCCGGAUGAGGAUCCUGACGAGAACUCUCUAACUGAUCCAAGCGUCUACUGACUCCGGCCAUGAACUCCUGAAUGGAAGCAAGUGUGGAAGCUAGCUCGUCUGACAUCUCAACUGAACUAUCUGAACUCGGAUAUGAAUCUGCUCUGAUCAAUCGUCCUCGAACUCUCCUCCAAGAAUGUGACUCCAGACUCAACCGACUCCUAAACUGACUCCCUACAAUGCAAACAAAACGGAUGAAGGACACGAGAUAAAACUCUAAAAGGCGACAAUACAACAUGCAAGCACAUGGUCCUGAGAUGGCAAUCCGAAAUCUGGAUGUUUGACGAAAACUCUAGAGUCACAAAGGUGUCCAUUGCGUGAUGGCUACAAAUGUGACUAGAGAAUUCCCAUCAAUAAUCCAAGAUAAAAGAGGUGUGAAAAACACCUUAUCACGAGAUCAGUACUCCAUCUAUAAACAUAUAUCUUUGAAUCAACCUUCAACUCGAGCUCCAUAAGAGAAAAAUAAUAAGGUGAUCAAGGCGAAUCUCUCGAAGACAGUGUGGAUGUGAAAAAUGCGCCUUUCACCUUUCCGCAAUGAAAAUAUGAGCAUCGAGUCGAAAAUUGAACCAAGGAUCAAACGAAUGAUGAGGUAUUGAGCCCGUGAUAAGCAUACAGUGUAAAAAGAUGAUCAAUGAACAUAUCCCAAAGCAUCAUGUGAGUGAUAACAAAGUGAAGGGGUGUGUCGAGCCAAGAAAUGAGAACGAAAACCCUAAGGAGAAAACAUGUUAAACUCAUCGAGUGCAAAACAUAAUACAAGGUGACAUGACAAUGGUGGUCCAACCAAUACUCAAACUCAUACCAAUUUCCGAGCACUCUCAACUGGAGACUAAAAAGAGGGAACACUGGAUCCGAACUGUAACUAAAGAGGCUCUGAAGGCCCUCAGAUGCACCCACGUGUUGGGAGGAAGUCCUACUCGAAGGAUCUACGGCUCAACCUACGAGGUCAGGUGGCUCUAAAUGGAUAUGGGUGGACUUUAAAAAAUCCCUAGCAGAAGCGAUCAUACCCUCCGGCGGUACGCAACCCUCUGCACGUCUCCGAAGAGACGGGGCGCUUCCAUGCAAGGUGGUCAUCACCUCCACACAUGCACUACCUCGCAUCCCAGGGGGUUUCCUAUGGUGAAUUCUCUCAAACUCUCAACGCUCAAUAGUCAACUAGAGUGCAUAGUGAUCGGUGUGGGUGCAUCCGAAACCCUAAGGAGCUAAAGCAGAAGAUGAGACACAUUGGUCGUAUAAAUAUCCAUGAAACCUAGCUCGGGGCUAUACAGGUAUUCAAUGAUCGGACUCUAAUCGACAACAAUGCGCCGCUCGCCUCCAGAAUGCUCCCAAACAUCGGUAUAGCCCGUCGCUAGACCCUACUCUUAACCUCUAUCUCGGUCAGAGUACAAGCACACACAAGGCCUCACACUUGUAAAAGCGAGAACCAGAAUGAAGGAAAUGACCGAGACUAGAGAGUGGGAGAUAAGAGGAUAGAUGUGCGACCCACACAGAUAAGCGGCACGCAAUCACGCAAAGGAGAGUAGUCAUGCAACACACAAUCAAACAAACCUCAGAUAUAUCAUCAAUGUACACACACAAGAUAAGCGAGAGUACGACAAUCAGAUGGAUAGUGAUACAAAGACAACACGCUCAAAGAUGAUCAAAAUAAUAUACCGACAAGUGGAUCAGCAUGUCGAGUCGAAAUGAUGUACAGUAGUGAGUGUAUGCAUGUGAAGUGAUCAGAACAAUCAUGACAAAAUCAAGGUCAACGGCUAAGCAAAGCAAUAAGAUCAAUCAUCAAUAAUCCAGCAUGUCAAUGUCUCAAACGAAUAUAUCAAUGAAACACAAAAGAAAUCAUGGCAUCAGAAUCCUCAAUCAAUAUAAAUCAAUCAACACGAUCGACGUGUCAAAGUCUCAAGUGGAUAUAAAAUCCGAGCAUGCAUCAAAUAUCCUCAAUGUGCGAUCAAGAAAUGGGCAUCCACUGAUCGACUCAUCAAUCGCCAUGUUUGCUUCAUCCUAAGUUCAAGCUUGACCCUCUAAAUGAUCCCCAGUGGAGUCGCCAUUUUGUGGACCCCGCAUUUCGAUUGCUCGAUGCGUUUCCCACUCGAUGGCGAGCUCGAAUUUUAAUUUGAAAAAUUGAUUUAUAUUGAUUAUGAAAAUGACUUGGAGUCGCCACUUAUUUUUGUUUUAUUUUUAAAGGGUAAACAAAAUAAGAAAGAAAAACCCUAAGUGUGACUCCUUAUUUUGGAAAAGGUGGUCUGUGAAAAACCGGAUCGGGUUCGGGGGUCAGGUUACUUAUCAGGAAGGUACGGUAAAAACCGUAGCACCCUUCUAAGUCCCUAAAAACGGGUCUCUACUAAUAAAAUGAAGCAAUCAUGGCAAUUGAUGAGGAAAUCAAUGAAUACUCAGAGUGAUCAUGCACACGUGAGAAUUUAAACGUGCAUAUCGACNNNNNNNNNNNNNNNNNNNNNNNNNNNNNNNNNNNNNNNNNNNNNNNNNNNNNNNNNNNNNNNNNNNNNNNNNNNNNNNNNNNNNNNNNNNNNNNNNNNNNNNNNNNNNNNNNNNNNNNNNNNNNNNNNNNNNNNNNNNNNNNNNNNNNNNNNNNNNNNNNNNNNNNNNNNNNNNNNNNNNNNNNNNNNNNAAAAAAAAAAAAAUGCUGGGUAACAUGAAGCAUAUGAACCCAUAUAUGUUAUAGCCUCAAGUGAAAUCACAGAAAAUGAGAAAAUGGCAUAGCAAUCACAUUCAAAUGGUGAAUGAAAGCUAAAACAACAAGGCAAAUGCAUGAAUGUGAAAAUAUAAUGAGAAACAUGAACAGAAGAAGAAAAAAAAAAAAAACCGCAAAGCACGCACCUAGAAAGCUCUUCUCCAGCAAAAAUCCGUGAGAAAACCCCUCAGUUCUUCCCUUCCCCCUUUCUCAUUUUCUCUCCUUCUUCUUCAAGCUUCACUCCCUCCAGCCGAUUCCUACCUUCUCGGGCAAGCCAUUACCUGCUUCCCUGUUCAUCUCUGCAGGUAUGGGCUCCUCCAACUCCAGCAUGGCCUCUGCCACGUCUCUUUCUCUCCUCCCAUCUGGUGGUCCCCCCUUUGUUUAAAAGAGAAAUGCCCAGAAGAGAGAAAAAAACUCUCCCCCCCGGGCCCUUCAUAAAAGGGGGUCUACAGCUAGUCUAAAGAAUCUCAAUGACUGAACUACUAUUGUUUGUCAACUUGAUUUUUCUCAUAGAAGGAAAGAUUUCUUUACAGUCAUAUUUAUUCUCUUGUAAAUAGAAUGUUGAUGAAACUUGUGAUCCAAAUUUCUUCUUUUCAGUCAACAUCAUCUUCCUCUUUGUGUGAAAAUAGGAAGAGAUUAUCCUUAAGGAGCUUCUAGUAUUCUUUCAAGAUUUUUGCAAUAAUGGGUUAGGCUUGGAUAUGUUGUUUUUUAAUGAAAAACAAACAUAAACCAUGACAUGUAAUAUUAUAUAAAAUUUUAAUUAUAUUUUUUUUCACUUUAUUUUAUUAAAAUUCAUAACCAACCAAGAUUCUACAAAUAUAAUUUUUUAAAAACCAAUUCAUUUUUUUAAUCAAAUAAAUUUUCAAAGAAUAAUAUAUAUUAUAAAAAACAUUUUAAGCUAAUAAUACUUAUAAAGCAAACAAUAUAAACCAAGUCACCUAUAAAAGGGAAGUAAAGUUGAUAAGUUCGAUAGUUUGUAAAGUCGAUAAGUUAAUCAGUGUCCAUAUUUUAAUUAAAUUUCAAUGAGUAUGUAUUUUUUUUCUUAUCAAAAUAAAUUCAAUUAAACAAAUUUUAAUGUUAUAAAUAAAAAACAAAAUUUUCUCUUAGUGAUUGUUUGAAUUUAUAAAUAGAAAACUAGAAAUAUCUUUGUCAAAGAUGAAGGCAUUAUUUAAUUUAUUUUUUAACUUUUUAAUCGCAUAAUAAUCGAAGGAUUUAUAUAAUUAUAGGAUUUUAUAAUAAUUUUUAAAAUUAAAUUUUAAAGUGAUAGAUAACCUUGUAAAAUUUAGAGUAAUAAUGUCUAUUGUAAUAAAAAGAAAUUAUAAGAUGUGUUACAAGGGCAAAGUUGACCAAAACAUGAAAGAAAAAAAAAGUAUAAUAGAAAAAAUAGAAAAAAAAAAAGAAGAAGGAAAAAACAUGUAAAUCAUAAAAGAAAAAUUAAAUGGAUAACGACACAUGAUUUUUGUUUACAUUUGUUGGAUUGUGAAUCCUAAAUCAGUUUUGUCAUAUUUAGUUUUUAUUGUAUUUCGUUCGGGAUGUCAAGGUCCAGUUGUCUGGUCAGCUAGCAAAGGUUGAAGAGGGUAGCACCUAUGAAAAAUUUUCUUUUAUAUAAUGAAUGACGAGUUUGUCCUUAUUAUAUAUAUUUAACCCUUUUAUAUUUUAUGGUUUGGUUUUUGAAAUGGUGCAACUGUAAUUGAGAGGUUUUUUUUAGAGCUUCACCAUUGUAUUCCUUUCAUAUUUUCUUUGAUUAGUAGAUUAUUAAAUGUUAGUGCACUCCAUGAAUCGUAAGGAUCACAUUGAUUUAUGAACCAUAUUAAAAAUUUCACGUUUCUUUUUUGUUUUUUUUUUUCUAUUUUGUGUGUGUGCAUGAUUUGGUUAACAAUAUUUACCAUAAUAUUUUAUUUUAUACAAGUAAAGCAAGUAUAUUAUAAAAAAAAAUUAAAUCAUAAUAACCUUAAUCAAAUAAUUUUUAUUUUAUAAAUAAAAAAAUUAUUCGAUUAAAAUGCCUAUUUUGAAGGACAAACAUAUUACAAGUUGUUUUUUAACUCUUGUAAUCCCAUGAUAAUUGAAAGUUUUAUAUAUACUAAUUUUUAAAAUCAAAAUUUAAAGUAAUAUAUAUAACUUAUUCAUAGGGGAAAAGAGAAAAAACUGGAACGUAAAAGAAGAAAACACAAACAAACAAACUGAUAAGUAAACUAUAAAAGAAAAUUAAAAUUAAAUAGAUAAUAAUACAUUGGGUUUUUUAUUUUCUUUAUCAUCCCACAUCGAUAAAUACUUAACCAAUUUAUACAUUUAUUAUAAUGGAUAACAACGAAACUGCACGCCGAGCUUCCUAACGAGAGCUUGUAACCAAGUGGGGCAUUAAGGUGGUUGGACAUUAUGGUAGACCUUAUCAUACCCAUAAGUAGUGGGCCACAAAAAUUAUGAUAUGGAUACAAUACACUAUAUAUAUGAACAACCAACCUUUUAUUUUUCUGUCUCACUGAUUUUAAAUACUAAUAAUUUAUCAAAUCGAGUCCGUACUUAUCUAUUUUCCUUUCCUUUUCUAAUUCUAUCUCAUCCUAAUUUUUCUCACACAAAUUAUUUUUUUAGGUGGGGUAAACUUUUAUAUUUUACUAUUUUAUAUAAAAUAAAAAAUAAAAAAUUUAUAAAAUCUAUUUACUAUUGAUAAAAUUAUUAGUCUAUUAUGGAAUUACAAAAGUUCUAAAAACAAAGUAAUAUGUUUGUCCUUAAAAUAAACUUUUUAAUCAAUAAGUCCUAUGAUAAAAAUUUUAUUUUUUAUUUAUAAAAUGGAAAUUAUUUGUUGAGCUUAUUUUAAUAAAAAUAGUAAAUAUUCAUAAAGCUUGAAACUUAAUUUAAAAAUGAACAACAAUAACUUAUUAUAUAUCUUUUUUUUACUCUUAAAGACAAAUAAUGGAAUAAUAAUUUUAUCAAUACUAAAUAGAUUUUAUAAAGUUUUUUUUCAAAGUUUUUCCUAUGUUUAAAAAUUUUCUUAUAAAUUUUAAAUAAAAUUAAACAUAUAGAUUUUAAAUAAAAUUUAAAAUAAAAAUAUUUUCUUAUGUUUUACUAUUUUCUUACUGAUUUUAAAUAAAAUUAAAAACAAAAACAAGCAAAUAAUUUAUAAAAUCAAUUUAGUGUCAAUACAUAUUUAUUUUUCUUUCCUUUUCUAAUUCUAUUCCAUCCUAAUUUUUCUUAUACAAAUUAUUUUCCAUUCUUUUUAAUUUUUCUAUGUAAGGCAUUAUCUUAUUUUCAACAUUUUAAUUGCACAAUAAUUGAAAGAUUUAUAUAAUUGUAGGAGUUUAUAAUAAUUUUCAAAAUCAUAAUGUCUAUUGUAAUAAUAUAUAUAUAUAUAUAUAUAUAUAUAAUAUAAAAUAAAAUAAAAAGAAGAAAGAAAUGGAGAAAAAUAAAAUAAAAUAGAGAAUGAUACACUAAUGUUUUUAUUUACAUUUACCCUAAUAUUUUAUUUUAUACAAGUAAAACAAUAUAAAAGAAAAAUAAAAUUAAAAAAUAUAAUAAGCUCAAUCAAGUAAUUUCAAUUUUAUAAAUAAAAAAUAAAAUUUUAUCAUAGGAAUUGCUUAUUAAAAGGUCUAUGUCAAGGUUUACUUUGUUUUAGAUUUAUAUAGUACUAAUUUUCAAAAUUAAGUUUUAAAGUAAGAGAGAACUUAAUACACAGGCAAAUGAGAAAGAAAUGGAAGGUUAAAAAAGUAAAACAGAUAAACAAACCGCAAAUAAACUACAAAAGAAAAUAAAAAUUAAAUGGAUAAUGAUACAUUAGAUUUUUGUUUUCCUUUACCAUCCUACAUCUUGACAUGGAUACAAUUCAUUAUAUGUGGACAUUCAACCUUUUUGAUUUUUUUUAAAUUCUUAAUUAAUGGACGAAACUUUUUUAUUUUUUAAAAAUUUUGCUCUUGGCCAUUACCUAUUAAAAAAACAUUUUGUAUUUGAUAGUGUUAAAAAAACUAAAAUUACUUUCCAAAAUCAAUGUCAAACGCACUCUAAGUUUCAAGUUUUAUGAGUCUAUACCUUUUCUCAUUAAAAUAAACUCAAUCAAAUAAUUUCUAUUUUAUAAAUAAAAAAUAAUUUAUUUUCUAAGAAUGGUUUGAAUUUAUAAAUAGAAAAUCAUCUUAUCAAAAUGUCUAUUUCAACUAUAAACACAUUACUUUUAUUUAAAAAAAUUGUAGUUGCACAAUAAUUAAAUUUUAAAGUAAUAGAUUCCUCCCACAAAGCCAGGAAAAAAGGAAGGCAAACUAAAAAAUUGAAAUUAAAGAUAAUGAUGCAUUAGGCUUUCAUUUUUCUUUAUUAUCCCACUUCGAUAAAUACUCAACUAAUUUAUCCCUUUAUUAUAGUGGAUAACAAUGAAACCAUUUGUCGAGCUACAUAGCGAGAACUUGUAACCAAGUGGGGCAAUAAAACAGUUGGAGGACACUGUGAUAGUCCUAUGACACUCGUAAAAUAGGUCAUAAAUUGUGAUAUGGAUACAUUUUAGUAUUUUACUACACAUGUUGACAUCUAAUCUUUUGUUUUUUUACUUGUAUUAUACUAUUUUCUUAUAAAUUUUAAAUAAAAUUGAACAUAUAGAUUUUAAAUAAAAUCUAAAAUAAAAUAUUUUCUUAUAUUUUAAUAUUUUCUUUCAAAUUUUAAAUAAAAAUAGAAAGGCAAACAAAUAAUUUAAAAUCAAUAUAAUCCUCUCCUUUCACACCAAUUAUUUAUUUAGGUAGGGCAAGUUGCAAUUUUAAUUUUUAGUUUUUAAAUUUUUAAUUAAUGAAAUAAACAUUUUUAUUUUUUAAGCUUUGGGUCAAGGCAUUAUUUUAUUUUAUUUUUUAACUUUUUAUUUGCACAAUAAUUGAAAGAUUUAUAUAAUUAUAGGAGUUUAUAAUAAUUUUUAAAAUUCAAUUUUAAAUUAAUAAAUAACUUAGAAAUAGGGUAAAAUUUUAAAUUCUCAACUUAAAAUUAUUUUUCAAAUUAAUUUUAUUAUUUGGAAAUAUUUUUCAUUUUGAAAAUUCAUUUUUUAAAUUAAUUUUAUUAUUUAGCAAUGAAUGAGUGCCACAUCGCUUUCAAGUCUUUAAGUACCAUCAACUCAAGACCCUUAUAUGGUGAACGAUCCUAUGAGCCCAAACCAUUCCUCAAUUGGAUUAGCUAGCAUUAAACCAUACAAGAACAAUAAUAUGUUGUGUGACUUGUUAUAAUCGAUCCUACAUAGAAUGGGUCUGUCAUUUUGGUAGAGAUGAUUUUAUCUUGUGGGAUAUUCAUUUUAGUAUUUGAAAUACGAAAUAUCUAAUAUCUAAAAUAUGGAAUAUAUGAGUUAUAUACCAUUCAUAAAAAUUUUUAAAUUUCAAGGAAAUAGAAGUUUUAGAUAACAUUUCCACUAUAGCCAAAACCAUUCCUAUUUCUAAUUUCUUUUGAAUUUUAAGUACUAAAAAAUAAUGGGUUUUAGAAUUUGGAUUUACAUCUAACAUAUAUAAAUGAAGGAUAUACAAAUUACAAAAAAGCAUAAAAUUUUACAAAAUUUAAAUUUGUUACACAUAUCAUGCUACUAAUAAAAUACUAGGAAUGAGCUCCUAGGUAGUUAGAUUUGUUUAUUGUGAAAUACACUUGGUACAACAAAAUAUGUAAGAGAUGAGACACAAGUCGGAGAGUCGUGACUAUGAUUUGGAAGAUUUCUCAUGGUCUGCUCACAAUUACAAACACCAAGAAAUCCUCGUGGAUCUUGUCACACAUGCAGACUGCAGACUCAUCAUUUUAUCAUAAUUAAAUACAAGCAAAAUGGUCUUGCUUUUUGCCUUACAAGUAGGCACCAUUAUUACAUGGGCGGGCCCUGGCUGGCAUUUGGCAAAUAGUUUUCCACUGUCCCACCCACUCCACCUCAUGACGGCUUUUGGUAGUGGAGGAGGCCCGCAAUCCCAUUCUACUAUCUCUCGAUUUGCAUGAUUGAAAGAAAAAAACACCACAAAUAUGAAAAUAUGAUAAAAUAGAAAGGCAUGGAUCAACGAAAGCGGCGAGAAUCUCUGUACAUAUGAUAGUGGCCGGCCAUUAUGGUGGGGCUGGUGCUUGUAACGUGGCUAGAAGUUUUCCUUGUGGAAAUCAAAUUGGGUGGAGGUCUCGUGCGAGAAACCUAAAGCCAGCUCGCGUAGCUGUUUGGUAGGUCCCGGUGGUCCGCAGUAGAACACUCCUGCAUGCGUGUGGGAAAGCACCAUUCCUCAGCUUUUAAAUAUUUACAGCCAUCAUCAUCAACAAAACAAAACGCAAAACGCAAAAGCAAAAGCAAAAGCAAAUGCCUCUUCUUUCUUUCCUGCUUUCUUUCUUUUGUAAUGAAAUGACAAGGGUGAGAAAAAGUAAGCAAACCAAACCCAGCUUCCAUGUCCACAUGAACUGUGAAGUGAAGGACAGCCUUAUCCCAAAUGCAUUUGAUAUAUCUAUAUCUAUAUAUAAAGGAAAAGGUUUGUUUUCAUACACAAAUGUGUAGAAAAAACAUACUAGAAAGUUAAUAAAAUUUUAGUUUCACAAAUCAACAUUAAAAUAUAAUAUUUGAAUUAUUAAAGCAAUACUUAAAAAAUUCACAUAUCAAAAGUACUAGCUUUGGUCCAAUUAAGUACUUUUUUUUAACGGAAUAGAUAAUGUCUUUAUAUUUUAUUGGUGAGCAUAUUAAAUUUGAAUUAUUUUUAGAAGGUUCUAUUUGAUGGGAAUUUUAUUUUUUAAACGAGUCGUAAUAGAAAUAUACUCUUCCAAAAAAAGAAAGAGCAUGAAGCUGAACUCACCAACGUUCGUAUGAGGGUUUUUGCGAGCAAUGUACUUAAAAACGCUGCGCCAAUUGGGCUUGCCGAAGUGGGACUUGACACGGGUACCAGAGACAACGUCAUAGCCCUUCUUGGCGUGAUUGAGGUCUUGGAUCAUGGCAAUUAAUGCAGAGCGGGCAUCACCCUCUUCAUGCACACUGGUGCAGUGGUUGUGCAGCUCUAUCACCUCAUUAUGGUCCAAUUCAGCCACCUCGUCCAUCACCCCUUCGAACCAGUGGAAAGAGUCCUGCUCCCUCGUCAUCCAAUAGAAGUAUGCCCUCCUAGUCUUAAAUUCAUUGUCAUACUUCCCUCCUGCUCCAUUCCCCCCCUCCAUAUCAGCAUUCUCUUCUUCCUCCAUCUCCUUAAUAUUAUGCAAAAUGUCCUUCACAAUGCUGAUCAUCGGGGUCGCCCCGAUCCCUAGCCCCACCAGCAUAACCACCUCAUAAUUUUUGUACUCUUGCGCUGGUGCCCCAUAUGGACCGUCAAUCAACACUUUCGGAAAACUGUCCAUUAUCAUCAGUGUCACCAUUUACAUUAAAGCAUAUUCUAAAAUCAUUAUCUUUGUUUAAAACAAGAGAAAAUAUAUCCAAAUCCAACUGUGUGAGGUUGUUUGAUAUAUAUCGAAAUCAGUAUCUAUGUAUCAUGCGGAAGUGGACCUUGAGUGUAAAAGCACAGCCAAAGUAAACAAUUGGCCAGCUGUUAUGAUGGCGAAAAAGGUAGAAAAGAAAAAAGAAAAAAGAAGACCAACUUUGAAAGGGUGCAAAGACCAAGUGCUUCCCCUUUGCCAACAGCAUGAACUAUUAUGUCUUAAGGGUUCUGGUCAUUUUGCAAUCAUGAUUGAAUCCAGGUUAGAUUCAAUGGAAUUCUUUGUGCGGAAAAUUAUUUACAAUUCCGUGAUUCCAAGUUAAAAUGACUUACUUUGGGCGGUUUUCUCCUUCCGAGUAACCCCCUUUCCCGCUAGGUGAUGCCUGCAACACAUGAAAAACAAACCAAGGAAAGGCUAAGUACUGCAUACAAGAAGCACCACUGACAAGCAUUUGAGAUUUAUAAGUUUCAUAUAGCUCAUGAAAUGAAGAGGGAAAAGUGCCAUUCAAAGUCAGUUAAGAUUUGUAACUUAUUUAUUUCUAGGAAAUUAAGUUUCAUAGAUCAUUUCUCAGGAGACACACCUCUGAGAACACCUUUUUGAUUUGCCUAGUCCAAUCACCAACAGCUUGAAUAUGGACACUCAGAUAGUCGUCUCUGGGGGCUGAAGUAAUUGAGAAUGGGUGCCUGUUGAUAUGUAAACCAACCAUUAAUGCAAAUACAUGUAGUAGUGAUGAUGUUUCAAGCAUUAUACACAUAUAUAUGUGCCUGCGUACCAUUCAAAGGGAGAAACAGCAGGACAGUUGACAAACAUGUAUUGCCCACUCCUGUAUUCGAAGUCUUUAUCAGGCUUUUGCAUGUGAAGCGCCAACACACCCCGACGACCAGGGUAAUCAACCGCCUUCAGUAUAGUAAACAAAAUGUAUACUUAGAUACAAUAGUUUUUAGAAAGCCGAUGUUUGUAGAAAUAAAGUCCGUUUGAAAAAUUGAAAUAUUUUUAACUUGUAUAAUUAGAAAACCUCUAUUUUUUUUUUUUCUAUUUCCAAUGGUUGUCAAAGGGAAGGUUUUUUUGCCAGAGAGGGUCUAAGUUGUUUACCUUUACUAUCCAAACAGGCUGAAUGCUGGAUCUGAAUGCUCUUGUCAAUCUUUCCAAGGCAUAAAGCACAACAGGAACUGCCAAGUACAUCCAAGUCUGCCGGGCCAUAAGAGGCCGGUGGUUAAAGGUUCAUACCAAACACAUAAUUCAAACCAGAGAGCAAAAGUUGUUGGAGAAUGGGUACUUACUGUUUUCUGGUACCAUUCCUUACUCAGGUAAAGAUAUAAGCCAUGGACAACAAGCAGAGCAUAGACGAUUACAAAAAGGUGGUGGGAGUACCAGAAGGCGUUGAAACCAGUUAGCUUUCCACGCCUCAACCAUGGAGUUGCUAGUGUGAAGGCUAUUACCAUCAACACCACCAUUAAAAUCCCCGUCACUCCUUCCACUCCCUUAACCAAUUCCCAGUACGAGGGUUGUUCCUUAAAGUAGGGCUCCAAGAGAGCAAAUCUGUCACUACUCGCGUGAAUAAGGCGAGGGAAAUCACAAGCCAUAUGAUAAACUACAUGUAUUCCGGUUCCUACUGCAACUCCCACGGCCACCACCUAAACAGAUACAUACCACCAUUAUUUAGUUUUAAUCUUUCAGAUGAUCAUACAGAUAUGAAGAGAAAUAAGUAUCGUUACCAUGUGGAAAUUGAGGUUGUCAUCAAAGGGAACAAUAACGCUUAAUUUCGUCUUGUUCCUGAGCCAGGUCAUGGUGUUCCGGCAGACUGGGAGUAAAAUCAGUGCCAUGUUCAAUUUCAGUGUCUCGGCCGCACCCUUGGCCAUGCAAACACAAUGGCCCAUUACCUGAUAUGCAGCUCUGUUUCGAUACUGCACAAACUUGUAUGCAAAUAAUCCCAACAUAACUCCAACCCACAGAGCUAUAAUCCAAACUCUCCGCCAGUUGUCCUUUAAAAGGUACUUGGUGCCCUGACAGCAUCUUAUUAAUGGGUUGUUCUCCAGUGCCGGGCGCCUCAGUUGCUCACUCAGCAAUUGGCUAAGGUUUUUGCUAUCUCCCCUUGUAGUUUGCUUUGAAGCUUCCAAUAGAACCAUCUCCAGUUUGUGUACCUGCUCUCCAGACUCCCCAUAAUUAAGAGGAUUCUACAUUCAAAUAGUACAAGAAUUACUUUAUCAUGUUAAAUACUUGCCUGAACGUAUCCUACAUUCUUUGGAUCUAACGCUUCCAUGAUCAGUGCUGCAUAUUCGUCAGCUUGUUUCUGGAUAUUAGAGAGAUUGUUGGUAGAAGCACUGAGAGUGAUGAUCUGCAAAUAUAAACUAUUAUUAAUCCAAUUUUAAUCACUUGCUAAUAUGGAUUAGUUUUGGGUUGAUUAGUCCAAAUCAAUUUGUGGUCUCUACCUCUUUGACUUCCUCUUCUGUGAUUCUACCGUCGGCGUCUUUAUCCACCCUGCGUUUGUUUGUUCUGGUUAAUUUUAUACACACAGACAAGAUGGAAGAGAUGUUAAAUUGUCGAGAAAAUUACUUACAUGUCAAAGAAAGUUUGAAGCCUAGAAUAGAAGCUCUCAUCGGAGAUCUGAUCCCAGAACUGUUUGAGCUGAGCUUUAUUAAUUGAGUCAUCCUUGAUUUCCCACCUCCGAGCCAGUGCGUCGAAUAGCUUUCCUCCAAACUCAUUUGACUCCUGGCCCAUCCCUGCCAUCACAAUAAGCAACUUCCUUAUCAUGGUUUAACUCGGCUAGACUUAAUUAACACACAUAUAUAUAUAUAUAAAGAGAUAGAAUCCAACCUAUGCAUUCAGCGAAGCGUGAACGAGGAAGCAAGCCAUUGGUGGAAUCAGUGAGCUGUUGGAAGCUCUUCUCAACGUCAGGCCACCCAGCAGAACCAUCCGUCUGCCUGAUAAACUUGAGCCCAGUCAAAGCAUGGAGUGCUGCCGAGUUGGGGGGCUCGUAGCGACUUGAAGGAGUGCUUUUCCAGGAGGUGAGGCUCUUGAGUUCAUCAGAAACACUCCUGAUUCGCGCUGAAGCGCCUCGUACUAGAGCUCGGAAGGAGAAUCUAUUCUCCUCACCUUCCGCAUGCAAAGCCGACUGGGCGUCUUCACCAGUGGUCUUAACGCCGUGAACCGCGUCCGAGUCGUCAGGGACGUCGAGCUUGAUGUCGUCAGAUACAUGAUCAUCAGUUUUCAUUUUCUGCACCUCCAUGGACAAAGACGAUGACAGAUAAACAGACAGCAAAAGAAAGGCCAAUUAUUGUAGAGCUUCCAGCUCUUUCUCUUCUUUCAUGUAAAAUAAAGCUCUGCCACUAUUUCUAUAUAUGGCAAGAGAAAAGCAAGGUAUGAUGAUCAAACUGGUAUGUCAUCUCUGCCAUUAUUGCAGANNNNNNNNNNNNNNNNNNNNNNNNNNNNNNNNNNNNNNNNNNNNNNNNNNNNNNNNNNNNNNNNNNNNNNNNNNNNNNNNNNNNNNNNNNNNNNNNNNNNGUAUGAUGAUCAAACUGGUAUGUCAUCUCUGCCAUUAUUGCAGACAUCAUCCCAAAUUAUCUUAUACUUUUAUCUUAUAUUUAAUUCCUUCCCAAAUCACCUUUCAUCACGCAAAAUAUCAUCUUAUACCAAUAUUAUGAUUCACGUGCAAAUUUUUUAUUUUUUUAUUUUUACUUUAUUAGAUGAAUGACUCGGGAGUUGGGGCCUCUCAUUGGCUUCGCAGGAAUCUUUCUCACUGGCAUCUUAGAAUUGAUCGUUGAUAAUUGCUCUGGUCUUUAAUUACUAUUAUUACGGGGUGCAGCGUGAAACAUGCAUACGACUUCAUUGAAAAAAAAAAUUCAGGAAAAAAAAAAAAAGAAAGUAAGACAGCUUCCCAGCAUUAUCCUAAUUGAUUAAUGGAAGACUAUAAAGUCUUAGUUUAUUUCAUUUAUUUUUAUUUUUUUCAUUGCAAAAGAAGCUUCAAUGAUUUUCCUUUUUCCUUUUACAUUAAUCCAUUAAUUAAUACCAUUAACAAGUAAAUUUGGGCCGCAGCCCGACCCAAGCUUGAAUACUCGGAUGGAUCGUUUCAGGUUGGAGAGAUGAAAUAAUCCUUGUAUUUAUAAAUUUAUCUCUUCUCAUUAUUUAAAUGAUAGCCUAUUUUUUAUAUAAAUAUCAUUAAUUAUUUCAAGUAUUUACACGUAUAUUUUAAAAGAAAUGAUUAUUUUUAUAAGAAAAAAUGAUGAUAUUUUUGUCAAAAUAAGAUAAAAAAAAAUUUAGGUUUUAAAUUACUCUUUUUUUAUUAUUAUUAUUUGGAUGUCACCCACCGAUAAGUGUUGAGUUUUAUUUUAACACAUUGUCCAUCCAUUUUAAUACUUCAUUUGGUUACAAGUUAUCGUUAUAAAGUUCAGGAUUACAAUAUUAUAUUAAAAGCAUAUAUAUCAUUAACAAUUUAAUUUUAUUUUCUUUUAUAGCUUAGUUAUAUCUUUUUUUUAAAAAAAAAAUUCUUUGUCAACUCCACCCUUUUUACCCAUCUAAUGUACCAUUAUCUAUUUAAUUUAAUUUUUUAGUUUUCUUAUAUUACUUUUCAUUUUUUUUCCCAUGUAUAAGUCAUCUCUUACUUUAAAUUCAAUUUUAAAAAUUAGUAUAAACUUUUAUAAGUGUAUAAAUCUUUUGAUCAUUGUGGAACUACAAAAGUUUAAAAAUAAAAUUAAUAUAUUUAUCUUCAAAUAGACAUUUUAAUAAACGAUUUUCUAUUUAAAAAUAAAAAAUAAUUGGUGUGAGAAAAACUAGGAUGAGAUAGAAUUAGAAAAUGAAAGAAAAAUAGAUAAGCAUGGACACCAAACCAAUUUUAUAAUUUUUUAUUUUUAAUUAUUUAACAUUUGUAAGAAAAUAGUAAAACACAAGAAUUUAAAAUUUAUAAGAAAAUGGUAAAACAUGAAGAAAAAAUAUUAACAUAAAAAAAAUUAGAAAAAUGAAACUAAAAAUAAAAAUAAAAAGGUUGAAUGCCCACAUGUGAAGUGAGUUAUAUAUAUCACAAUUUGUAACCCACUUAUGGGUGUAACAUAUGUCAUCAUAGUGUCCAACCAUCGUAUUAUCCUACUUAGUUACGAACUCUCGUUAGAAAGCUCGACGAAUAGUUACAUUGUUAUCCCUCAUAAUAAAGGUAUAAAUUGAUUGAGUAUUUAUUGAUGUGGUAUUAUUCUCUAUUUAAUUUAAAUUUUCUUUUAUAUUCGUUUGAUUUAUUUAAUUUUAAUUUUCUUUUGAUAAAUAAUUUUAAUUUUAAUUUUAAUUAUUUAUAAAAAAAAUUAAAUAUUUUAAAUUUAUUUAAUCUUAAUAUAAUAAAGAAAAAUAAGUAAAAUGAGUCAAAAAAAGUAUAUAAAAAUAAUUUAUUAAGUUUAAACUUUUUUUUUUAUUUUCCUUCAUUUUUUAUUUCUUUAUACUUUUUUUUUCCUAAACAUUUUCCCUUAAAUUUUCUAACAACCAAACAUAGUCUUUUAAAGAAUUCAUACUUUAUCAUAGUGGAUAAUAAUGAAAACUCUUUGUAGAGCUUCCCAACCAAAUCUUGUAAUGUAAUGGACCAAACAUGUAGAUGGAUCUAACGUAUUAUGAUAUUUGGAUAUCAAAUCAUAUUUAACAACAUAUAUUAAAAUUUUGUCGAAGCCACGACUCAACAAACUCAGGUAUCAUUUUGGUGUUAUUUGGAUACAUUUCUUGUUUUCUAUUUUUAAAAAUAAAAAAUAAUAAUAUAUUUUAUAUAAUACAUUUGAACUCCGAUGUGAGAUUUAUUUUUUUUAAAAACAACGACUUUUAAAAAUUAUUUAAUUUUUUACGAAAUUUUUGCCAACUUAAACAUAUGUUAAUAUAAAAUCUAAUUUUGAACGAAAAAUUUUAAUAAAUGUAAAAUUCUUUAAUUUAACUAAUUUUCAAAAACAAUAUGAAGUACUAUUGAAAAAUAAAACGACUCAAAGUUUGAUAGUUUAUUAUAAAAUCAUUAUUCUAUGAGUUAAAAAAGUUUGUACUUUUUCUUAUCAAAAUAAAUUCGAUUGAAUAAUUUAAAUUUUAUGAAUAAAAAAUAAAGAUUUAUAUCACCGGUGAUUUGAAUUUAUAAAUAGAAAAUUAGUUCACUAAAAUCGCUUUUAAGGAUAAACAUAUUAUUUUUUUAAUCUUCAACUUAAGUAAACAAAAAAAUGAAAUUAAAUGGAUAAUUAUACAUUAAUUUUGUAUCUCCUUUUAUCAUCCCGCAUCUACAAAUACUUAAUGAAUUUAUAUGUUUAUUACAAUGGAUAAGAAUGAAAUUGUUCGACGAGCUUCCUAAAAAGAGCUUGUAACCAAGUGGAGCAAUAAGGUGAUUAGACUUUUGUGAUAGACCUAUCACACCAUAAGUGGGUCACAAAGUAUUGUGAUAUGGAUACAAGUUGCAAUCCAUGUGGACAAAUCUUUUAUUAUUUAAUUAUUUAUUUAUUUCCAAAUCAAUAAGAUAUAACUAAAAAAAUAUUCUCAACACUUUCAACAAAGAAAAAUUAUAAUUAAUAAAAAUUACACGUGUGGACAUCUAACCUUCUAUUAUUUUUUAUUUAUCUUGAAAUCAACAAGAUGUAACCAAAAAAAUUCUUAGGACUUUUAGAAUAAUGACUUUUAAUUUUUUUUUAAAAAAUUGUGAUAUUGAAAAUUUUUUACUACCUCAAACAUAUGAUUUUGAAUGAAAUAAAUUUAAUAAAUGUAAAAUUCUUUAAUGUACUUAAUUUUCAAAAAAAAAAAUUUGAAGUACUAUUGAAAAAUAAAAGGCAUUGAGUACUUCAUGGUGAAAUUUGAUAAUUUACAUAAUCAUUAUUCUAUUAAUGCUCUUUAAAAUUUUAAAAGUUUAUGCCAUUGAUAUAUUUUUAGAAUAAACUCAAUCAAAUAAUUUUAAUUUUAUAAAUAAAAAAUAAAAAUUUAUCUUAGCGUUGAAUAAAGUAUCUCUUUCAAGGAUAAACAUAUUAUUUUUAUGUGUCAACUCUUAUACUUAUCUAUAUCCAUACUUGUCUAUUUUCUUUCUUUUUCUAAUCCUAUCUAAUCUUGCUUUUUUUUAAAAAAAAUUUCUUGAUUAAUGAAAGCAAAAUGUUUUUUUUUUAUUUUAAAUUGGGGUGUAGGGAGGGGUGCAUGUGCCCCAUCUGGAUACCAUGGUGGCUCCAUCAUACUUAUACGAAAUCGCUUCUAUUAAAGUUUGAUAAAUUAUAUAAUUAUUGUUUUUAUUAUUUAAAUAAGUAAUUAGUGUUCAUUUUUAAAUUAAGUUUCAAGAUUUUUGAGUUUGUACUUUUUCUUAUUAAAUACAAUCAAUGGAUGUUGGGCAUGCGAACAUCAAGUAUGGAAUACAAUCAUUGUGUUCAUCCAUUCUAUGUCAUUCAAUGUAGUUCAAUUUUAUUAAUUUAUGCAUCAAUUUUUGUAUUUGUGAUCAACCAUCAUAUUCCUUUAUGUUAUACUUUGCAUUGUAUAUUGUUCUCAAUGUGUUAUAAUUUAACUCAUCUUUUUGCUUCAAACUAUUCAAUAGCUCUUUCAAUUUAAUGUUACCUUUUGAUAUUUCAGGAUAUUGUGUGUCAUUAUGAUUAUUUUUUUCACAUUUAACAAUCAGCAUUCAAUCAUCAGUUGUUUGCUUCACACCAUUAAAAGUAAAUGGACACUUUAUUUUUACUCUCAUUUUCAAUAUUAGUUUUCAAUAAACCUCCAUAUACUCCACUUAUUUCACAAGUAAAAAUAAUUCUAGGUUUUUGUCCACGAGGUCCCUUCAAAUCUUCCUUAACAAUUAUAAUAACCAUUUCAUUCCUUUUACUAGUUUAUCGUUCUCAUUUGAUCAAUGCCUCCUCAAUACGAUGAAUGAUAUCCAGUAUGAACACAAUUGUACAAUCUAUCAUUACCAUAGCUUCUAUGCAUCAUCCUCUAUUAAAAUUUUAAUUUAAUUAACUUUUUAAUAAUAAAUGUUGUUUGACAAUAUAGAGUCGAAUAUUCUCAUAGAUGUCCAACACUGUACAACUAGACAUUAUUAAGAUGUCCGAAAGUAUAACCAAACAUUAUUAAGAUGUUCGAAAGUAUAACCAGACAUUAUUAAGAUAUCGAAAGUAUACGAUCGAACACCCUUAAGAAUGUCUGGAGGAAUAAGAUUGGAUAACUAUAAAAUAUUUGUGGCUCCUUUUUUUAACCUAAAAAAAAUGUGAUAAAAAAUACACAAAAAAAAAGUAUAAAAACAAUACUAGUGUACUUGCAACAUCAUUGGAUAUGAUUAUUUGAUUAUUCAUCGGUGAGAAAUACAACUCUCUUGCUAAAUUUGAUUUGAGUUAUGGAGAUAUUAGAAAAUAAAGAAUGGAAGAAUAAGGAAUGGAAAAUAUUUGUAUUUUGUGCUAAAGGGGUACUUUGGGGAUUUCACUAAAGGCAUUUAUGUCUUAAAAUUUUAAUUAAAUGAUGGAUGCAAAGAGAGUUUAAGUAGAUGCAUUUAUAAAGUCCUUAUUUUUAUUUUAGUAGCUAAAAAUGAGACCAUUUGUCGAACUUUAAGAGAGUGGGUAAUCAAGUGGGGCAGUAAGAUGGUUGGCCAUUGGGAUAGACGUAUCACACCCAAAGGUGAGUCACAAAGUAUGUAACAUUUGAAUAUAAUUCACUAUACAUGUGGACAUCCAACCUUCUAUUUAUUUUUCUUUUCUUAAAUCAACAAUAUAUAACAAAUAUUUUAAUAUAUAUAAGUCCAAGUUUUUGUUUUUGUUUUUUUAACUCAAUGGUUAUGAAGAUAUAUUAGAAUUUUAUUGAAGCCAUGACUUAUCAAAGCGUAGGAAUUAUUUAGGUGUUAGAUUUAUUUUAGCAUUGAUUAAUAUAUCUUUUUCAAGGACAAACACAUAAUUUUAAUUUUUUUUUUUAACUCUGGUAAUCAAUUAAAAGAUUUUUAUUAUUUUAUAGUUAUAAGCGUUUGUAAUAAUUUUCAAAAUCAACAUCCCAUAUCAAUAAAUUCGUGAAAAUUUUAUAUUUUUAUUAUAGCGGACAAUAACAAGAUGGUUUGCCGAGCUACCUAACGAAAACUUGUAACCAAGUGGGAUAAUAAAGUGGUUAAACACUAUGAUAGACCUAUAACAUCUAUAAAUGGGCCACAAAUUGUGAUAUGAACACAAUUCACUAUACAUGUGGACAUCCAAUCUUUUGUAUUUUUUCUUAUACUUUCAUAUUUUCUUUUAAAAUUUAAAUAAAUUAAAAUAAAAACAGAAAAAUAAUUUUACUAUUUUCUUUUAAAUUUUAUAUAAAUAUAAUAAAAUAAAAUAAUAAUUUAUAAAAAUCUAUUUAAUAUCUAUACUUAUCUAUUCCUUUGUGUCUAAUUCUAUCUAAUCUUGUUUUUCUCCUCAAAAUUUUCUUAUAUUUUACAUAAACUAGAAACAAAUAGAUAAUUUAUAAAAUCCCUCUAGUAUUAAUACUUAUCUAUUUUCUCUCUAUUAUAAUUCUAUCUAAUCUUGUUUUUCUCGGAUUUGUUUCUUAGGUGAGAUAAACUUGUGAUUUUUCUUUUAUUUUUAAAAAUCCUUAAUCAAUGAAAGAAUUUUAUUCCUUUUUUAUUUUAAAAUUUAGUUUGAAGCUAGAUGAGUCUACACUUUUUAUUUUUAAAAACAUAUACAAUUAAAUUAUAAAAGAAAUAUGAAAUUAAAUUGAUAAUGAUACAUUAGCUUUGUGUUUCCCUUUAUCAUCCCACAUCGACAAAUACUCGAAGAAUUUACGCCUUUAUUAUAGGGGAUAAUAAUGGAACCACUUGUUGAGCUUCACGACGAAAGCAUGUAACCAAGUGGGGGCAAUAAGGUGGUUGAACACGUGGUAGACCUAUAUUACACCCUAAGUGGCUACAAAGUAUUGUGAUAUUUGGAUACAUUUAGCUACACAUAUGAACAACCAACCUUUUGUUUUUUACCCAAAAAUUUUAUCUUUUAUUAUUUUCUUUUAAAUUUUAAAUAAAUUUAAAAUAAAAGCAAACAAAUAAUUUAUAAAAUCUAUUUAAUAUCCAUACCUAUCUAUUUAUUUCUUUUUAUUUUUUUCUAAUUCUAUCUAUUUCUCCCCCAAUUUUUUCUUAUAUUUUACUAUUUUCUUUUCCCCCCAAAAUUUUUAUAUUUUAUUAUUUUUUUAAUUUUUAAAUAAAUUUAAAAUUAAAAAAAAAACAAAUAUUUAAUGUCCAUACCUAUCUAUUUCCUUUUUUUUCCCCUCUAAGUCUAUCUAUUUCUCCCCCAAAAUUUUCUUAUAUUUUAUUAUUUUCUUUUAAAUUUUAAAUAAAACAAAAAUAAUUUAUAAAAUCAAUUUUAUAUUCAUACUUGUCUAUUUUCUUUCUUUUUCUAAUCUAUCUAACCAUGUUUUUCUCACACGGAUUAUUUUUUAGGUGAGACAAACAUGUGAUUUUGCUUUUUAUUUUUUAAAAUUCUUAAUUAUUGAAAGAAAUUUUUAAAAAAAAAAUCGGGGUGUGGGAGGGGUGCAUGUGCCCCCUAUACCAUGAUGGCUCCUCAUUACGUAUUUAAAAUCAAUUCUAGCAAAGUUUGAUAAGUUAUAUAAUUAUUACUUAUUAUUUAUCUUUAAGAGUAAAACAAAGAUAAUAAGUAAUUAGUAUUUAUUUUUAAAUUAAAGUGUUUGGUAAAAUUUAAUACUUAUUAUUUAAUAAUUUUAAUUAAUUUUAAAUUAAAUUAUUCUUAAACUAUUGACUUAAAACUUAUCACUUAAUUUUUAUUUUAAACAUUAAAGUUAUUGAAUAAAAUUAAUUUAAAAUUUAUUAUAAAUUAUCAUAUUGAUAUAUUUAUCCCCACAAAUUAUAAUUAGAAUAAAUGAGUUCAAAUAAUAAUGAAGGUCGUAGAGUAGCAAAAAGGAUCGUAAAAGUAAUUAAGAUAAAUGCGGGUAAAAAUGUAAAAUAAAGAUGUUGACUUAAGAAUAAUUUAAUUUUUCCUUAUUUGUUACUUAAAGUUAUUUUUUACUUUAAAUCAUACUAUUAAGUUAUUUUAUUAAUUAUAUUUAAUUUAUUUAAUAACUUAAAUUAAGUUAUUAAGUGACUUUAAGUUAUUAAGUUAGUUUACCAAACACUCACAUCACGAUCGUUACGAAAUCUAAAUUGAAAUCUAAAUUGUUUGAUGGGGUACAAAAACAAAUUUAAUGAUUCGGUUAUAGAGUUAUAUACAUAUAUGAAAAAGAAAUUGUCCCAAAUUUCAUAUUAAUUUACCAAUAACAAAUUAACAUAAAUUUCAUAUUAAUUAACAAAGCUCAAAUAUAAGGCUCACACAAAUAAAUAUAAAUGCUCAAACUCAAUUUUAACAAUAAUUAUUAUUAAAAUCAAAUCAAGGAAAAAAAAAAGGAAAAAAUAGUGGUAAUAAUAAUAAUAAUAAUAAUAAUAAUAAUAAUAAUAAUAAUAAUAAUAAUGGAAAAUGAGUGUGAUGGAAAAGUGAGGAAAUGAGAGAAAAGAUGAGAGGUUGUUGAGUGGCGGCUGGCUGGUGACCCUACAGGCAUCUACAGGCAAAUAGUGAGGUUGUCAGUUUUUUGGGAAACAAAAUAAAAUAAAAUAAAAAUAAAAAAUUGAAUGGGAAGAAGAAAAUGAGAGAAAAUGGGGAUGGAGGGACACCGAAAAAGGCGACAAAAAUGGGUAUUGGGGUGGAGAGUUGCAGGGAAAAGAAAAAAAAAAUUGAAGAAAAAAAUGGGUACCAGCCUGUGUGGGAUAAGAAAAAGAAAAAAAUUGGGAGAAAAGAUGGGCUACUAAUUGGGAAUGCCAGUCGUGGAAAGAAGAUUGGGGGCCAACCCACCUUGGGAAUUGGAAGCAAAAAAACUAUAUAAAAAAAAUCUGAGGAGAGAGAAAAGAUAAGAGAGAAGAGAGGAGAGAUGGGGGACGUGGCGUGGGAGGUAUGGGUAGGUGAGAGUAGGUGGAGGAACGAGGGGAGAGGGAAGAAAGGGAAUAGGAAGAAAAUAGGAAGAGAGAGGAGAGGAGAGAGAAAAGAAAAAAAUGAAGAAAGUAAAAUAAUAAUAAUAAUAAAUAAAUAAAAAUAAAACAAUAUACAAAUUUUUUAAAAAAAAAAUAAAAAUUAAAUGGUGAGUGAGUAAAAAAAAUAUCACAUGUAAUUGAGAUUUAAAAUUUAAGGAUAAAAUUGGGUCAAAAUUAAAGGAAAAAAAAAAUUGAGAAAAAUUUUGGAGUCUAUAAUUAUACUUUAUAUUGUAUAUUGUCCUCAAUGUGCUAUAAUUUAACUCAUUCUUUUGCUUCAAACUAUUCAAUAUCUCUUUCAGUUUAAUAUUACUUUUCGAUAUUUGAACUAACAUAUUUAUUUCCUCUUCACUUGAACAAUUAGCAAAAAAAUGUCUUUUAAGAUAUUGUGUGCCAUUAUAAUUAUUUUUUCCACAUUUAUCAAUCAACAUUCAAUCAUCAUAAGUUGUUUGCUUCACACCCUUACGAGUAAAUGGACACUUUAUUUUUACUCUCAUUUUCAAUAUUAGUUUUCAAUAAACCUCUAUAUACUCCACAUCUUUCACAAGUAAAAAUAAUUCUAGGCUUUUGUUCAUGAGGUCCCCUCAUAUCUCUUAACAAUUAUAAUAACCAUUCAAUUCCUUUUACUAGUUUAUCGUACUCAUUUGAUCAAUGCCUCCUCAAUACAAUGAAUGAUAUCCGGUAUGAACAUAGUUGUACAGUCUAUCAUUACCAGAGCUUCUAGUAUAGAUGCAUCAUCCUAUAUUAAAAUUUUAAUUUAAUUAACUUUUUAAUAAAAGAUGUUGUCUAAUAGUAUAGAGUCAAAUAUUCUCAUAGAUAUCCAACACUAUACAACUAGACAUUAUUAAGAUGUUCGAAAGUAUACAAUUGGACACACUUAAGAGUGUCUAGAGGUAUAAGGUCAAACAACUAUAAAAUAUUUGUGGCUCCUUUUUUUAACCCAAAAAAAGGUAUAAAAACAAUACCAGUGUACUUGCAAUAUCAUUGGAUAUGAUUAUUUGAUUAUCCAUUAAUGAGAAGUGCAACUCUCUUGCUAAAUUUGAUUAGAGUUAUGGAGACAUUAGAAAAUAAAGAAUAGAGAAAGGAGGAAAAGAAAAUAUUUGUAUUUUGUGCUAAAGGGUACUUUGGGGAUUUCACCAAGGGCAUUCAUGUCUUAAAAUUUUCAUUAAAUGAUGGAUGCAAAGAGAGUUGAAGUAGAUGCAUUUAUAAAGUCCUUAUUUUUAUUAUAAUAGCUAAAAAUGAGACCAUUUGUGGAGCCUUAGGAGAGCGGGUAAUCAAGUAGGGCAUUAAGAUGGUUGGACACUAUGAUAGACCUACGUAAUAUUUGAAUAUAAUUCACUAUGCAUGUGGACAUCCAACCUUUUAUUUAUUUUUCUUUUCUUGAAUCAACAAUAUAUAACCAAAUAUUUUAAUAUAUAUAUAUGUAAAAGUCCUAGUUUUUGUUUUUGUUUUUUUCACUCAAUGGUUAUGAAGAUAUAUUAAAAUUUUAUUGAAGCCAUGACUUAUCAAAGUUUAGGAAUUAUUUAGGUGUUAGAUUUAUUUUAGCAUUGAUUGAUAUCUUUUUCAAGGACAAACACAUAAUUUUAACUUUUUUUAACUCUAGUAAUCAAUUAAAAUAUUUUUAUUAUUUUAUAAUUAGAUUAGUUAUGCAAUUUAGGAUACCACCCUGCUUUGAUCAUAAGGAAGGUGACACGAAGUAUGAUAUAAUAUUUUCUACCAUUUUUAUGGGUGUGGUUAGAUACAUCCUUGUAUCUUUCUUUUAACUAAUAUAUAUAAAUAUAAUUGUCUUGUUAAAGGUCUUGGGAAACAAUUUUUCCAUACUUAUAAAAAAGCAUCUCCAAUGAAGUUAUGAUAUUUGUAUAAUUUGGGUUUUAUUAUUUUACACCGAAGUUUCAUUUGUUUGUAUUAUAUAUGAGUCUUAUUAUUUUGUGUUUUAAUCUCAUCUUAUUAUACCUUAAACACUUUUUUUUAAUCUUAAUCUGGUUCCCAUUUAUUUAUAUCAUAAUCUUAUAUAUGUGUAUUUUAUUGGACAACCUAAAUUGAGAAAUUAAUAGGUAAGGAUAAAAUAACUUAGCUGUUAGCUUAAAGAUUCUUUUAAUUAAGUUUUGAUGAUUACAAAAUAAGGUUAAGGUUAUUAAUCAUUCAAAUCAAGUGAAAUUUUUCAAGUUUAAUUUUAAGAAUAUAAAGAAAAAUUCAAGUAACCAAGGAAGAAGAUUAAUAUUGUGAAAAACUGACGCUCUUGAAAACUUGAAAUGACAUAGGACAAUUUAUAAGAUGACAUUUGUUGGUGCACUUAGGCCUAAAUUAUUUUUUAUAUGUUUAUAGAUUUAUUUUUAUCCUUCAACUUAAAACGAAUUAUUUAUCAAGAAAAUAGACGAAUCUUUGUUUUGAUUCAAAAUUUUGUCUAAUUUAUAAAACUCUAUUUAAUAUAUAUACUUAUCUAUUCCUUUUUGUCUAAUUCUAUCUAUUCUUGUUCUUCUCCUCAAAAUUUUCUUAUAUUUUACUUAAACUAGAAACAAAUAGAUAAUUUAUAAAAUUCAUUUAGUAUUAAUACUUAUCUAUUUUAUCUCUUUUCUAAUUCUAUCUAAUAUUGUUUUUCUCGGAUUUGAUUCUUAGGUGAGAUAAACUUAUGAUUUUUCUUUUAUUUUUUAAAAUUCUUAAUCAAUGAAAGAAUUUUAUUCUUUUUCGAUUUUAAAAUUAAGUUCGAAGCUUUAUGAGCCUACACUUUUUAUUAUUAAAAACAUAUACAAUUAAAUUACAAAAGAAAUAUGAAAUUAAACCGAUAAUGAUACAUUAGUUUUGUGUUUCCCUUUAUCAUCCCACAUCAACAAAUACUCGAAGAAAAUAGACAAAUCUUUGUUUUGAUUCAAAAUUUAAAAUAUUUAACAAAUAUUUGUCAAGCUUUAGGAGAGCAGGUAAUCAAGUAGGGCAUUAAGAUGGUUGGACACUGUGAUAGACCUAUGUAAUAUUUGAAUAUAAUUCACUAUGCAUGUGGACAUCCAACCUUUUAUUUAUUUUUCUUUUCCUGAAUCAACAAUAUAUAACCAAAUAUUUUAAUAUAUAUAUAUAUAUAUAUAUAUAUGUAAAAGUCCAAGUUUUUGUUUUUGUUUUUUUUCACUCAAUGGUUAUGAAGAUAUAUUAAAAUUUUAUUGAAGCCAUGACUUAUCAAAGUAUAGGAAUUAUUUAGGUGUUAGAUUUAUUUUAGCAUUGAUUGAUAUCUUUUUCAAGGACAAACACAUAAUUUUACUCUUUUUUUUAACUCUAGUAAUCAAUUAAAAGAUUUUUAUUAUUUUAUAAUUAUAAGUGUUUGUAAUAAUUUUCAAAAUCGACAUCCACAUCGAUAAAUCCAUGAAAGUUUUAUGUCUUUAUUAUAGUGGAUAACAACGAGAUGGUUCAUUGAGCUACCUAACGAGAACUUGUAACCAAGUGGGGCAAUAAAGUCAUUGAACACUAUGAUAGGCCUAUGACAUCCAUAAAUGGGCCACAAAUUGUGAUAUCAACACAGUUCACUGUACAUGUGGACAUCCAACCUUUUGUAUUUUUUUCUUAUACUUUAAUAUUUUCUUUUAAAUUUAAUAAAUUAAAAUAAAAACAAACAAAUAAUUUUAUUGUUUUCUUUUAAAUUUUAAAUAAAUAAAAUAAAAUAAUAAUUUAUAAAAAUCUAUUUAAUAUCAAUACUUAUCUAUUCCAUUUUGUCUAAUUCUAUCUAAUCUUGUUAUUCUUCUCAAAAUUUUCUUAUAUUUUACUUAAACUAGAAACAAAUAGAUAAUUUAUAAAAUCCAUUUAGUAUUAAUACUUAUCUAUUUUCUCUCUUUUCUAAUUCUAUCUAAUCUUGUUUUUCUCUUACGGAUUUGUUUCUUAUGUGAGAUAAGCUUGUGAAUUUUCUUUUAUUUUUUAAAAUUCUUAAUCAAUGAAAGAAUUUUAUUCCUUUUGGAUUUUAAAAUUAAGUUUGAAGCUUUAUGAGCCUACACUUUUUAUUAUUAAGAACAUAUACAAUUAAAUUACAAAAGAAAUAUGAAAUUAAACUGAUAAUGAUACAUUAGUUUUGUGUUUCCCUAUAUCAUCCCACAUCGACAAAUACUCAAAGAAUUUACGCCUUUAUUAUAGGAGAUAAUAAUGGGACCGCUUGCCGAGCUUCCUAACGAAAGCUUGUAACCAAGUGGGGCAAUAAGGCGGUUGAACAUGUGGUAGACCUAUAUUACACCCGCUAAGUGGACACAAAGUAUUGUGAUAUUUGGAUACAUUUAGCUAUACAUAUGAACAACCGACCUUUUGUUUUUUUCCCAAAAUUUUUAUCUUUUAUUAUUUUCUUUUAAAUUUUAAAUAAAUUUAAAAUAAUAAAAAAAAACAAAUAAUUUAUAAAAUCUAUUUAAUAUCCAUACCUAUCUAUUUCUUUCUUCUUCUUUUUUUCUUUUUUUCUAAUUCUAUCUAUUUCUCCCCCAAUUUUUUCUUAUAUUUUACUAUUUUCUUUUUCCCCCAAAUUUUUUAUAUUUUAUUAUUUUUAAAAUUUUAAAUAAAUUUAAAUAAAAAACAAAUAUUUAAAAUCCAUACCUAUCUAUUUCCUUUUUUUCUAAGUCUAUCUAUUUCUCCCCCAAAAUUUUCUUAUAUUUUAUUAUUUUCUUUUAAUUUUAAAUAAAUUAAAAAUAAAACAAAAAUAUUUAUAAAAUCAAUUUAAUAUUCAUACUUGUCUAUUUUCUUUCUUUUUCUAAUCUAUCUAACCAUGUUUUUCUCACACGGAUUAUUUUUUAGGUGAGACAAACAUGUGAUUUUCCUUUUUAUUUUUAAAAAUUCUUAAUUAUUGAAAGAAAUUUUUUUAUUUAUUUUUUUUAAAAUUGGGGUGUGGGAAGUGGUGCAUGUGCCCCUAUACCAUGAUGGCUCCUCAUUACGUGUUUAAAAUCAAUUAUAGCAAAGUUUGAUAAGUUAUAUAAUUAUUACUUAUUAUUUAUCUUUAAGAGUAAAACAAAGAUAAUAAGUAAUUAGUAUUUAUUUUUAAAUUAAAGUGUUUGGUAAAAUUUAAUACUUAUUAUUUAAUAAUUUUAAAUUAAAUUAUUCUUAAACUAUUGACUUAAAAUUUAUCACUUAAUUUUUAUUUUAAACAUUAAAGUUAUUGAAUAAAAUUAAUUUAAUUUUUUUUAAAAAUUAUCAUAUUGACAUAUUUAUCGUCAUAAAUCAUAAUUAGAAUAAAUAAGUUCAAAUAAUAAUGGAAAUAGUGGAGUAGUAAAAAGGAUCAUGGAAGUAAUUAAGAUAAAUGAAGGUAAAAUGUAAAAUGAAAAUAUAGACUUAAGAAUAAUUUAAUUUUUCUUUAUUUGUUACUUGAAGUUGUUUUUGACUUUAAGUCGUACCAUUAAGUUAUUUUACUAAAUAUACUUAAUUUGUUUAAUAACUUAAUACUUAAAUUAAGUUAUUAAGUUACUUUAAGUUAUUAAGUUAGUUUAUUAAACACCCAUGUCCCGAUUGUUAUGAAAUCUAAAUUGUUUGAUGGGGUACAAAAACAAAACAAAUUUAAUGAUUCGGAUGUGGAGUUAUAUAAAUAUGAAAAUUGCUAAGGUAUAAAAUGGGCACCAAUUGAACCGAUCAUUAUGAAAUCUGAACUGUGAUUAUUCCGAUGAGGAGUAUAUAUAAAAAGCAAGCUAUAGAAGAAAUCUGAAUUAGCCACAGAUAUCUGGAUUUGAAUCUCUCAGGUUCUCACCGGUAACCAUGAGAGAACUGCAGUUCCUAACGUGGGCCGGACAGUUGUAGGAGAUGGGCUUGCCCUGUAGCUUUGGACUUUUGGGCUUGGACUCAAGUAAAAUGUAGGGCCCAGGCCAAUCAUAUACUUGGGCCGAUCUGGGCCGAAUCAGCACUUGGGGAGGCAACAUCCCUUCGGUUAUUGAAAAUAAAUUUUAAAGUGAUAAGACUGAUAGUAGUAGCCACAUGCAGAAAAAAUGAAAGUGACUUUAUGUAGUUAAUUUCAAAAUAAUAAUAAAUAAAAAAAAUUAAAGUAAUAGUGUUGACUUGUAAUGAAACAAAAUUUAAAACUUAUUAACAAAGACAGGUGAAAUUGGGAAAAAAAAUGAAUUUUUAUUUUUUAUUCACAUUUUAUUAAAAAAUAUUUUGAAAAAUGAUAAUUUAUUUUCCUCGUUGUGCCAUGUAAUUAUUAUUAAUUUUUAAUAAAUAUGAGACUUCGUAUCGAGACUAUCAUAAAUCUUGUUGUAAUAUCAAAUUAUAAGAAAAUAUAAUCAAAUCAAUAUUUAUCCGAUCUAUUAAAUUUUUAUAUAAAAAAAUAUUACGUUACAUAUAUAUUUAAGUUAUAUUUGAUUCACGGAAAAUUCGAUAAAAAAUACGAGAAAAAAAUAAAUAAAUAAAUAAUGAAAUAAAAAAUAAAAACUAAGCUUAAAGUCAUAAUUUUACUUAUUUUUCAUGAUUAAAAAAAACCAUUUUUCUUAUUUUUCAUGAUUAAAAAAAAAGCUAAUUACUAAAUUGGCUGGAACUUUCUUCAUCUCAAAGAAGAAGAAAGUGAGGUGGUCAAAUUACAGUGACAUUCAUCCUUACUUCCACGCCUAGCGAAAACGAGAGAAAUCAAUCCAAUGGCUGUGUGUUCCUCAUCUUCUUCUUCUGGAUCUUCAUCCACCACCAAAGCCUGGAUCAUCCACGGCAUUCUCACCGGCGCUGCGGUGGCCGUGGCCCUCGGCGCCCACGCUUACCUUCUCCUCCGCCGAUCCGGCAAGUUCAGGAGCCGGGUCGUUGGAAUUAUACCGGCCCGUUUCGCUUCGUCUCGGUUCCAGGGGAAGCCUCUCGUUCAGAUCCUUGGAAAGCCCAUGAUCCAGGUCCUCAAUUGUUCUGUUUUCUUCUAUCUGAUCUGGGUUCUGAAUCUUUUUUAUGAUUAAUCGUAAUUGUUGUUUUAUUUUAUUGUUGCUGAAAUUGCAUAUGCUAUCCGACUUGGGUUCUCUCCGUGUAUGCAUUAAUCAAAUCCAACAACUGAUUCAAUGACUUGAAAAUUGAUUUCAGAUUGGGAAAUUUAAGCUUGGAGCAUUAAAAUGCAGAACUAUGAGGAAAGAAAAAAAAAAUAGUAUUAAAAUUUGAAUUAAUUAAUACAUGUGUAUGUAUGUUGAAAAUGAAAUUGUAACUUAUGUAUGAAUGAUUCCCUCAAUAAAUUAUAAAUUUAUAGAUAGAAAUUUUCCAAUUUCUUGAAACAUUUUUUAAAAGCAUGUGUGCCUGACAAUCUAUCAGGAAAGGGUGGCUAUUAGAAAAUGAGGACUUUAUAGGCUUGAGUUGGGGAUGGUGCCUUGGAUGAUAGUGACCAAAAUAUUUUGGAAUGUUAGCUAGAAGGAGUAGAUUCAGAGCAAUAAGUUUAAAAUCUUUAACAGUAAUAUAGUUUAUUAUACAAAAAUAACUGGUCUCAUUGAUAUGCUCAAUGAUCUAAUUGAAUUUUGAAGAAGAUGGGGUGUGGAAUGGCCUUUCAGUAUGGCAUUUUUGGAAUUUAAGAGCAAUAGGAGUGUAGGACUUCUGAGUGGUACUAUUACAUGUGGGUGUUGUAUUCGUCUGAUAUAGUUUGUUUAAGAUCAAAGCAUUGAAACAUGCGAAAUAGCAUGAUAUGCCAUUGGUUUUCAUAAGGCAACUAAUUAAUAUUGGUUUUCAACCUAAUAUUAAUUAUAUUGCAGUACUUGGUAUGACCCCACUUAAGAAACAGAUAGAAUGGUAAUUUUGGGUAAUUCAAAGUUUGCCGACUCACCCACUUGCCCCAUUGUCCACCUGAAUUGCUAGAAAAAUGAGGUAACUUGAAAAAUGGUAUGUUGAUAAAUGAAAAAUAAUAAGGGAGAAAAGAGGUGUGGAGGUAUUGGUCAUAACACUAACAAAGUAUGAGAUCUUUUGAGCUUCUGAAAGAGUACACAAGAAAAGGUGAAAAGUUAAACUAGAGCAAGAAUAAUUCCAGAUCAUUUCUUACUCAUUAUGGAUGGUUAAACUAAGCGAUUUUCCAUUAAUGAACUCUAGUAAGAGCUAGUUGAUGGUACUUGAGAUUAUUCUGUUCAAAGGAAAGCAGUAAUAUGAAUUGGAAGGCCACCUUGUUACUUGUUCUGACAUUGAAGAAAAAUACUUGGCUUUCCCAAAACAAAGUUCCUAUGCUGCCAUUCUCUCAUUUAUAUUUUAGUGAUUAAGCUGUUGCAAGCUUGAUCUUGGGUAUUUGUGUAGAUCACCUUUUUGGGACAGAAGCUACCACUUUCGUAAUGGUUUACUGACCAUGGUUUUUUUGUUGCUUUUUCACAGAGAACAUGGGAAAGGGCAAAACUAGCAACAACAUUGGAUCAUGUUGGUGUGUCUUCUCUCUCCCUCUCUUUCACCCUUUUUUGUUUGGUUUGUAUUUUUAAUUCUCAUUAGUACCUUUAUCUUGGUUUAGUUGUGGCUACGGAUGAUGAUAAGAUUGCAGAUUGCUGCCGAGGAUUUGGUGCUGAUGUGAUAAUGACGUCAGAAUCGUGCCGAAAUGGUAGGUCUCAGUUGUGCCUUUGUUUGCAAGUGGUUUGAUUAAUUAGAUCUUCAUCAGUCAAAGAAUCUCUUUUAGGGUGGCAUAGAUCCCUUUUGAGCAAAACACAUAAGAAGGUUUAGAGAGCGGCUCCCUCGUGUUUUUUUGGAAAAUAUGGAAAGAAGGAAUUGAAGGUCUUUUGAUAAUGAGGAGCAACUCAAUCAUACUCUGAAAAGUUCUUCUCUUAGUAGUCUUUUCUUGUGUGUAAAGUUGUUCACUAAUGUAGGUACAAUGCCUUUAAUUGAUUUUGUUGAUUGGCUAGGUUCUUGCUAAGGGAGGAGAGUUGCAUUUUGUGUCCUUUCUUUUUGGAUGUGCCUUUGGGCACCCGUUGUAUAAAUCUGAUGUACUUUGGAACGCUGUUUUUUUAGCGCUUAUUUACAAAAUCAUAUCAUUUGUGCCUAUCAAAUAAUGGAUUUAUUAGUAGCUUUUUUCCCCUAUACAGGUACUGAACGUUGCAAUGAAGCUCUUCAAAAGCUAGAGAAGCAGUACGAUAUUGUUGUCAAUAUCCAGGGGGAUGAGCCUCUUAUUGAACCUGAGAUAAUUGAUGGGGUCGUUAAAGCUCUUCAGGUAACUUCUUUGUUGCAUCCUAUAUGCCUCGUGAGGAAGUGUUAAGAUCUCAUGAACAAAGAAGUAAUGUUAAUCCCAGUUGAGUUCUGUACAAGCUUGAAUUUUAGUUGAAGUUGAAUUAUUUCUGAAACCUAGAUGACCCGAACAAAAAGAUGCUAUUUACAAUUCUGAGAGGAAGAUGAUAACACUAGUGAAUCAGUACUUAUCAUCUGAUGACAUGGAUAGUCGGGGGGGGCUUUUCCAAUUUGAAUGACAUUUCCAAUGCCUUGUCUGAGUUCUACAUGAAUCUUAUAGCCCAGCUUUUAAUUAAAUAUUCUUGUAACAUGUGAAAGAGGCUGCUAAGGCUUAAAAUUUCAGCCAUUUACAACUCUCUAGACCAUACAAUUAGCCUAGAAUUUUAUGUAACUAACUAUUUUCUGAGCUCUGCAGGCAGCCCCAGAUGCAGUGUUUAGCACUGCUGUCACAUCUUUAAAACCUGAAGAUGGAUUUGAUCCAAAUCGGGUGAAAUGUAUUGUAGACAAUCGUGGUUAUGCAAUCUAUUUUUCAAGGGGACUGAUUCCCUUUAAUAAGUGAGUUUUCAUGUUAUAUUGCGAUUUUCUUUUUUAAUUACUACUUUUUGGGUGGGGGUAGGGAAACUCAGGUUGAUAUGCCACAUACUAUCCACUUCUUAGACCUGAUGAAUAUUUCCACCUACACUUGGUUCAGGUCAGGGGAAGUCAACCAACAGUUUCCAUAUCUGCUUCAUCUCGGUAUUCAGGUAUUAGUAUGACAUCUUAGGAAUGAUCUUUGUGUCCUUAUUAGGAGGAUUCUGUGGUCAUUUUAUUACAUGUAUCCCCAUCUUGUGAAUUAAUGAUGCUGCAUUAUUUACAUUGGGCCAGAGCUAUGAUACAAAGUUCCUCAGAAUAUAUCCAGACCUUCCACCUACACCACUUCAACUCGAGGAAGACCUGGAGCAGCUUAAAGUCCUUGAGAAUGGAUAUAAGAUGAAGGUACAUACAAUAAGAUUUUCUUCGAAUUUUCUUAACUCCUUUAGCUGAUGUCCUUUUCUUCCGUAAUUUCUUCCAAUGCAAUCUUUUAUAUUGCAUGUUUCUUAAAGCUUUGAAUGUUUUAGUUCCCCUCCUCUCAACUUUUCUCACUUGCAUUUUAUUAUUUCCAUCUUUAUGUACUAGUUUGUUCAUUUUAUAAGUUGUUUACAUGAGAAAUUGAUUCACCUAGAUAUUGCACUUAAAAAGGCAAUAAUGCUGAAAUAUAAGACUGGAGAUGAAAAAUAGUUCCUGUCCACUCUAGGUCCAAUGGGACUUCACGGUUUUAAAAAGCAUCUACAUUGUAAAGAGGCACACACCACGCAUAUAGUGUCAAGAACUUUCUUCUCUAUUUGAUGUCAAAUAUCACAAUAAGACGCCCCCCUCUCCCCAUGCAAACACUAGGUAGACAUGUUUUAAGGCCGUAAAGGUCCGUUGAGCCUAAAGCAGACAUUAUCUACUUGGGAGGAAGCGGAUUAUUAUACGGGACACUUUUCAUAUAGAAAUGCAAUAAAUUAAAAAAAAUUCUAUAUAUCCCCAUUUUGCAGGUGAUUAAGGUUGAUCAUGAGGCUCACGGUGUAGACACUCCGGAAGAUGUUGACAAGAUAGAAAGCUUCAUGCGCGAGAGGAACUUGUCUUAGUUCAUAGCACAGAAAACAACCACUGGAAAAAUCGUAUACUGGUAAUUAGAUUGCAUUCAGCUACAUUCUUCUUCAUUACAGUUCUGUGUGGUCCAUCUAAACAAAAUCAUCAAAAGGGAACAUAUUGAAGCCAUUUAACUUUUGUAUUUUCAUUCCCCUAAGCUCAGUUAGUUAGGUCAGGUUGAUCCAUGAAAUGUUUAGGGUUUUUUAACACUCUGUUGUUCAUGUAUGUGAACUAUAGUUUAUAGUUUCAAUUGUGAGACUCUACUAUUGUCUUUCCCUGUAUAAAUAUAAAUGGUUAUAAGACGAGAAUAAAGGCGAAUCAUAUCAUAUGAGGGAGGAAUCAAGAUCCUAGUGAAUGAAUAGGAAUGAAAUUGAUUUCUUAUUUCUAUUCUCUUUAUGUUUGGCUGACUUUUUGACUUUUUGUUUAAAUAAUAUUAUUUAAAAAAUUAUUUUAAAAAAACGGCAUUUUAUAAAUUAUUUACAAAAAUAAGCAUUUUUAAAAUCAUCUUUUCAAAAAAUAAUUUUAUAUAAAGAAUGCCAAAGUUUAAAAAUUCAUUACGAGUUUGACAUAUCAAAAGAUGAUUUUAAUAUAAAUACAAUUUAUAAAUUUGUCCAAAAUGAUGUGAAUAUAAAAUGUUAUAUUCUCAAUAAUAUAUUCAUAAUUACCAAAAAAAAAAAAAAAGUACAUGAUUGUGCAAAAAAAAAAAAACCCCUCCUAGUUUCAAUCUUCUCCCGUAUGAAGAGAUAAUAAUAAUCAUUUCUUUUCAAAUAUACAUAUAAAUAUAUGAAAUAAUUAAAAAUAUUUAUAUUAAAAAUGAAUUAUUUUUCAAACAAAAAUAUGAAAGGGUUUAAAUUCAUAAAUAUAAAAAUUAUUUCUUCCUUUUUUAAUCAAUUAAUUUUAAUAAAAAUUGCAGGAUGAAUGGGAUUUUUCUUGUCUAAUAAUAAUAAUGAUAAUAAUGUGUAAAGUAAAAUGUUAAUCUCUCAAUUAUUAAAUUAUUAAAUAGUGAGUAAGAAUUGUUAAUAGAGUAUGCUUAGGCUUGAAGAGAAUUGCAUGUAAAAGUAGUUACUAAAAAUAGAUUUGUGACUAAUCUUCUAUUAUUAUACCUUUAGAAAUACAAAUAUACGUAUUCCUCAUUCCACGUGGUGGUAGUGAGGGGCGAGUAGAAUCCAUCUGCCACUCUCAUGCGCGUGGUUCUGUCACCAACUUCACCUCCGUCUUGAACAGUAGAAUGUAGAGCGAGUCAAUCGAGAAAUAAACGAACCCACCAGGCGAGUGAGUCACAAACGACCCGAAACUCGUUCCCGCCACACAGUGCCACGCCGGGCCGUACACCGAGUCAAACUCCUGUGAAACCACACCUAAAAGGUCAACCAAUCUCACGAGGAGAUGAGAUAGAAAACACAGAGAGAAGGGGAGGGUGGGAAUUCGGGGAAGAGAUUAAACCUUUUUGAGGGCCCGAGCUAUGUGGCUUGGAUUGGGACGAGUGGCGUCCGGGAUGGCGUCGACGAGUGAUCUGGAGUAUCGCAGCGCAUGAUCCUGCAUGGCUGGCGGCAUAUCGGAGGAUCUCAGCCGCACGUUCAGGCUGAUGGCAAUGGCUGCGAGCUUCACCUCGAGGUUCGGCGCUAUCCUGCGCUGGGAGGGCAUUUGCGCCACCUGCUUCUCCUUCAUUUCUUCGGUCUUCUCCAUUUGAGCUCGAGGUUUGAAUUUUGACUGUUGUGCGUGGAAAAUAUAUAUAGUGAAUGGUGCAGCGGCGAGUCUCAACGCUCCCCGUUGGGGGUUGUAUAGGACGCGCUGGUUGAACUUGGGUUGGUGUUGACUUGCGACUGACACAUGAGAGCUAGAAUGGUAUUGAAUCAUCACGUGAGUUACCUGCGCGUGUCUAUCAGAGUCCAUGAUUUCUCCGAGUCUACUUGUGUGGACACGGGAAAAGCGUGGAAAUGGCGAUCGCAGACGAUUCUAGUGUGACUGCAUGAGUUUUGACCCGGAUUUUUUGCCACCUGGCAAUUACUUUAAUGCAAAAUGAUGAAAGAAAUAUGUGUUUUUUUCUCUUUUUUUUUUUAAAAAAAAUUUGUCAAAAGCCAGAGGCACUGUGGAAGGCUUUCACAUCAAUUUGACAAAGUUGAUUAGCAUUCUUCUUCCGACCAAAAUGAAUUCUAAAUGUUUUUUGAUACAUUCAUUUCUCUUAAUAAAUCAUGAAUUUAUGAAUCUUAGCGUUUUCAACGGAUUGUCACCUUAAAUUAAAAAAUUAAAAAUUCAAGCAUCCAUGGCCACGUGAUUCAUCGUUGAACCAAAAUCUAAAGUGGUGUUUGUUUUUUUACUUAAUUCUAAAUAGAACUUUAAUAUUUAAUAGUAUUAAAUAUUAGGUUGUUUGUUUUUAUAGUAUUUUAUUUCUAUUAAGUAUUAAAAAGUAAAAAAAACAUCAUAGUGUUAUUUUUUCUAUUUAGAAAAAAUCACAUAUUUUGAUUUUUUCUAUUUAGUAAAAAGCUUAUAAUAAGUCAUAAAAAAAUAAAAAAACAAACAACUUAAAUUCUAAAACUAAAUGAUUUUCAGUAAAAAGUUAAAAAAACAAACACCACCUAAGCCUUUACAAGAUAUGAUACCGACAUUUUAAUAUAUUAGAGGGAAUGGGUCAUUAAAAUUUCCCAUACUAAUGAUAUAACCUUCGAUCUUUGUAACCCGUGAAUGAUUUUGUUCAUGGAACCUGUAUUAUUACAGCUGAACAGGAUUUUCCUUCCAUUGACAGAAAAUUGCAUUCUUAGAUUUUUAAAAUUCCACAGAAUGGGUCCCAAAAUCAUAUUGCAUCCUCCCAAGCUAUGAGUCUCAAAUCAGCUUAAUAGAAACUUCUUCCCUAGCAAGUUCCAUUUCAAUUGCCUGCAAACUGCAUCACCAGUAUUCAUUAUUGAAUUAUAGAUUGCACGGAUCUACCCUCAUGGAUCCACACACAGCGCCCUUGGCCACAGUGGGCUUUGGUUCUCUUCAUGCAAUGGCUGUAAUUUGACUGUAAAUUGGCACACUGAAGUUGGGAUAUUCUUAGAACUAGCUUUAAUUUGUCUAAAACAGAAGCUACUUGUGUAUUCUUACAAGUUUCUAUAGAAGAUACGUAUAACACUGAUAGCAUGUACCUGAGCCCAUCAGAAUAAACUACUUAUUUUAAGCUUAAAAUGCCCAUCGUUGAGGGAGAUAAGCUUUGAUAAAGUUAUUUUCAAGAUUUUUCCUUCUUUUACAGACACACACACACAACAAAGCUUUCCUGCUUUUUCACUGGCUUGUUGAGCUCCACGCAAGUCCAAGGUGGAUCUAGCCGAUCUGAAGAAUAGGUCUUCUUGUAAUAUUUGUGCUGUCAACAACCUUGAACCACUGGCUCCCAGGAUCACACAUAUCACCUCUACCCAAACACUUGCAGGCAUCUGUGACAAUGGUGCUGCUGGAGUCUACAUCCAAGCAAACACGGGUGCCAUCCCCCAGCUUAGUUGACAGGUACAUCUUUGAAUCUGAAAUGUUCUCCCAAUUUGACCCAGGUUUAGUGCAUAUUAUACUGAGUUUUGCAGGCUUCCCUAGCCCAACUGCUUGAAGGCAGAAGUAUGUUCCCUUCACUGUCAACAACUUUUGGGGGGUGUAGCCCCAAGCUUCUGACUUGGUGCAGGGACCUAGCUUUAAUGGUUCAGACCCUGAUUCCCUUAGAAUGCAAAGACCAGUCGAAGGAUGGAAGAUUAUUUUAUGUCGUCUGACUCGGGAUACAUCUGGCCCUGCAUCUCAUAUGAAAGCACACAAAAUUUAGAUAUGAAUAAUUAAGUAAAUUUGCCUUAUUUGCCUUAGCAAACAUACCUUGCAAAGGAGAUUGGAGGGCUGAAAUCCUCUGGAAGAAGCUUGAGUUCCAAUUCAUUAACCCAUUAGUCUCUUCCAGUGUCCACAAUGCCCAAUCGAAGUCCAGUUCAGCUGCCAGGCCAAAGAAGCAAUUUAAGUGCCUGUUGUCAUCCACCCCAAGCUCACUCACAAACAUUAAUGGCCAUCCUUGCUGUAGCAGAACCCCUCCUCUCCUCAUUAUGCUGUCCACCACUCUCCCGCACACCUUGUUGGGGUUGCUGGUUUCCCCAGCCCUCCCAACCCGCGAUCCAUGCCAAUGCAUCUCCAACACUAAUUUCCCUGUGAAUGUCAAUUCCAGCUGUUGAUUGAGGAGGAAAGAUAGGUCUGUACCAUCACUCAAGCCAGAGAUUAUGACCAGAACAUCUGGGUUGGCUGAGUGCACUGCUUCAGCUCCUUUCUGCAUGUACCUGGUCAAUUCAUGAAUAGCUUUAUAACAAGACCAAUUCCUACAAAUAUGGUAACUAAUAGUUUGGAAAUAUAACAACCCCCUCCCUUACGUGUCCGUGUAGAUAUUGUCCAAUCCAAUGGGACCCUCACCAUACAAUACAAUGCAUAUAUAAGAUUAAGAAGAACCCAUGAAUACAUAACAUUCUUCAAUUUGGUCCCGCACAUUAGGGAAUGAAUCAUAACAGGAAAAUAGAGAUCAUCACCUGUACCAGUCCUUCACAUUCUGAUUGGGGCAUCGGAGCUCAUUCCUCAAGCUCAUGCCCACCACAUUAGGGACACCGCUGAACAUGGUGGCAAUCCGGGUGAGGCCCUUGACCCACAAGUCUGGAUUGAAGUGCUGGUCGCCAAAGACGCCAUUGUCAUGGAAGCUGGGCUCGCUGAAGUGACUGUCUAGUAUGACCAUCAUAUUGUUGUCCGCAAGGUUAGACACCACCGCCUGCCAUAAUAACUUAAGAUAAAUACAAAACAGCGUUGGGUCUGUGCCUUUUUUACAAUACCGGUGUUUUAUCAUUGAAUAAUCACAAAUAUUAUUCUUUCCGAAUACUGUAGCUGUAACAGUGAGGGCGUUUGUCCAAAUUCACAAGCCACCUAUUUUUAAAUCAAGAUAAUCAUGAAAUCAUGUGAUAGUGUACGAACCAAGGAACCAUUUCAAAAGCCUCCUAUUUUUACUCCAUGCCCUAAUCAAAAUUUAAGCUCUAAAUCAUGGUGGGAAAGUGACUAAAAAUCAAAAGAAAAGCAGGUAAGUUUUAGGCAAACAAAAUAGAUUCAUUCAAUUUUCCUAGUACUUAAUGGAUUUGAGGCUUGGAGCCUCUUUAACUGAUGCCUAGAGAAAAUCAAAUGAACUUGACCACCUGGUAAGCGCUUGUGAGAGGAAGAUCAAGCAUGGAAGGGUUAUUGGCCUGGAAACCAGCAAGGGAUUCAAGCAAGCCAAGCCUCUGAAAGGACUGUAUAACAGUGAGGGAGGCCAGUGACUGGUCGGUGGCCAAGAAAAGUGGCAAAGUGAGCCUCACACAGUUGAACCCCAAGGACGCAAUCCUCUUGGAGAUGAGGUCAACUGGGUGGUUGCUGAGGCCCUCCGCCACCGCUGCUUCCUGAUGCGACGGCCAAUUCACGCAUGCCAGCUUCACCCGGGCGCCAUCUUCGUCUACUAUCCACCUUGAAUUGGUGUAUAGUGGCAGAGCCACUACAGGCUUCAGAGGUAGAAGACAUAGAAUAGAUAGAAAGAAGGACAAGAAGAAGAACCUCCCCAUCUGGAUUUGCAUUGACUGCUUGAUGGGUAGAUGGAAUGAGACAUAGUAUUGUAUUUAUAGGGUGGGGGCCCUUGUUUGUUUUUUCUUUUAAAAUUCCUUUUUUUUUUCUUUCUUCCCCACAUUAUGUUUUACUAGACCAAAUUCAUAUAUACAGUGAAAAAUGAUCAUAUAUUCAAAUAGUCAGCAUGUCUUUGAAUUGCUUUAUAAAAAUAUUAAAAAUUUAAGUUUUUUAUUUAAUUAAAAAAUAAAAAAAUUAAGUGUCAGAAAAUAAAUUUGUUUUUUUAUACCUCUAUCUAUUAAUUUUCAAUUUUAUACAAUAUUCAUAUCUUAUUUAUUUUAUAUAAACACAAAAAUUUAUUAUUCAUGAAUAAUCUCAAUCCCAAUCCCAUCAAAUUCUCACCAUCCAUUUACAUACAAAUAUUGAUUAGGGUUAAAUUCUUUGGUUGAUAGAUUUUGAAUUUAUCGUCUUUUCCACCGUGUUUCUUCCUAACAUGUCAAUAUUUUCUUCAAACCCAUCAUCUAAAUAACUCAUUAUUUGCAUGAUCCUUGAGUUAUACGAGUGAUUCACAUCGAAUGAAAGGUUUGAAAAUACUUUCUCUCGAUUAAUUUUCAUUGAUAUGAAAUACAUGUAUACAUACAAUAUACAACUGACUUUUUAGUGUAUCACUUCCUAUAAUUAUGAUGACUACUUUACAAUAGUAAACCGAUUUUAAAACAAAUGAAAUCAAAUAUUUAUGUAAUAUUCAAAAUGUUUAUAUAAUAUUCCAAAAUAAUCAACUAUUCUAUUUAGGGAUGAUAAUGAGUCAGGUUUUUUUGGGUACCCGUCUCACUCCAUCUCUAAUAAGACGGGGUUCAAUUUUAAUAAACAGGUUUGAGAAUUUUUUUUAAACCCGGGAUGGGUUCGGGUAUUGUCCUGUCUCGAUUAUAUAUAAAAUUAAAAUUUAAAAUUAAUUUAAUUUAAUUUUUAUUUCAUUAUUUUUAAUAUAUAGAUAAUAAUAAAAUAUUUUUAAUAAAUUAAGUUAUAAAAAAUAUAAUAAUUUAAUUAUUUAUAAAAUAUAUUUAUUUUAAUGUAAUUAAAAAUUUUAAAAAUAAUUUUUAAAAAAUACAAUUAAAAAAAAAAAGUUAAACGGCACGAGGGGUAUAAAAUUUUAUCAUACUCAUUCCUCCUUAUUUAAUUUUUUAAAUAGGACGAGAAUGAAAAUUAUUUUGAAUAAACGAAAUAGGGUUGGAUGACCUGUUGCCUUCCCUAAUCCUACUAAAAAGUCUCCAACAUGCCCCGCGAAAUGCUUACAAUCGUUGAGCAAUUGUAAUCAAUGAUCUUAACUUUCUUUUAUAAGGGGAAAGCGACAUUUUGAGAUGAAAUCUAUCCCGGGGGAUUUUCAUCUAAAACCUAGGAGUCUUAUCAUAUUCCCACAACAAUGCAUACACUGAAUUCAUUCAAAUAAGGAUGGGGUUUUUUCUUCAUAUUUAUUUGCAUAUUGUGGACUAUGAAUAGCAUUAUAAUUGGCGUUGGAAACACGCCAAGUUGCAGAACAUGGAAGUCAAAUAUUUGCUUGGAACUUUGGGGUUUGGAAAACUUGCAAGGCAAACCACAUCUACUUGGUUUCCCAUUGCUUUUUGUUUUUGCAUCUCAGCCUUUUGUUUAAUUCUUUUAAGCAAGUGAAUUUUAUACUUCUAUACUAUAAUUUAAAUUUUAAAAAUAAGUGUUUGAUGAUUUAAAUUUUCCUUUCAACAAAAUAUUAAAGAAUAAUUUAAAAAAAUACUUUUAAAUUCACUUUAAUUUUUCCUCAUUCUUACUUGUAGUUAUUAAUUAAUUUUUAUUUAUCCAUUAAAAAACCAUUGAUCAUUUAUGAAUAAUAAUAAGUAAUAAAUAAUAAAUAAUAAAUUAAAUUAGUGAUUUCUAUAAUAUAUAUAUAUAUAUAUAUAUAUAUGACAGAGACAAGAAGAGGUGAAUAAGAGGAAAUGAGGAUAGGGUUGGGGUGGGUUUUGGAGCAUUUUUACAUCCCUAUUUGUAAGUUUUGAAAGUUCCACGACAAUGCCAAUGGCUGUAGACCCUCUAUUUUGUCUUUCUCACACAUGUCGUUUAUAGCAAUUUCCUGGUGGCCCAUUAAUACUCGUGUAACCUAUCUUUUCUAAGCUACCUCGGAGACUUUGGUUGAGGGAUUAUCUGACCCCUUAUUGUGACCCUUGGCAGCCCUAACUUAGACUUAGGUUUUUCUUGCUUUUUUUUUAGGAUAGCUUUUAGGCACCCUAGGCCCACUUAGGCACCCUAGGCCCAUUUAGGUAACCCUAGGUCCAUUUAGGUAUCCCUAGGCCCAUUUAGGUAACCCUAGGUCCAUUUAGGUAUCCCUAGGCCCAUUUAGGUACACUUGGCCCAUUAGGCAUCACUUUAGGCCCAUUUAGACACUUUAGGCCCACUUAGUUACCUUAGGCCCACUUAGAUCACUUUAGGCCCAUUUAGUCACCCUAGGCCCAUUUAGCCACCCUAGACCCAUUUAGGUACACUUAGCCCAUUAGGCAUCACUUUAGGCCCAUUUAGACACUUUAGGCCCACUUAGUUACCUUAGGCCCACUUAGAUCACUUUGGGCCCAUUUAGCCACCCUAGGCCCAUUUAGGUAACCCUAGGCCCAUUUAGGCACACUUGGCCCAUUAGGCAUCACUUUAGGCCCAUUUAGACACUUUAGGCUCACUUAGUCACCCUAGGCCCACUUAGAUUACUUUAAGCCCAUUUAGGUACACUUGGCCCAUUAGGCAUCACUUUAGGCCCAUUUAGACACUUUAGGCCCACUUAGAUCACUUUAGGCCCAUUUAGGCACCCUAGACCCACUUAGUACACCCUAAGCCCAUUAGACGCACCUAGCCCAUUUGGUGUCACCCCAAGCCCACUUAGGCACCUUAGGUUCACUUAGAUACACCCUAGGCACCUUAGACCUACUUAAGCACCACCCUAAGCCCACUUAGGCACCCUAGGACGAUUUAGGCACUUUAGGCCCACUUAGGCACCUUAAGUCAAUUUAGGCACCAAUAGAAAGAUAAGAAACUGCCUAUGAUGUGAAGCUUGGAGUGGGUAGCUACCAUAUUGGUUCCAAGAGUAGACAUAUGGAAAAAAUGAAUGGAGCCAUGUUAUGGGGAAGAUUCAGCUUAUGUAUGAAAAAAGAAAUGAUGAGCAGCAAAGAAGGUAAUGUAAUUUGUCUUUUGGAAAAAGAAUCACAUGAUGAUGGAAGGAGGAUUCAGUAGUGUUUUGGGUCAAAGCAUAUUUUAAACGGAAAAGGAAAAGAGAUGAUAUAUUUUAGGAAGAAUUGAGGUGGCAUAUUGAAUAGACAGACUGUAUUUUGCAAGAAAGAGAGCAGAGGGAAUUCAGAGAAGGAAAGAAAAGUCAACUCACAUGCAAAAAAUGGAGGAAAGGCGUGAUGAAAGGGAUUGAGGUUUUUUUUUUUUGGGGAAUAUGAGAGACAAUUGAGGAGGGAGAAGGAGGAUUUUUUUUUUUAGAGGAGAGCCGGAAGAUAGAUGGGAGACAUCUUAGGGAGAAAAAACAAAAGAGUUUUGGAAGAAUUUUGGUUGAUUUUUUGAACGAGAUUCAGAAGAAAAUUAUAGACAUGGAGAUCACGUUUCCGGGUGGAACUUCUAAAGAACGCAUAGGCUGAUUCGGGGACUCUUUGUGGUGAAGGAACACGCGAGUCAGAUCGAAGAAGCGGACACAACUAGACUGAGAAGAAAAAGUGACACAACCGUGAAAGAGGGUAGCUGCAAGCAAGGAAAGGAAAUGAAAUCAUGGACGGUUAUAAUAGGAUUUAAUGUCUUCCGGUGAGUGUUUUGUUGGAUUUAAUGUAUUUAUAUGAGAUGUGUUAAUGAUUGUUUGAACAAAAUAUAAAUUAAGUUAGGAUUUUUAGUUUUUUUUUUUUGUUUUUUAAUUUAUUUUAUUUAUUUUAUUUUAGUUAUCAUUAUUAUUAUUGCUAAUCUCAUGUUACUUUUUGUAGGCAUUUGUCUUGGAUGAUUCGGGCUGAUAGUUUAAAAAUUAGAUGUUUUAUUCGUUUUGGAUAAUUUUGUGAUGUUAAUGAAAAGUUGAAAUAUUUUGCAAGUUUUUUUAGUUUUCAAUAAUUUGGAUAUUAAUGAAAAGUUAUAUUGUGCUUUUUUUUUUUUUUAGCUUUGGGAUAAUUCCUGAUAAUUGUUUGAAUAAAAUAUAAACCAAGUUAGGAUUUUUAGUUUUUUUUUGUUUUUGAAUUUAUUUUGUUUAUUUUAUUUUAGUUAUCAUUAUUAUUAUUGUUAAUCUCAUGUUACUUUUUGUAGGCAUUUGUCUUGGAUGAUUCGAGAUGAUAGUUUAAAAAUUAGAUGUUUUAUUAGUUUUGGAUAAUUUUGUGAUGUUAAUGAAAAGUUGAAAUAUUUUGCAAGUUUUUUUUUAGUUUUCAAUAAUUUGGAUAUUAAUGAAAAUUUAUAUUGUGCUUAAUUUUUAGUUUUGGGAUAAUUCCUGAUGAUGAUGAAGAAGUUUGAAUUUUUAAGUGUUUUGAUAAUUUUUAUGAUAGCUUUGUUCAAAAAUAAAAAAUAAAAAGUCGUAAUAUUUAAAUUAUUUUAAACAUUUUUUGUUCUCUUGGAUUAAAAUAUAAAAUAAUUGUCUAUCUUAUUUAAAAAUUUUAUUAUGUUUUAAAAAAAUAAAAAAAAAAUUAUGUGCUUUCUAAAUAAAGAGUUGUGGAAAUCAUCCUCUUGUAAAUAAAAUAAAGUAAAAAAAAAAUUAUUAAAGAAAAAUUUAAAUUAUAAAAGAUUUUCUUACAUUAAAAAAAAUAUUUUAAAAUUGUCAAAUAUAUUUUUUAUGAGGUUUUAUUAUUAUUAACAUUAUUAAUUAAUUAAUUUUUUUUUUCUCUUUUUGGUAAAUGAAUUUUUUGAAAGCAUUUUCUUUACAUGGAAUUAAAGCCAUUUUAUUUAAGUAAAUUGAAACUUCCUUUUAUAAGAUUAACUAAAACUAUGGACUCAAUUAUUACUAUUAUUAUUAUAAUUUUAAUACUCAUGAAAUAUUUCCUUUAUAAAAGUGAUAAUUACAUUUAUUUUCUUGUGAAUGAACUUUUUAAAAACAUUUCCUUUGCAUGGAAUUAAAGUCUUUUUAUUUAAAUAAAUUAAAGCUUCUUUUUAUAAAUAAAAUUCAUUAAAACUAUGGAAUCAAUUAUUGUUAUUAUUAUCAUUAUUUUUAAUACUUAUGAAAUAUUUCCUUUAUAAAAGUGAUAAUAUUUAUUUUCUUGUGAACAAACUUUUUUAAAAAAAAUAUUUUAUUUGCAUGAAAUUAUAGCCUUCUUAUUUAAGUGAAUCAAAACUUCCUUUUAUGAAUACAAUUCAUUAAAACUGUCGAAUAAAUAUUUUUUUUAAUACUCAUGAAUUUUUUAUUUUUUUAUUUUUUUAUUUUUAUUUUUACGAAAGUAAUAACAUUUAAUUCCAAGCUAUAUUUGUGUAUAUCAAUUGGGGAAUUGGUGAAACCCCUACAUAAAAUCAUCUUUUUAAAACUCAUCUUUAUUGUCACCCUUGCCAUUUAUUGAAAUCAUAUCUAUUUUUUUAGGAAUUAUAUACAAGAUGUAUGUGAUAAUUGAUGAUUUUGUAUACUUUGAUCACUUUUGCUAUGCUAAGUAGAUAACGAGCAUGCUAGGAUUUCUAUAUUUUAUUAUUUAUUAUCUAACCCCUUACAACUUGAGGAAGCACGUUACAAAUUAUCUAUGCUAUCUAAGUAUGUCCUCUAUCACCUACUUUCUGAAUUCUGUGAAUACGCUUGUCAUUGUGAAAUAAUGCUUAUGUCUAAUAAUGCUUGAGUGUUCUGAUAUACAUGUUUCAUUGUUUGAUUAUUUCUAAUAAAAUACAUGCUGGAUGAUAUAUUGUUUAAAUUAACCAUUGAUGUUUUAUGAUAGCGCUUGAGAAGCGGUCCAGGUACGCAUCCUAACCUUCCUUUAUUAUGAUUUGAUCUUGUUUGACAUGCUAUUUUUUGGAAUCAUCUAGCCUACUUAGGUAUCCAUAAUUAACCGGUUAAUUGCCACAUUCCCCUUAACUUAGUUAGUAGAGACCUUUAUAGGGCUUAGAGGGGUGCUACCUUUUAAAGGUACCUUCCCAAUAGGUAACCUAAUCCCCGGACUUAGACUCGGUGUGGACCCGCAUUUCUCACGUGCGUCCCCACUCGAUCGGGGAGACUCGCUUUUUAUUUGUGAAAAAAAUAUUUAGUUUUGGAAAAGUUGGAGCCGCCACUUAUUUUAUUUUUAUUUUAAAGGGAAAAUAAAACAAGAAAGAAAAACCCUAAAAUGUGACUCCAUAAUUUUUGGAAAAAAGCAUGUCUUUGAAAAACCCGAGUCUAAGUCCGGGGAUCAGGUUACCUAUUGGGAAGGAAUGUGGCAAUUAACCGGUUAAUUAUGGAUACCUAAGUAGGCUAGAUGGUUCCAAAAAAUAGCAUGUCAAACAAGAUCAAAUCAUAAUAAAGGAAGGUUAGGAUGCGUACCUGGACCGCUUCUCAAGCGCUAUCAUAAAACAUCAAUGGUUAAUUUAAACAAUAUAUCAUCCAGCAUGUAUUUUAUUAGAAAUAAUUAAACAAUGAAACAUGUAUAUCAGAACACUCAAGCAUUAUUAGACAUAAGCAUUAUUUCACAAUGACAAGCAUAUUCACAGAAUUCAGAAAGUAGGUGAUAGAAGACAUACCUAGAUAGCAUAGAUAAUUUGUAACGUGCUUCCUCAAGUUGUAAGGGGUUAGAUAAUAAAUAAUAAAAUAUAGAAAUCCUAGCAUGCUCGUUAUCUAAUUAGCAUAGCAAAAGUGAUCAAAGUAUACAAAAUCAUCAAUUAUCACAUACAUCUUGUAUAUAAUUCCUAAAAAAAUAGAUAUGAUUUCAAUAAAUGGCAAGGGUGACAGUAAAGAUGAGUUUUAAAAAGAUGAUUUUAUGUAGGGGUUUCACCAAUUCCCCAAUUGAUAUACACAAAUAUAGCUUGGAAUUAAAUGUUAUUACUUUCGUAAAAAAAUUAAAAAAUAAAAAAUAAAAAUUCAUGAGUAUUAAAAAAACAUUUAUUCGAUAGUUUUAAUGAAUUGUAUUUAUAAAAGGAAGUUUUGAUUUACUUAAAUAAGAAGGCUUUAAUUUCAUGCAAAGAAAAUAUUUUUUUAAAAAAAGUUUGUUCACAAGAAAAUAAAUGUUAUCACUUUUAUAAAGGAAAUGUUUCAUAAGUAUUAAUAAUAAUAAUAAUAAUAAUAACAAUAAUUGAUUCCAUAGUUUUAAUGAAUUUUAUUUAUAAAAAAUAAGCUUUAAUUUAUUUAAAUAAAAAGACUUUAAUUCCAUGCAAAGGAAAUGUUUUUAAAAAACUCAUUCACAAGAAAAUAAAUGUAAUUAUCACUUUUAUAAAGGAAAUAUUUCAUAAGUAUUAAAAAUAAUAAUAAUAAUAAUAAUAAUGAUAAUUGAUUCCAUAGUUUUAAUGAAUUUUUUUUUAAAAAAAAAAGUUUUAAUUUAUUUAAAUAAAAAGACUUUAAUUCCAUGCAAGAAAAUAUUUUUAAAAAGUUCAUUCACAAGAAAAUAAAUGUAAUUAUCACUUUUAUAAAGGAAAUAUUUCAUGAGUAUAAUAAUAAUAAUAGUAAUAAUUGAUUCCAUAGUUUUAAUUAAUCUUAUAAAAGGAAAUUUCAAUUUACUUAAAUAAAAAAAGGCUUUAAUUCCAUGCAAAGAAAAAAGUUUAUUCACAAGAAAAUAAAUGUUAUCACUUUUAUAAAGGAAAUAUUUUAUGAGUAUUAAUAAUAACAAUAAUAAUAAUAAUUGAUUCCGUAGUUUUAAUGAAUUUUAUAAAAGGAAGUUUUAAUUUAUUUAAAAAAAGACUUUAAUUCCAUGUAAAGAAAAUGCUUUCAAAAAAUUCAUUGACAAAAAAGAGAAAGAAAAAAAAAUUAAUUAAUUAAUAAUGGUAAUAAUAAUAAAACCUCAUAAAAAAUAUAUUUGACAAUUUAAAAACAUUUUUUUUAAUGGAAGAAUAUCUUUUAUAAUUUAAAUUUUUCUUUAAUAAUUUUUUUUAACUUUAUUUUAUUUACAAGAGGAUGAUUUCCACAACUCUUUAUUUAGAAAGCACAAAAAAUUUUAUUAUUUUUUAUUAUUUUUUUAAAACAUAAUAAAUUUUUUAAAUAAGAUAAACAAUUAUAUGUUAAUCCAAGAGAACAAAAAAAUGUUUAAAAUAAUUUAAAUAUUACAACUUUUUAUUUUUGAAUUUUGAACAAAGCUAUCAUAAAAAUUAUCAAAACACUUAAAAAUUCAAACUUUUUCAUCAUCAUCAAGAAUUAUCCCAAAACUAAAAAUUAAGCACAAUAUAAAUUUUCAUUAAUAUCCAAAUUAUUGAAAACUAAAAAAACUUGCAAAAUAUUUCAACUUUUCAUUAGCAUCACAAAAUUAUUCAAAAUGAAUAAAACAUCUAAUUUUUAAACUAUCAUCCCGAAUCAUCCAAGACAAAUGCCUACAAAAAGUAACAUGAGAUUAGCAAUAAUAAUAAUGAUAACUAAAAUAAAAUAAACAAAAUAAAUUCAAAAAAACAAAAAAAAAAAACUAAAAAUCCUAACUUGAUUUAUAUUUUAUUCAAACAAUCAUCAAGAAUUAGCCCAAAGCUAAAAAAAAAAAUAAGCACAAUAUAACUUUUCAUUAAUAUCCAAAUUAUUGAAAACUAAAAAAAAAACUUGCAAAAUAUUUCAACUUUUCAUUAACAUCACAAAAUUAUCCAAAGCGAAUAAAACAUCUAAUUUUUAAACUAUCAUCCCGAAUCAUCCAAGACAAAUGCCUACAAAAAGUAACAUGAGAUUAACAAUAAUAAUAAUGAUAACUAAAAUAAAAUAAAUUCAAAAACCAAAAAAAACUAAAAAUCCUAACUUAAUUUAUAUUUUGUUCAAACAAUCAUUAACACAUCUCAUAUAAAUACAUUAAAUCCAACAAAACACUCACCGGAAGACAUUAAAUCCUAUUAUAACCGUCCAUGAUUUCAUUCCCUUUCCCUUAACAAAUAAAUAAAAACAUGACAAUAGCAUCAUUCACAUCAGGACUGACCAUAUAUUCACAUUCGUUUGCAUUUUAAAUCCAACAAAACGAAGUCAAAUAACACUAACCUUGCUUGCAGCUACCCUCUUUAACGGUUGUGUCACUUUUUCUUCUCAGUCUAGUUGUGUCCGCUUCUUCGAUCUGGCUCGCGUGUUCCUUCACCACAAAGAGUCCCCGAAUCAGACUAUGCGUCCUUUAGAAGUUCCACCCGGAAACGUGAUCUCCAUGUCUAUAAUUUUCUUCUGAAUCUCGUUCAAAAAAUCAACCAAAAUUCUUCCAGAACUCUCUUUUUUUUCUCCCUAAGACGUCUCCCAUCUAUCUUUCGGCUCUCCUCUCAAAAAAAAAUCCUUCUUCUCCCUCCUCAAUUGUCUCUCAUAUUCCCCAAAAAAAAAACCUCAAUCCCUUUCAUCACGCCUUUCCUCCCCUUUUUUGCAUGUGAGUUGACUUUUCUUUCCUUCUCUGAAUUCCCCCUGCUCUCUUUCUUGCAAAAUACAGUAUGUCUAUUCAAUAUGCCACCUCAAUUCUUCCUAAAAUAUAUCAUCUCUUUUCCUUUUCCGUUUAAAAUAUGCUUUGACCCAAAACACUACUGAAUCCUCCUUCCAUCAUCAUGUGAUUCUUUUUCCAAAAGACAAAUUACAUUACCUUCUUUGCUGCUCAUCAUUUCUUUUUUCAUACAUAAGCUGAAUCUUCCCCAUAACAUGGCUCCAUUCAUUUUUUCCAUAUGUCUACUCUUGGAACCAAUAUGGUAGCUACCCACUCCAAGCUUCACAUCAUAGGCACUUUCUUAUCUUUCUAUUGGUGGACUUCCUACAAAAUUUCAAAGUUAAUAAAGUAAUAGUAAUAAUAAUAAUAAUAAUAAUAAUGAAAACUUUUAAACAAAAUUAUUAAAUUAAAUUAAAUAAGUAAAGACAAGUAUUAGGGAAAAGUGAUAAAAUAAUAGGAAAAUAAAAUAAAUGAAGAAAUAUACAAAUUAAUAAAUAAAAUAAAAUAAACAAAAAUAUAAGAGUAAAAAAAAAAAUUCAAGCAAUGUGAUUUUACAAAAACGAGUCUUGCAAGUCAUACAAGCCAUGCAACCAUGCCCAUGCAAAAAAAAUGAUCUAAAUGGGCCUAAGGUGCCUAAAUGGGCCUAGAAUGCCUAAAUUGGCCUAAGGUGCCUAAAUGGGCUUAAGGUGUCUAAAUGGGCCUAGGGUGCCUAAAUGGGCCUAAGGUGCCUAAAAGGGCCUAUGGUGCCUAAAUUGACUUAAGGUGCCUAAGUGGGCCUAAAGUGCCUAAAUCGUCCAAGGGUGCCUAAGUGGGCUUAGGGUGGUGCUUAAGUAGGUCUAAGGUGCCUAGGGUGUAUCUAAGUGAACCUAAGGUGCCUAAGUGGGCUUGGGGUGACACCAAAUGGGCUAGGUGCGUCUAAUGGGCUUAGGGUGUACUAAGUGGGCCUAGGGUGCCUAAAUGGGCCUAAAGUGAUCUAAGUGGGCCUAAAGUGUCUAAAUGGGCCUAAAGUGAUGCCUAAUGGGCCAAGUGUACCUAAAUGGGCCUAAAGUAAUCUAAGUGGGCCUAGGGUGACUAAGUGAGCCUAAAGUGUCUAAAUGGGCCUAAAGUGAUGCCUAAUGGGCCAAGUGUGCCUAAAUGGGCCUAGGGUUACUUAAAUGGGCCCAAAGUGAUCUAAGUGGGCCUAAAGUAACUAAAUGGGCCUAAAGUGUCUAAAUGGGCCUAAAGUGAUGCCUAAUGGGCCAAGUAUACCUAAAUGGGCCUAGGGAUACCUAAAUGGGCCUAGGGUGGCUAAAUGGGCCUAAAGUGAUCUAAGUGGGCCUAAGGUAACUAAGUGGGCCUAAAGUGUCUAAAUGGGCCUAAAGUGAUGCCUAAUGGGCCAAGUGUACCUAAAUGGGCCUAGGGAUACCUAAAUGGACCUAGGGUUACCUAAAUGGGCCUAGGAUGCCUAAGUGGGCCUAGGGUGCCUAAAAGCUAUCUUAAAAAAAAAGCAAGAAAAGCCUAAGUCUAAGUUAGGGCUACCAAGGGUCACAAUAAGGGGUCAGAUAAUCCCUCAACCAAAGUCUCCGAGGUGGCUUAAAAAAGAUAGGUUACACGAGUAUUAAUGGGCCACCAAGGAAUUGCUAUAAACGACAUGUGCGAAGAAGACAAAAUAGAGGGUCUACACUCGGGUUUUUCAAAGACAUGUUUUUUUCCAAAAAUUAUGGAGUCACAUUUUAGGGUUUUUCUUUCUUGUUUUAUUUUCCCUUUAAAAUAAAAAUAAAAUAAGUGGCGGCUCCAACUUUUCCAAAACUAAAUAUUUUUUCACAAAUAAAAAGCGAGUCUUGCCGAUCGAGUGGGGACGCAUGUGAGAAAUGCGGGUCCACAAUGGCAUACUACUUCCAUUUGCUAGACUUAACCAUUAUUAAGUAAUGUAAUUAAUUAUAUUUUCUGCAUAUGCUUAAUUGUAGGAAAUAUUAUUUUGUCUCUAGCCUUAACAUGUGUAUUAGUUGUUUUUGAUAUUUUUUACUGCAUUUUUAUAUCAUAUAAAUUUUAGUCACUAGUUAUUUUCAUUGAGCAUUGAAAUUCCAAAAUAUUCUUUAUUUCUAUUCUCUCUGCUUCCCUUUCUUCUAUAAGAUAUUGUUUUUGACUACUUACAACCCACAAGAUUUUGAUCAGCGGUGCGAGGUACGAGAUCCCAAGUACCAUUACGGAGUAGAGCAUCAAAUUCUUCUGACAUUGCUUGAUGCCAUCGAGGGUCCUUAAGGGCCUGGGAAACACAGGUGAGCUCAGUGAUGGGUUCGGUAGGGGUAGUGGCAAGCAUGGUCAGCUUUGUGGAUGGUUUGACAAUGUUGUUUUUGGCACGAGUGAUCAUGGAGUGGUGAUUAAGGGGAUUAACAAGGUGGAUUGGUGGUGGGUUCAAAGCCGGAAGUGGUAUUUGUCCAAGUGGUGGAGAAGAAGAUACAAUAGGUUGGCAUAGAGUCUUCAAAUUGAUGAAUAAUAGUUUUUCAUUGAUUAUUUCAUUCAUUCAUGUACAUAGUAUAUAUAGAGGGUAAUCACCAUUCUAAGAAUGGGAAAGAAUUAUACAAUGAAUGAAUGAUAUAAGGAAAGAACAACUAAUAUCCGAAUAUCUCAACAUUCCUAAUAUUUCAACUUUCCUAAUAUCUCAACAUUUCUAAUAUCUCAACACUCCCCCUCAAGUUGGUGCAUAGAUGUCACACAUGUCCAACUUGUCUAAAAAUUUUGAGAACACUCGACUUGACACUGUAGCUUUGGUGAGGAUAUCGGCCAAUUGAUCUUCUGAUAGAAUCUUAGGCAAUUCCACAAUCUUAUCAUCUAACUUCUCCUUAAUGAAGAAUCUGUCCACCUCGACAUGCUUUGUACAAUCAUGUUUUACUGGAUUAUGAGCAAUAUCACAUGCGGCUUUAUUGUCACAAAACAAUCGGAUUGGUUGCCUAGAUAGGUAACCUAAAUCCUAUAAGAGGAGUCUUAGCCAUAAUGUCUCACAAAGUCCUAGAGUUAUACCCCUAAAUUCCGCUUCUGCACUUGAAUGAGCGACGACAUUCUGCUUCUUACUUUUCCAUAUCACAAAAUUACCACCUACAAAGGUAAAGUAACCAGAUGUAGAUCACCUAUUAUCCACUGCACUGGCCUAAUCAGCAUUAGUAUAUACUUCUAUACUCUGAUGAUCAACAUUUUUAGUGAACAAAAUUCCCUUCCUAUGAGCAUUCUUCAAAUACCUCAAAAUACGCAUGACUGCAUUCAUAAAUUGCUCUCCAGGAUUAUGCAUGUAUUGACUUAGUACACUCAAUGCAUAAGCAAGAUCUGGUCUUGUAUGAGCUAAGUACACUAAUCUCCCCACAAGUCUCUGGUAUCUUCCCUUAUCAAUUGAUACUUGAUUAGGCUCACCACACAAUUUCAGACCUUCUUCUAUUGGCGUAUCAACAGGUUAACAUCUCGACAUUCCAGUCUCCUAUAAAAAAUCUAAGGCAUACUUUCUUUGAGACAGAAAAAUUCCUUCACUUGAUCGAGAAACUUCAAUCCCAAGAAAGUAUUUCAAAGAACCUAGAUCUUUCAUUUCGAAUUCUCUAGAUAAAUAAUUUUGCAGAGCUUUUCUUUAUUCAGGAUCAUUUCCUGUAACUACCAUGUCAUCCACAUAUACGAUGAGUGUUGUAAUCUUACCAUGUUACUUUUUCAGGAACAAAGUGUGAUCUAAAUUACUUUGACGAUAGCCAANNNNNNNNNNNNNNNNNNNNNNNNNNNNNNNNNNNNNNNNNNNNNNNNNNNNNNNNNNNNNNNNNNNNNNNNNNNNNNNNNNNNNNNNNNNNNNNNNNNNNNNNNNNNNNNNNNNNNNNNNNNNNNNNNNNNNNNNNNNNNNNNNNNNNNNNNNNNNNNNNNNNNNNNNNNNNNNNNNNNNNNNNNNNNNNNNNNNNNNNNNNNNNNNNNNNNNNNNNNNNNNNNNNNNNNNNNNNNNNNNNNNNNNNNNNNNNNNNNNNNNNNNNNNNNNNNNNNNNNNNNNNNNNNNNNNNNNNNNNNNNNNNNNNNNNNNNNNNNNNNNNNNNNNNNNNNNNNNNNNNNNNNNNNNNNNNNNNNNNNNNNNNNNNNNNNNNNNNNNNNNNNNNNNNNNNNNNNNNNNNNNNNNNNNNNNNNNNNNNNNNNNNNNNNNNNNNNNNNNNNNNNNNNNNNNNNNNNNNNNNNGCGAUAUCCCUUUUUGUGCAAUGCAUAUCCAACAAACACACAUUGCAAUGCACGGGAAGUUAACUUGGUACGUUGGUGUUUGUGUAGAUGCACAAAUGCCACGCAACCAAAAACAUGAGGAGGUAGAUUUAAGACGGUUGGGGCAACUACGACAUUAGUAAGAGGUUGGAGAAGUGUUUGGAAGUAAUUGAGAUGGAAGGUACCCGAUUGAUCAAGUAUACGACAGAUGUGAUUGCUUAUCCCGAAUAAGAUAUCGGUAUUUGUACUGCUAUCAAGGAAACACGAACAACCUCUAACAAGUGUCGAUUUUUCCGUUCAGCGACUCCAUUUUGCUGGUGUGUAUUGGAACAAGUAGUCUGAUAAAUGAUGUCAUGUCCUUCUAAAUAAUUUUGAAGAUCAGAACUCUGAUAUUCUCCACCAUUAUUGCUACAUAGAACCCGAACCUUUGCAUUGUACUGAGUUUCAAUCAUUUUAUGAAAUUUUUGAAACAACAAGUUCACUUCAUCUUUGGUCUUCAUCAAGCAUAACCAUGUCAUUCUAGUAUAAUCAUCAAUAAAAGUAACAAAUCAACGCAAACCACUCAAAGUUGGAACUUUGGAUGUGCCUCAAACAUCAGAAUAUAUAACCAUAAAAAGAAACGGACUUUUAUUCAAAUUUAACAGAAACAAAGCACGAUGGCUUUUAGCCAAUUCACAAACAUCACAACAGAAACCAGAAAUAUCACUAUUUGCAAAUAAACUAGGAAACAAUUUUUUUAAAUAACCAAAGGAAGCAUGUCCCAAACGUCGAUGCCAUAACCAAAUUUCAGACUUUUUCUUCUCCCUCUCAGAUCCAUCUGCCAUCAAGGUUUGUCGCAACUUAUUUGAAUCAUUUGACUGCAAGUCCAAGUAAUAGAGUUUUCCCCGCUUAAUACCACAACCAAUCGUCUCUCUUGUUUGGAUGUCCUUAAAAACACCAAAUUCAGGCCAAAAAAUGACAAUACAAGAUAAAGUUGUAGUGAUUUGAGAAAUUGACAAAAUAUUGUAAUCUAAAGAUAGAACAACUAAAACAUAAUCCAAAUUCAAAGUAUCAGUAAGAGUUAAGGAUCCUUCCCCAAUGACUAUGGUUGUGUUACUAUUGGCUAUGGAAAAAAAAAUUUGUGAGUAAGGUCUAAGGGGUGAGAUCUGUCUAGAAUCAAAAGUCAUAUGAUCUGUAGCACCAGAAUCAAUUAUCCAUGCACUAUUAAUAACAGGUGUAGAAGUAUUUAAAAAUUGACCACCAUAAUCUGUAACGGCUACCAAUGCAGAAGCUUUCUCAACAACAUUAGUCUCUGUUUUUAUUUUGGCAACAACUACAGUCAAGGUUUUCUUAGAAUCCUUCUUCCGUUGAUCACGAUUAUGAUCCCACCAAUCUGGAUAUCCCACAAUUUCAAAGCGACGACUCUUGGUAUGACCAGUCUUAUUGCAGUGAGUGCAUUUGAAGGUUGACUUAUCAAUAUUAGGGUUUGUCUUAGGAUGGUUGGUCUUGGAUUGGUCCUACCAAUUCUAGGUUGAUCGCUGUCGGACUACCAUAGUUGAGGUGUCAGGGUUGUCAAAUUCUACUUUCAUACUAGCAUGACGCUCUGUCUCUCGUCGAAUCAAUGCAUAGCAUUCUUCCAAAUCAGGAAGAGGAUCUUUGCGUAGAAUCUCUCCUCGAACUUGCUCAAAGUCACCAUCCAAUCCAGUAAGAAAGAUGUGCACCCGUUGUCGUUCAAUGGAUUUCCGAUAUGUUGCAAUGUCCUCAGGGUCUUUCAUGACUACCUUAUCCCGAUGAUCCAAUUCGCAAAAAAAUUUAGUUAACUUUCCAUAAUAUUCAGAAAGAGACGCCGCUUUGUUUGGCAAUGAAGGCUUUUUGAUUCAAAUUAAAAACUUGUAAUUCAUCACUUCCAUCAUAGAAGGCCUUUGAUAAUGCACUCCAAAUUUCUUGAGCGGUGGGUAAGCGUAAGUAACGCUUCAUAAUUUCUAGACUCAUGGACAUUAACAACCAUCUCUUCACCUUUUAAUUCUCAGCAUACUAUUUUUCAUAUCCAUCUUCUGACUCUUUUGGUCAAUUUAUCUUACCUCGAAUGUAGGAAAGUUUUUCUCGUUCAGCAAUAUGCAUCUCCACGAGUUAUGACCAAACGUCAUAGUUUGAUUCAGUUAAAAUAAUUCCUAGAUUAAAAGUACCUUCAGAUUGAAAAACAAUAGUAUUUUUUUCACUCAUUUUUUUUAUUAUUAUUAUUAUCAAAAAGGAGGGGCGAUAGCUGGCCUUACCAACAAAAUAUCCAGGAUUUCAGUUCCAUAGCUCCGAUACCAUCUUCAAAUUAAUGAAUGGUAGUUUUUCAUUGAUUAUUUAAUUCGUUCAUGUACAGAGUAUAUAUAGAGGGUAAUCACCAUUCUAAAAAUGGGAAAGAAUAAUACAAAGAAAGAAUGAUAUAAGGAAAGAACAACUAAUAUCAUAAUAUCUCAACAUGGAGAUGGAUUAGGAAUAGAAAGACAAGGCAUUUGAACAAAAAUAUUAGGAAAGCUCAGAGAAAGGGAACCUAUGAGACCUUUAUUACCAUUACUCAUUAGUGCUUCCAAAUAAAGAACCGAGUUACCAGAAAGAGGAGAUGCUAAAGAGAUGUUCGAUGGAGGAGUACUAGUAGGAGUAGGGGUGGAUAAAUGGGGCGAGAACCAGGACUCUAUGAAUGAGAAAGGCAGAGAGGGAUUGGAUGUGGCAAAUGGAAAGAUGGAUUCAACAAACUUGACAUGACAAGAUGUGUAGGUUUUAUAAGUGGUGGGAUCAAGACAAAUAUAGGCACUUUGAAAGAGUGAGUAGCCAAUCAAUACACAUGCAUGGUUUGGACUUGAACUCAAGUUUAUGAGAAUUAUAAGGACAUAACCAUGGAUAACACAAGCAACCAAAGACUCGAAGUUUUGCUAGAUUUGGCGAUUAACUAAAAAGUUUUUGGUAAGAAGAAAGAAACCUAAUAUUAUGUUUUGGUAAUCAAUUGAUCAAAUAGAUAGUAGUGGCAAAGGCUUCGAGCCAAAAUGAUAAGAACAUAGAAUCAUGAUGCAAUAAAGUGAGGGUUGUCUCAACUAUAUGAUGAUGAUGACGCUCUGAGUAUCCAUUGCGUUCAGGAGUAUGGGGGGAAUGGUGAGGCAGGAGACACCAUGAUGAGCCAAAAAAUAAAAAUUUGAGAGCAAGAUAUUCCCCACCAUUGUCUGUGUAUAGUUGUAUCAUUUGUUUGUUAUAAAAAUUUUCCACAAGCACUUUGAAACGAAUAAAAAUAUCUAAAACAUCAGACUUUUUUUUUCAUGGGAUAAAACCAAAUAUAUUUUGUAAAAUGGUCAAUGAAAAUAAUAUUUAUUACCAUUGAAGGAUUCCACAGGAGAGCACCAUACAUCAGAAUAAAGAAGUUGAAGAGGAGAGGUGCCAAUGAGCGAUGAUGCAGAAAAAGGAAGCUUAUGGCUUUCAUUACUGUGACAAGAGUUGCAAGAAAAGUUCCUAAUACUAGUGGAAGAUAAGUGAAUGCACUAAGAUGACACGAGGGGACUAAGAACUUUGGCAAAAGGAUGAUCGGGACGGUGAUGCCAAUCAGAAGUAGAUGCUUUAAUAGAAGCAAAGGCAAGUAAUGGUUUGGAUUUCUCAUGGACGGUCAGCCACUCGUAGACUCCAUCCUUAGAAUUAUCUGUCAAAAGCGUUGCUCCCAUUCGAAGAUCUUUCAUAAGAAAAGAGCGAGGUAAGAACUCAAUAGAAAUAUUGUUAGUUAAGCAAAAGUGAGAAACAGAAAUUAGGUUGCGUCUCAUAAAGGGCACACAAAGAACAUCAUGUAAAAAAAUGAGUAAGGGGAGGAUUGAAGAGUAGAAGAACCCAUGUGAGUGAUGGGGAAACUAGUGCCAUCACCAAUCAUGAUAUCAUUAUAAACAGUGGAAUCAGAGUAAAGAAGGAGAAUCUAUAUGUCACUUGUCACAUGAUGAGAGGCGUCAAAAUCCAACAACCAAUCAAUGGAAGAAGGAGCAGUCGAGGAGGCAAAAUGAGCCUGGGGAGUUGUCGACCGAGUGGAUAGGGACGGAUAAGCAGCCUAGGGUAUAUGCUUAUAGGUAGAACAUCAUUUGGCAAAGUGGCCUUCAAUACCACAAAGCUGACAAAAACCUCGGAAAGGUUUGGGAGGUGGGCGAGGUUGGUGAGAACUAGCAGGAAGGUGAGGGUUAUUGGAAGAAGAGUUACGACGAUAAGAAUUGGCCUUAUAAUUAUGAUGUGGAGAAGAGUUGGGAUUCUUAGUGGUCAAAUAAAUAAAAGUUGGAGUUAAUAAUUUCUUGCCCUGGUCUUGUUUCAAUUGGGCUUCAUGGGUGAUAAGCUUCUCAUGAAGUUCAUCGAAGGAAAUAAGGGUCUCUCUAGCUUUGACUGCAAAAGCAAGAGAAGAAUAUUUUGUCACCAAGACCACGAAGAAUUUUGAGAGUGAGAUCGUCAAUAUCAUAGGCAACAUUCAUGAGGAGAAGCUCAUCAUUGCACGUUUUAAUGAGUUGCAUAUACUCCAUAAUAGUUGUCUCACCCUCGUGCAGAUUGUCUAGGAUUCCCUUGAGAGACAUGAUACGACAUAUGGCUUUGCAUAAGUGUUGAAGAGAGUGGUCCAAGGAGCAUGAGAUGUUGUGGCAGUGGUAAUGAAGGGAAUGAGAGUGGGCAUGAUCGAACCGAUGAUGGCGUUGAGAAUAAGCUGGUCUUGGUGCACCCAAAGAGAAUACGAGGGAUUGGGAGUCAGGUCGUUUGUUGUGGUGAGGGUCGGGGGUGGACAAGAACUAGCGCUGUCAACAAAUCUGCAGACAAGGUCGUAGCCAAUAAUAAGGGUAGUAAACUGCAGGCGCCAUGCAAAAUAGUUUGUGUGAGUUAAUUUAAGUGGGGCUUGAGCAGUCACAUUGAUGGUAAUGAGAUGUGGCACAUAGUCAGGGGCCAGAAUAAUCACAAGUGAGGUAGGAGACGAGACGGGGGAGUCGUGAGUAGCAGAGAAGACAAUGGGAAAAAGGUGGGUCGAGGGCUCUAAGAGUAGAGAGAAUCUAAUACCAUAUAAGAUAUUGUUUUUGAUCGAUCAACUCAACUUAUCUGUUUAUUGAGUUCAAUAAUAUAUAUAGGUGUUUUACAAAUUCAAAAUAAAUGUACAUCUCGGAACUGAUACAAGUAGUUUACCUAUAUAUGUACAUGCUAAUUCAAAAAUAAAACAAAUUCAAAUACAAAUAAACUUGCUAUCCAAAAAUGUAGUGAAAUAAUAGAUAUACAAAAUAUAUAUACUAAUAUUAUCCCAAUAUUUUAGGCAAAUCAGUAGACGUCUCAAUAUCUUCCUUACCUGCCAAUUUGCAAUGAACCCAUUACAUAAUUUUAAUUGAUUUCCAAAGAGAGAAUGCGCAGGCCACAAUAUCUAGAAUCACAAUUUCAAGAACUACAAAAAAAGAAAAACAUAUAUAGAACUGAUAGCUAAUGUGAUCAGUCAUAAUUAUUUGAAGUGUUGCCCAAUCAAGUAAUAUAUCUUGUUCUAAACAAUUAUAAUAGCAGCUAGCAUUUCUCUUUUACAUGCAUGCUGAAAGACCAAGAUUUUUAGGUGUACGUAGAGCCUCAUUUAUAUAAGCUAUGGGUCUGCUUUCUUGUAACAAAAUUGCUUCUUUCCCAUUCCUUGGAUAUAUCACACUAUGUUACAAAGCUUUUUUGGAAGCUUUGCAUAGGCAACAUAGGAGUGGUACCCACGAUGCUUUUAAGUUGCUCAAAGGCGUCUUCAAGUGAUUUGGUUCAUUAGGAAUUAGUCAUUACCUUUAUUCAACAAAAAGAUGAAUGGUUGACUAAUCUUGUCAUAAUCCUUAAUAAGUAUCCCUUGAUUUGAGUGGAAUUCUAUGUUCAUGUGCCUAGGAGGCGGUGAACCCUUAGGUUCUAUAAACAUAGUCGAGUAUUGCUACAACAGUUGAGCUAAUUCCUUAGGUUCCUUUUCUCCCUCUUCAGCUGUAUUUUUUUCUACUUGUAUAGAGAAAAUUUGAACCUUGAUGCUUAAAAUAUGUGCUUUAAAUCCCUAUAUGAUAUGCUAAAACUAACUUCAUGAAGCCUGUAGUACUACCUCUGAACACGAAUUUCCUUCCAUUGACAGUAAAUUGCUUUCUUAGAUUGUUAAAAUUCCGCCUAAUGGGUCUCAAGCUAACAAUAUUGGAUCCUCAAAACCAUAUUAUUGCAUCCUUCCAAGGUAUGAGUCUCAAAUCAGCUUAAUAAAAACUUCUUCCCUAGCAAGUUCCAUUUCAAUUGCCUGCAAACUGCAUCACCAGUAUUCAUUAUUGAAUUAUAGAUUGCACGGAUCUACCCUCAUGGAUUCACACACACAGCCCUUGGCCACAGUGGGCUCUGGUUCUCUUCAUGCAAUGGCUGUAAUUUGACUGUAAAUUGGCACACUGAAGUUGGGAUAUUCUUAGAACUAGCUUUAAUUUAUCUAAAAACAGAAGCUACUUAUGUAUUCUUACAAGUUUCUAUAGAAGAUACGUAUAACACUGAUAGCAUGUACCUGAGCCCAUCAGAAUAACUACAUAUUUUAAGCUUAAAAAGCCCAUCGCUGAGGGAGAUAGGCUUUGAUAAAGUUAUUUUCAAGAUUUUUCCUUUUUUUACAUACAUAUAUAUAUAUAUAUAUAUAUAUAAUUUAUUCACACACACACACACACAACAAAGUUUUCCUGCUUUUUCACCGGCAUGUUGAGCUCCACGCAAGUCCAAGGUGGAUCUAGCCGAUCUGAAGAAUAGGUCUUCUUGUAAUAUUUGUGCUGUCAACAACCUUGAACCACUGGCUCCCAGGAUCACACAUAUCAUCUCUACCCAAGCACUUGCAAGCAUCUGUGACAAUGUUGCUGCUGGAGUCUACAUCCAAGCAAACUGUGGUGCCAUCCCCCAGCUUAGUUGACAGGUACAUCUUUGAAUCUGAAAUGAUCUCCCAAUUUGACCCAGGUUGAGUGCAUAUUAUACUGAGUUUUGCAGGCUUCCCUAGCCCAACUGCUUGAAGGCAGAAGUAUGUUCCCUUCACUAUCAAUAUCUUUUGGGGGGUGUAGCCCCAAGCUUCUGACUCGGUGCAGGGACCUAGCUUUAAUGGUUCAGACAAUGAUUCCCUUAGAAUGCAAAGACCAGUCGAAGGAUGCAAGAUUAUUUUAUGUGGUCUGACUCGGGAUACAUCUGGCCCUGCAUCAAAUAUGAAACCACACAAAAUUUAGAUAUGAAUAAUUAAGUAAAUUUGCCUUAUUUGCCUUAGCAAACAUACCUUGCAAAGGAGAUUGGAGGGCUGAAAUCCUCUGGAAGAAGUUCGAGUUCCAAUUCAUUAACCCAUUAGUCUCUUCCAGUGUCCACAAUGCCCAAUCGAAGUCCAGUUCAGCCGCCAGGCCAAAGAAGCAAUUUAAGUGCCUGUUGUCAUCCACCCCAAGCUCACUCACAAACAUUAAUGGCCACCCUUGCUGUAGCAGAACCCCUCCUCCCCUCAUUAUGCUGUCCACCACUCUCCCGCACACCUUGUUGGGGUUGCUGGUUUCCCCAGCCCUCCCAACCCGCGAUCCAUGCCAAUGCAUCUCCAACACUAAUUUCCCUGUGAAUGUCAAUUCCAGCUGUUGAUUGAGGAGGAAAGAUAGGUCUGUACCAUCACUCAAGCCAGAGAUUAUGACCAGAACAUCUGGGUUGGCUGAGUGCACUGCUUCAGCUCCUUUCUGCAUGUACCUGGUCAAUUCAUGAAUAGCUUUAUACCAAGACCAAUUCCUACAAAUAUGGUAACUAAUAGUUUGGAAAUAUAACAACCCCCUCCCUUACGUGUCCGUGUAGAUAUUGUCCAAUCCAAUGGGACCCUCACCAUACAAUACAAUGCAUAUAAGAUUAAGAAGAACCCAUGAAUACAUAACAUUCUUCAAUUUGGUCCCGCACAUUACGGAAUGAAUCAUUACAGGAAAAUAGAGAUCAUCACCUGUACCAGUCCUUCACAUUCUGAUUGGGGCAUCGGAGCUCAUUCCUCAAGCUCAUGCCCACCACAUUAGGGACACCGCUGAACAUGGUGGCAAUCCGGGUGAGGCCCUUGACCCACAAGUCUGGAUUGAAGUGCUGGUCGCCAAAGACGCCAUUGCCAUGGAAGCUGGGCUCGCUGAAGUGACUGUCUAGUAUGACCAUCAUAUUGUUGUCCGCAAGGUUAGACACCACCGCCUGCCAUAAUAACUUGAGAUAAAUACAAAACAGCGUUGGGUCUGUGCCUUUUUUACAAUACCGGUGUUUUAUCAUUAAAUAAUCACAAAUAUUAUUCUUUCCGAAUACUGUAGCUGUAACAGUGAGGGCGUUUGUCCAAAUUCACAAGCCACCUAUUUUUAAAUCAAGAUAAUCAUGAAAUCAUUUGAUAGUGUAAGAACCAAGGAACCAUUUCAAAAGCCUCCUAUUUUUACUCCAUGCCCUAAUCAAAAUUUAAGCUCUAAAUCAUGGUGGGAAAGUGACUAAAAAUCAAAAGAAAAGCAGGUAAGUUUUAAGCAAACAAAAUAGAUUCAUUCAAUUUUCCUGGUUCUUAAUGGAUUUGAGGCUUGGAGCCCCUUUAAUUGAUGCCUAGAGAAAAUCAAAUGAACUUGACCACCUGGUAAGCGCUUGUGAGAGGAAGAUCAAGCAUGGAAGGGUUAUUGGCCUGGAAACCAGCAAGGGAUUCAAGCAAGCCAAGCCUCUGAAAGGAUUGUCUAACAGUGAGGGAGGCCAGUGACUGGUCGAUGGCCAAGAAAAGUGGCAAAGUGAGCCUCACACAGUUGAACCCCAAGGACGCAAUCCUCUUGGAGAUGAGGUCAACUGGGUGGUUGCUGAGGCCCUCCGCCACCGCUGCUUCCUGAUGCGACAGCCAAUUCACGCAUGCCAGCUUCACCCGGGCGCCAUCUUCGUCUACUAUCCACCUUGAAUUGGUGUGUAGUGGCAGAGCCACCACAGGCUUCAGAGGUAGAAGACAUAGAAUAGAUAGAAAGAAGAAGAACCUCCCCAUCUGGAUUUGCAUCGACUGUUUGUUGGGUAGAUGGAACAUGAGACAUAGUAUUGUAUUUAUUAUUUGAGAAUUCAUUACAAUAUAUUUUUUUUCUAUUUUUAAAUUUUUUUAAUUAAUGUAAUUUUUUAUUUUUAUGUUUUGGGCAAAUUCUUCUAUUUUUAAAUUCUUCUAAUCAGUUAUAAUUUUUUAUUUUUAUGUUUUAGAUUAAUUCUAAAAUUAUUUCCUAUUUUUAUAUUUUGAAUAGAUUUUUUUCUAUUUUUAUGUUGUAGGUUUAUGUAUAUAUAUUAAUUCUUAAUCAAUGAGAAAGUCAAGUCAUUAUUUCUUAAUAAUUUUCUUUCUAUUUUAACAUUGUUUAUUUUUCUUUUUUAAAUUUUUUUUUUUUCUACUUUCUUCCCCACGUUAUGUUUUCGUAGACCAAAUGCAUAUAUAAAGUAAAAAAAUGAUCAUAACAUUAUUCAAAUAGUCAGCAUGUCUUUGAAUUUUGCUUUGUAAAAAUAUUAAAAAUUUAAGGAUGGGGUUUUUUCUUCAUAUUUAUUUGCAUAUUGUAGACUAUGAAUAGCCAUUAUAAUUGGCAUUGGAAACACGCAAAGUUACAGAACAUGGAAGUCAAAUAUUUGCUUGGAACUUUAGGGUUUGGAAAACUUGUAAGGCAGACCACAUCUACUCGGUUUCCCAUUGCUUUUUGUUUUUGUAUCUCGGCCUUGUGUUUAAUUCUUUUAAGCAAGUGAAUUUUAUACUUCUAUACUAUAAUUUAAAUUUAAAAAAUAAGUAUCUGAUGAUUUAAAUUUUCCUUAAUUACUCUUUAAAUCAAUAUACAUCUCUUUCCUUUUUAUUUAUUUCAACAAAAUAUUAAAGAAUAAUUUAGAAAAAUACUUUUAAAUUCACUUUAAUUUUUCCUCAUCCUUACUUGUAGUUUUUAAUUAAUUUUAAUUUAAUUAAUUAAUCAAUCAUGAUAAAUAUCCCUUCUUUACAGUACAGGUAAAGAGAAUCUGCUCGCACUCUUCUAUAUGGUACCAACUUCAACCAUUUAAAUAUCCCUUCUUUGUUUUUUUUUUCUUGCACAUGGGGUCCUUGUAUAACCAUGUUGGGUGAGGUCUCCCUUGAUUUGAGUGGAAUUCUAUGUUCAUGUGCUCUUGGAGGCGGUGAACCCUUAGGUUCGCUACAACAGUUGAGCUAAUUCCUUGGGUUCCUUUUCUCCCUCUUCAGCUGUAUUUUUUUCUACUUGUAUGGAGAAAAUUUGAACGUAGAUGCUUAAAAUAUGGAUUUUUGAUCCGAGUAUGAUAAUUUUAAAAAAUAAUUCUUAAAUUAUCGUAGUGGGAAAAAUAAUUCCAAAUUUACGGUAGUUGAGAAAGAUAUUUGUUUUUUUAAGUCGUCUUUUCAAAAGACGAUUUAUGAUCUUUUUUUUUUCACUAAGAAAUUGAAAUCGUCUCUUGAAAAAAUGAUUUCUACCAAAAAAAUAUAUAUAUAUAUAUAUAUAUAUAUAUAUAUAUAUAUAUAAUUAAUUAAUCAAAUAUCGUCUCUUGAAAAGAUAAUUUCCACCAAAAAAAAAUUAAGCAAUUAAAAAUCGUCUCUUCAAGAGACAAUUUCCAUAAAAAUAAAUAAAUAAAAUUUAAGUAAUUGGACAUGUCUUUUGAAAAGAUGAUUUUUCAAAAAAAAAAAAUUAAGUAAUUGAAAUUAUCUUUUGAAGAGACGAUUUUUACCACAAAAAAAAAAAAGUAAAAUUUAAUAACGAAGACGAUUAGGCAUUUGAAUAUGGAGAAUUUUACUAUAAAAGAUUUGGAUUGACUGACACAUUGUUUUUCUAUCCUUAAGGGAACAAGACCAAGAAAUUUAAGUGUCUUGCAUGAUGGAAAAUUUUGCAGGCCGGGGAUUUAUCCUUUCUUUUAACAUAAUAAUAUUUUGCAUAAUGGAAAAUUUUUGGAGCUUGGAUUUUCUUUAACUAGGAGAGUGAGCAAGAAGGCGUCCUCAUUAUCAUUAUCAUUGCUAUUUUCACUUUGGUCGGAAAGAAUAUGGGGAGUCACAUAUAUAUUUUUUUUGUACAAAUUGUCUCGAGACGAUUUCUUACUUGAUUUUAUUUUAUUUUAUUUUUGAAAUUGUUUCUUGAAGAUAAAAUUUCUCACUUCUUAAUUUUAUUUUAUUUUUAUUUUUUGAAAAUCGUCUCUUCAAAAGACGGUUUUUCAUUUCAUUUAUUACGAUUUAUUUAUAUUUUUUAAAAUCAUCUUUUGAAUAUACGAUUUUUCACUUCCAAUUUAUUUCUCUUUUCUAUUUGGAUAAAACUAAUUUAUAAUUAUUUUUCCUAUUAUGGUAAUUUAGGAAUUAAUUUUUAAAACCGUACUCUUAUCAAAAAAUCCCUUAAAAGUAUGUGCUUUAAAUCCCUAUAUGAUAUGCUAAAACUAACUUCAUGGAGCCUGUAGUACUACUACCUCUGAACAGGAAUUUCCUUCCAUUGACAGUAAAUUGCUUUCUUAGAUUGUUAAAAUUCCGCCUAAUGGGUCUCAAUUCAGCUAACAAUAUUGGAUCCCCAAAACCAUAUUGCAUCCUUCCAAGGUAUGAGUCUCAAAUCGGCUUAAUAAAAACUUCUUCCCUAGCAAGUUCCAUUUCAAUUGCCUGCAAACUGCAUCACCAGUGUUCAUUAUUGAAUUAUAGAUUGCACGGAUCUACCCUCACGGAUCCACACACACAGCCCUUGGCCACAAUGGGCUCUGGUUCUCUUCAUGCAAUGGCUGUAAUUUGACUGUAAAUUGGCACACUGAAGUUGGGAUAUUCUUAGAACUAGCUUUAAUUUAUUUAAAAACAGAAGCUACUUAUGUAUUCUUACAAGUUUCUAUAGAAGAUACAUAUAACACUGAUAGCAUGUACCUGAGCCCAUCAGAAUAAACUACAUAUUUUAAGCUUAAAAUGCCCAUCGCUGAGGGAGAUGAGGCUUUGAUAAAGUUAUUUUUAAGAUUUUCCCUUGCUACACACAUAUACAUAUACAUAUACAUAUACACACAACAAAGCUUGCAAGAAUAGGUCUUCUAGCAAGUCCAAGGUGGAUCUAGCUGGUCUGAAGAAUAGGUCUUCUUGAAAUAUUUGUGCUGUCAACAACCUUGAACCACUGGCUCCCAGGAUCACACGUAUCAUCUCUACCCAAGCACUUGCAGGCAUCUGUGACAAUGGUGCUGCUGGAGUCUACAUCCAAGCAAACCGUGGUGCUAUCCCCCAGCUUAGUUGACAGGUACAUCUUUGAAUCUGAAAUGAUAUCCCAAUUUGACCCAGGUUUAGUGCAUAUUAUACUGAGUUUUGCAGGCUUCCCUAGCUCAACUGCUUGAAGGCAGAAGUAUGACCCCUUCACUAUCAACAACUUUUGGGGGGUGUAGCCCCAGGCGUCUGACUUAGUGCAGGGACCUAGCUUUAAUGGUUCAGUCCAUGACUCCCACAGAAUGCAAAGACCAGUCGGAGGAUGGAGGAUUAUUUUAUGUGGUCUGACUCGGGAUACAUCUGGCCCUGCAUCUCACAUGAAAGCACAAAAAAAUUAGAUAUGAAUAAUUAAGUAAAUUUGCCUUAUUUGUCUUAGCAACCAUACCUUGCAAAGGAGAUUGGAGGGCUGAAAUCCUCUGGAAGACGCUUGAGUUCCAAUUCAUUAACCCAUUAGUCUCUUCCACUGUCCAUAAUGCCCAAUCGAAGUCCAGUUCAGCUGCCAGGCCAAAGAAGCAAUUUAAGUUCCUGUUGUCAUCCACCCCAAGCUCACUCACAAACAUUAAUGGCCACCCUUGCUGUAGCAGAACCCCCCCUCUCCUCAUUAUGCUGUCCACCACUCUCCCGCACACCUUGUUGGGGUUGCUGGUUUCCCCAGCCCUCCCAGCCCGCAAUCCAUCCCAAUGCAUCUCCAACACUAAUUUCCCUGUGAAUGUCAAUUCCAGCUGUUGAUUGAGGAGGAAAGAUAGGUCUGUACCAUCACUCAAGCCAGAGAUUAUGACCAGAACAUCUGGGUUGGCUGAGUGCACUGCUUCAGCUCCUUUCUGCAUGUACCUGGUCCAUUCAUGAAUAGCUUUAUAACAAGACCAAUUCCUACAAAUACGAUAAUUAAUAGUAUGAAAUUAUAACAAACCCCUCCCUUCCUUGUCAAUAUAGAUAUUGUCAAUUGGGAAACUUUACAAUGCAUUUAUAAGGUUAAGAAACUUUACAAUGCAUUUAUAAGGUUAAGAAGAGCCCAUAAAUAUAUAGUAUCAGGGGUUUUUGCCAAUUUGAUCCACAAUCCGUAGAGACACGAUAAGGAUUUUGUGUCUGGAUAGGGUGAUUGUAAUAUCAUAGGCCAAAAGUUCUUAACACUAUAUAUGACACGUUUUAAAGCCAUCCAUCGAGUCUAAAGAAAACAAUAUCUACAAGAUUGGGCUCACCUGUACCAGUCCUUCACAUUCUGUUUGGGGCAUCGGAGCUCAUUCCUCAAGCUCAUGCCCACCACGUUAGGCACACCACUGAACACGGUGGCCAUCCGGGUAAGGCCCUUGACCCACAAGUCUGGGUUGAAGUACUGGUCGCCAAAGAUGUCGUUGCUAUGGAAGCUGGGCUUACUGAAGUGACUGUCUAGUAUGAUCAUCAUAUUGUUGUCCGCAAUGUUAGACACCACCGCCUGCCAUAACAACCUAUUAGAUUAAUACAAACCAGGAGUAGGGUCUGAGCCUUUUUGAUAUUUCCGGUGUUUUAUCAUUAAAUUAUCCGAAAUCUUAUCCUUUCUGAAUACUGUAGCUGUAACAGUGAAGGCGUUUGACCAAAUUCACAAGCCACCUUUUUUAAAAUCAAGAUAAUCAUGAACCAUGUGAUAGCGUAAGAACCAAGGAACCAUGUGAUAGCUUAAGAACCAAGGAACCAUGCCCUAAUCAAAAUUUAAUCUCUAAAUCAUGGUGGGAAAGUGAUUAAAAACCAAAAGAAAAGCAGAUCAGUUUUAGGCAAACAAAAUAGAUUCAUUCAAUUUUCCUGAUACUUAAUGGAUUUGAGGCUUGGAGCCCCUUCAACUGAUGCCUAGACAGAAUCAAAUGAACUACCCACCUGGUAAGCGCUUGUGAGAGGAAGAUCAAGCAUGGAAGGGUUAUUGGCUUGGAAUCCAGCAAGGGAUUCAAGCAAGCCAAGCCUCUGAAAGGACUGUCUAACAGUGAGGGAGGCCAGUGACUGGUCGGUGGCCAAGAAAAGUGGCAGAGCGAGCCUCACACAGUUGAACCCCAAGGACGCAAUCCUCUUGGAGAUGAGGUCAACUGGGUGGUUGCUGAGACCCUCAGCCACCGGUGCUUCCCGAUGAGACGGCCAAUUCACGCAUGCCAGCUUCACCCGGGCGCCAUCUUCGUCUACUAUCCACCUUGAAGUGGUGUGUAGUGGCAGAGCCACCACAGGCUUCAGAGGUAGAAGACAUAAAAUAGAUAGAAGGAAGAAGAAGGAAAAGAAGAACCUCCCCAUCUGGGACUUGUGUUGACUGCUAGUUGGGUAGAUGGAAUAUGAGACAUGGUAUUGUACUUAUAGGGCCCGGAACCCUCGUCUGUCUUUCUUUUUAAAUUCUUUUUUUUUUUCUUCUCCUCGUUUUUUCUCACUCGACCAAACGUAUAUAGUAAACAAUGACUAUAUUUAAACCAUUCCGCUAAAUGAAUCUGUCGGCAAUUUAAUAUUAAGUGAUAUACCAUAUAUUUAAAAAAUGAAAAUAAAAAAUACCCAAUCCUAUGCCGAAACAAAAACCGGAUCUUCAUCAACAAUAUUAAUCCUCACGGUGUAUAUUACUAAGAAGGCCCUUAAAACCAUGGUUUCAAGUUGUCGUAUCUAUCGAUGAAUGUUAUAAAUAUUAUCACAAAAAUAAAUACAAUUAAAUAGAUAAAAAGUUAAUAAAAUAAAUUUUUAUUAUAUUUAACGUUAUUCAAAUAGUGAGCAUGCCUUUGAAACGAUUUAUGCCAAAUAUUUUUUAUUUUCAAAAAUAAAAGAUGAAAAUAAUUGAAAAUAAAAAGGAAUUUGUUUUUGAACUAAUAAAUAUUUUGAAAUUAGAAAAAACUAUUUUCAAGUAUUAGAAAAUAAACAUGUUUUACCUCUAUCUAUUGAUUUUUAUUUUCUAUAUUAAUAUUCAUAUCUUAUUUAUUUUGUAUAAACCCAAAAAUUUAUUAUUUAUGAAUUAUCCGAAUACAUACAAAUAUGUCAAUAUCCAUUUAAAGAGAAAUAGUCUAUAGAUCAUAUAUCCUAAAAACACUUGGAAAAAUAAGAUUUGGUUUGGGUUACUUUAUGCAAGAAUCUUGAUUAGUUAUUUCAUUAAUCAAAUUUUUCACCUCAAAUCAUAAAUGAAACUACAAAUACGAAAAUUACUCUUUUUCACAAUACAAAAAUUGACUCUUGUUUUGGUAGAAAAAAAAAUUAAGAGAGGAGUUUUAUUCCAAAUUAAAAAAUCAAUUUAUUUCUCGUUUUUAUUAAGAGAAAGAGUACAUUUUUUUUUAUUUUUAAAAUGAUAAUUUUUUAGUAAUUUAAAAACCCCUAGAAACUGCUCUUCCAUUUUUAUUUAUUAGGUCACAUCGGGUCAACCCACUUGAACACUUAAAUCCAACUCCAAUAAUACUCAUUUCUCUUCUUAAUCGACACUUUCAUGUCUCUUCUCCAAAAUUGAAGAGUAUAAGAAUGUAAAAACUAAGUUUCAACGAUGAAGAGGCAAACAAAGGAUCCCAACUCUCCUUCUCAAGUUCUUCGAUUUGUGAAUUUUGAUCUUAUCAUUUUUUCCACCUUUUUUUUUUUUUUUUGAUAUCAAUGUUUUCUUCAAAACUCAUCAUCCAAAAAACUCAUUAUUUAUAUGAUACUUAAGUUAUACACGAGUGAUUCACACUGAGAUUACCCAAAUCAACAAGAAAUGAUUCACGAGUGAACGAAACAUUGGGUUUAGACAUCGAUUUUAACGGACACUCAACUACUUAACUAUAGUAAUUAAUGGUCUUAAUUUUAUUUUAUAAAGCUAAUGAAAUAAGAUGUGUAAUAUAAUCUGAUAAACUUCCCACCUUUAUUUAACGUGAUAAUUAUUAAUGAAAUAAUUAACAAUUGUCACAUAUUGACCUAACCCUCUCAUCAAUUUCAAGUUUCAUCUAGGUCUCCAAAGAAAGUAUUCAUAAAGGAGAAUGACAUUAUGAGAUGAAAUCUACUAGCUCCGUCAUAAUCCCAUAAUAAUGCACACACCAAAUUCAUUCAAAUAAGGAUGGGUAUUUUUCUUUUUAUUUAUUUAUUAUUAUUAUUAUUAUUUUGGCAUAUUGUGGGCAUGAAUAGCAUUAUAAUCGGCGUUGGAAACACGCCAAGUUAUAGAAAUGUAACCACGCCAAGUUACAGUACGUGGAACUCAAAUUUUUGCUUGGAAGUUUGGGUUUUGGAAACUUGUAAGGCAAACCACAUCCGCUUGGGUUGUCAUUGCUUUUUGUUUUGUGUCUGCCUUGUCUUAAAUUCUUUUAAGCAAUCAUUAUUUAUAUUGGUAUAAAUAGUAAUAUAAAUAUAGUAUAAUUUAAUUUUUUAAAAAUAAGUAUUUGAUAAUUUAAAUUUCCUUAAUUACUCUAAAAUCAAUAAUCUCUUUCUUUUUCUUUUCCUUUUUUUUUUUUUUUAUUUCAACUCAAUAUUAAAGAAUAAUUUAGGAAAAUACCUUUAAAUUCACUUUAAUUUAGAAAAUUAUUUUUUAAUUAAUUUUAAAUUUAUCCAUUAAAAAAAAUAUACAGCUAAAAAUCGGACCAGAAUGAUCAAUUGAAUUAUAGGUUUUUCUAUUGUAUUUACUCAUUUAAGUGUUUAAAUAGUUAUCGAUAUAUAUAUAUAUAUAUAUAUAUAUAUAUAUAUAUAUAUAUACAACAAAACUUUGAGUGCUUUAGGGAAGUUUGCAAUUUAGGUUCAAACUCAAUUCAAGAGUAUGUUUUAGAAUAUGGGUCUAUUACAUGUUUUAGAAUAUGGAUAGAUUGGAUUGAAUUUGAAUUAAUCAAAAUUGAAAUGGGCCUAUUACAUUUUGGCCCAAGAAUGGCUUAUGAACCACUGUCCUCCAGACCAAUUUGUUACUUGCCACCGAAACUGACCAAAUCUUAACUUAACCAGAAUUGAAAUGGGCUAUUGCACUUUAGCCCAAGAAUGGCUUAUGAACCACUAUCCUCAAGACCUCAACCUCUCAUUCUUCCGAUAUGGGAUCACUUAUAAGAUGUGAAAAGGAGAUAUGCUAGGAAGGAAAUCUCUAGGUCAUAAAAGGAAUAGGUAGUUACUGUUUGUCGCUCAAAGAACCAACCAAGUCUUAACCAAAAUAGAAAUCGCUUAAAGAACCAACCAAGUCUUAACCAAAAUAGAAAUGGGCUAUUUAUUGCACUAUGGCCCAAGAGUGGCUUAUGAACCACUAUCCCCAACCUCUCAUUCUUCCGAUGUGGGAUCGCUUAUAAGAUGUGGGAUCACUCAGAAGAUGUGAAAAAGAGGUAUUUUUGGGAAGGAAACCUCCAAGUCAUAAAAGUAAUAGGUAGUUAUUGUUUGUCACUAACACCUUGGUCCAAGAAUGGUUUUUGAACCACUAUCAUCAAGCUCUCAUUCUUCCCAAUGUGCAUUCUUCCGAUGUGGGAUAGCACAUAAAAGAAGUCAGUAAACCACUAUGCUUCAAGAGAUUUUACUAAAUCUUUUAUAUAAAGUAUUAUAUAUAUACAAUUAUUGAUGUUUUCAAACUUUCAUUAUUUAAAAAAUUUAAAUAAACAUAAAUAUUUACUUAUACAUUUAUUUAUAUUAUCAUUAUUAAAAUAAUAUAAGUUAAAAUUAUAAAAUAACAAAAUAUAUGACUUUUAUUAUAUUAAAAAAAUUAAAUAUUAUAAUAUCUCUUUCAUCUUAAAUAUAUCUUUAUAUUUAAAUAUUAUAUAUGUUAUAUUCAAUAAAAUUAAGUAUAUUAAAUAUAUUUAUAUUUUUUUACCAUAUCAAAUAUAAAAAAUGAAAUAUUAUUAUUUUAAUUAUAUAUAUAUAUAUAUAUAUAUAUAUAUAUAUAAUUUAUAUAAUUAUUUUAAUUUUAUAUAAUAUAUAAAUUAUAAAUUUUUUAUGUUUUGUUCAUAAUUCAACCACCAAUCUGACUAUUGAACUGUUAAUCGAUAACUUUUUAUAUUCAAAAACUGAUCUGAUUUGAAAACAUUAGCAUCGGGAAAACCCAAGUAGCCACAUCAUACGCACCCUUUCAUAUAAAAGUCAUCUUUAAAACAUGUAAAACAAAUUUAAAACAUUUCAAGUUUCAAAACAAAUAUUUGUUUUACAAAACAUCAAAUAGCAAUUUUAAAAUUUUAUUUUUCAUUAUUAUUUUUUAAAUAUCAACCAAACAACCCUAUAUUUCUUAUUUCUAAAAAUAGAAACUUAUUUUCUAUUUUUAGGUUGCAAAAUAUGUUUUCAUUUUUUAUUUUUUUAUGUUUAAGAAGAAAAAGUUAUUUUCGAAUAAAGUUGCCAAAUAGGACUAUAUUUCCUUCUUUCUUUUCCUAGUCGAAAAAAACUUGUUUUCCGAAAUUGUCUCAAUUAUCAUAAAAUUGAAUAAAAAUAUUUUGUAAACAAUCAAAUGGAAAGUAAAGGACAACUUCAUUUUAAAUACUAAAUUUGAAAGUUGUUUACUUCAACACGAUGCAAUAAUAUUGAAAUUGCCUCAAUUAUCAUAAAAUUGAAUAUGUUUUUCCACAAGCUAUGAACCCCAAAUUAUUUUUAUAACUAUUAUCAUUUAUAAAUUUUUUUUUAAAAAAGUGCUAUAAAUAUUAAAAGAUCCCUAGAAACAGGCUUAACAAAGGUUUAGGCCUCAAGUUUGGUAUCAUAUUUAACCACUCUCAACAUUUUAAUUUGUGAUAUAUAUGGUAUUUAAAAAGGUUAAUAAAUAAAAUUGAUCAAUAAAGAUUAAGGUUCUUUUUUGAUAUUUUUUUCAAAUUAAUAAAUUAAAACCUAUUUUUCUCAAAAUAUUUUCUUAUUGUUAAAAGUAUUUUCUUUUCUUUCCCCACCCCUAAAAGCGGUUAGCAAAACUCUCUUCUUUCCUUCUUCAACAAACAUGAAUUCACAUUUAAAACAAAGAUAUAUAAGAGACUUCAUAGCUAAAACAAACACAUGAAAGGAUAAAAUAAUUCCAAAAAAUAAUAUUUUGAGAAUAAUUUUUGAAAACUAUUUUAUAACGUUUGGUAGAAUAAAUAUAUUUUUGAAGAUCGAAAAUAUUUUUAACAUAUUUUCUAUAUUUUUAAUAUAUUUCAAAAAUAACUUAUAUAUGCAAUAUCUUAUUUUUAAUUAUUUUUCAUAUUUACAUAAUUAUUUUUUAAAACUAUUUUUAGAAAACAAUUAAAAACAACUAAAAUAUAUUUUCUAAAUAUACUUUUCUAUUUUUAAAAGUAGAAAACAUUUUUCUGUUUCCUACUAACCAAAUGUAUUUUUCUAAUGUUUUGUUUCAAAGAAUAUAAAAUUAUUUUAAAAAACAAUUACCCAUAAUUUUUGUUUUUUCCUUUUACAUCCCAUUUGAUUUGAACUUACAUAAAGUAUUGAUAUAAAUAUAAAUAUAGCUAUAUAAAUAAGUCAAAAUUUUAUUAUAUUUAUUACUUAAUUAUGAUAUAUCUGAAAAUAUAUGUCCAAAAAGGUAAUUCCAAGAACCGAUCUUGGGAAUGAAUAAUUUUCCAAUAGGUAGGAAUUAUUCACUGUAGAGGACCCGGCUUUAUCCCUCAUCCACUUGUUUUUACUAAAAUCCAAGCAUACAGGCUACAGCCAAUGAGCCAAAGAUCUAUCUCUUUCUCUCCAAAACUCUUACAUCUCCCGCACUUCCAUUUCCUACGGUUCUCCGCGGUUCCUCCAAAUCCUCACUCUCUCCAAUGGCUACUGUUCUCGAUUCCCUCGCCGUUCCUCGUUCCUCUGCUCUUCCUUCCUCUGCUUUCGCUCCGAUUGCCUCCUCGCCAGUCUGCUUUCUCUCCGGCCGUCGGGGAUUGGCGAGGUUGCCGGAGUUCUCAGGUUUGAAGAUCCAGCCGAGUCUCGCCUCUCGUUCUGUGGCUGCGGCGGGUCGGAGUUCGAGAGUAGGUCGCCGUGUUGGAGGAGUCGUGUGCGAGGCUCAGGAGACUGCUGUUGAAGGUUAGAAUCGGUGUUUCUUUUUGCGAUUGUUUUACCUCUGUUUGGUUGCUGAGAAAGGAGAGGAAAUGAAGGAGAGUAGAAAAUCCUGUUUUGUAAUCUUUCUUGGUUUUGAGGUAGGGGAAAUUUGUUAUGGAUUGAGUAGAAAUGAUUGAAAUUGGCGGUAGUGGAGUUUUUUCGGUAAUUUUGGGGAAAUUUAGAGAGUUGAAAAUUUCAAUCUUUUAUUCCCAAGUAACCUCAGCAACCAAACAGAGGAUUUUAUUUGUUUUCAUUCAUUAUUUGUUCUCGUUAAGUUCUUUUGAUUUUUUAUUGAGAUUGUUAGUUUGUGAUACAGUAGUAACUUAUUCAGAUUUGAUUAUGGUAGAAAAGACAAGCAAUUACUUCUGAGACUCACAAAAAGUUGAAACCUUUAUUUGCAGUACUAAAUGAUGAGGUGUAAUUUAAGAUUCUCAGAACCGAAAAUGAAAAAAUAUAUAUAUAUAUACAUGGUACUAUCUUUUUGAGGUUAGGUUGAUGCCUUUUGUUGGUGAGGAUGAGUUGAGUUUGAAUUGACUUUCAAAAUCGAGUUGAGGAGUGUUUGUGGACAACUGGACCUGUACGACUGACAAAUAGCUACAGAUAAAGUAAAAGCAACUUAAGCAAAUAAGCACAACAUGGUCAAUGUAUAUGGAAAAUUUUCGAAGAAGGGAAGAAUCAUUGUCUAUAGCGGAGAAGUUCACUAAUUUGCAAAACAUGCGUAGGAAAAGUCUUCUUGAGUGACAGGCUUGUAGCCAUCUCAAAUGCUACAACUUUCCAAGAACACAUCAUGGACAGGGCCUUACCUGUCGUGGAGGCAUCCAUGUUUUUAUCCUAAUUUAGUGCCCACCAAAACCUCUUUGGAGUGUAGAGGAAAUGAAAAUAAGAAUAGUUGACAGACUUGGCCUCAUGUUUCUUCUUCAACCAUUACACUCUUUGUUCAGAAAUCACCAUCUUGUUGUUUAGAGAAAGCUUCUGUCUGAUUCAGAUAUCUCUUCAAUGUGAUAAAAAGGACAUGUGCCCUCAGAUUCCCAAAAUUUCUUCAAGCCUAAAAACCUAUUGUGCCUUGCCCUAUGCCCUUUUUACAUCAAACUAGACCUCAGCAUUUGAAACAAGACUGUUUUUGUCACUAACUGACCCUGUUCCUGGAACUUUCUGCUCUUUUAUAGUUUGUACCACCAGGACAUGCAUCACAUUCCAGGUGGGUGUUAUUUCAACAGAAAAGAUCCUUUUGGAUCAGGAACUGUCGUGUUCUCACUAUCACGGGUUUGUUUGUUCACUCCGAGGUACUCAUGUUGUGUUAGCGUGUACACAGAAGUUCGUACACGAACACAUUUAUCCACAUCACUUGUCCCCCUGUUCCGGCUGAUGCUUUUGCGUAGCUUCAGCCAGGAAAAACUAAAUUCAUAGUGGCACUUCAUUGGGCCACAUGUCACACGCCACUCGUUGCUUUAAGUAACCAUUGGUGGCAGGCGUCCCUUCAGUGUCAGAGUGCCUAUUUGCAGGACGACAAGUUCCUUCUGACCAAAGCUUCUAGGGUUUCUUUUUUUCACACUUGCAUUCACCAACAAGUGGGAUUUUCUUUCUCUUCAGUUUGGUUUCUGGUAAGUUUCUAAACCGUUUGUUCUGUUCUUUUCAUUAUUUCCUCUGCGAUUUUGCAUUUCUGGUGUUUUUUUUUUUUUUUUUUUUGUGUUGUGUUGUGAUGGAGCGUUUCUGCCCUUGUGUUUGUGUCGUUUUUGAAUUUCUUCAUGUGUUUGUUGGUCUGGAAAUCUGUUCCUUACUGUCUACCCUAGGCAACUCCUCUUUAUAUUUUGUAAUUGUUCCUGUUGGCAGUUUUCUGGAGUUCUGUUCUUGGAAAGUGAUGUUUCUUUAAUGUAGACAAACUCAUCUUCCAUGAAGCUUUGAAUUUUCAUCUACUUAGGGUUUCACAUCUCCUUCAAUUUUUUCCAAAGCUUCCUCUUUAUUCUAAAUGUCUCAGACUAACACGGACUGUUCGUCUGGUUCUGCCUGGUCGGAGGGGAAUGCAAUGGAGCCUAUUGGGGAUCACGAUGAAUCCUCAGGUAUGGGAACGAGUUCAUGUAGCCUGAGUAGGGAGUUUUUGAAUCAUGACGUGACCCUUCUUGAGAUGCAGGAGAUUGACUUUCGUCAAACCUACCUUAUCCCCGAGGAUGUGGGGGUUCGUUUUCCCAGGAAUAUUGAUGACGUGCAAGAUAAUUCUCACCUUUGGGAAAAAUCCAACAUCAUAUUUUGGCCUCGACAACAUUUUGAUGUGGGUCUUUGUCUUCCCUUGCCAUCAUUGGUACACCAAUUUCUAUAUUACACCCAAAUCCAUCUUGUCCAUGUUCAUUCCAAUAUUAUAGGCAUACUUAUGGGUGUUUCCGUCCUGAACUUCCAAUACAACCUUGAUCUUGGCUUAGAGGAAGUUUUCUUUAUUUAUGCAUUAAAAUCAAAUCCUCAUGAAAAAUUCUUCUUUUCCGCCGACAUGCAAUCCCUCUAGUUAGUAGUCAAGCUUCCGACUACCAUCAAAGGAGCCCCCUAAGGACAUGUCAUUUUGUCUAAAGACUAGGGAUGUAAUCCAGGGUCCUUUACUCGAUCCUUUCCUUUGGAUCACUCCCUUCAUAAGUCGAGUAUGCACGGUUAGAUUCCUUUCCUUUCCAUUUGACAAUUUUAUUUUUUGUAGUGCUUCAUGUUGAUGAAACACUAUUAUGUUCGUUUAAUAGGUUCAACUGAAUGAGGAAGACGAGUUGAAUGGUUCCCUACUAACAAAUUUGAUUGGGUUAAAUUUAUUUUGUGUUUACUUGAUCAUAAGAGGCACUAUGAAUGACUUUUAAAUCUUGUAUGGCUGAAACAACACCUUUCACCAUUCAACACAUUCCUCGGAUUCAGUCUGCUUCCUAUGGCUAUAACUCCUGCCUACACAAGGUGAUUAGUGGGCAACACAAUCUCCCCUAAGGACACAGUUUUUGACCCAUUGAAGCCUCUCAAAAUUCGCCUAAGGGAAUGAAGAACAUCGGUUUUGUACCCCAUCAACAAGAAAGCAGAGAGAUGCAAGAGAUUGACAAAACUUCUCGGGUCAACAAGAAUACAAUUCACAAGGUGCCCUCCCAUUGUCAAGACCAAGACUAGAGCAUCUUCGUGGGGCAUGAUGGCAUUUCUUAGUUCAGUAGGAUCAAAGACUGUCUCUGUGGUGGGAAAUUAGGCCGACUGUGAGAAUGGUAAGGGAGGAGAAGGGCAAAGGCAUUCUGGUUUCAGAUGGCGAGGACGGGGGUGAAGGCUAUGCACGCGCGGGGGGGCGAGUGAGGGGGUUGGUAGCGGGCCCAAGCCUCGAGGUCCGGCUGCAGUCUGAUGAUGGGACGAGGGGGCAGUCCUCGGGGUCGGGUCUGACUGUGGGUUCGGACUCGGGUCUGGCGUCGGGUGGGCCCCAUGAAACGUGCGGGCUGGCGACGCAGUGGGCCCUUGGGCCGCAUGACGCCUUUGGUUCCUCCCCAUCCACGGCCCUCCCUUGCGAAUCUAGGCUGACCCACUUUGGGCUGUCUCCCGACGUUGGGCGGGCCUCGAAGAAGCUGUUAGGAGGGGUUGGUCUGAGGAUUCGAGGCCCGGACUCGCCUCUGAUCUGUAAUGUGGAUGAGGCCCAUGAGCGGGGGGCCCGUUCCUUUAAUGGGGCAGGACCAAGCUCUGAGGGGGGCCUGGACCAGCCCUGGUCGUUUCUAAGGGUGACAAGUGGGUUGUGGAGGCCUUCGGCUGAGGAGCAAAGGCUGGUGGAGAACUCGAUGACAGACAACGCGCUAAUGGAGGAAGCCUUGAGGUAUGGGAUCGCUCCUAAUGUCUAUGGUCCGUUGGUGUGUGUUUCUCCCUCUCCCCCUUCUUGUUUUUCUGGUCGGACUCCUCUGGGGGAGUAUUACGGCCGUUCUGGGGUGGUGUUGGAUGCAUCCCAGAGGGAAGUUUUGGACCGGAGAAUGAUCGAAAGAACGCCUGCAGCAAUGAAGUCUAUGGAUCGCUGGGAGAUGGUGGAAGAUAACAAUGGUGUGAUGGGUGCUAGUGGAUAGGAUCUCUGCAUUGUGGGAGAGAUGGAUCCAGAAAUUAGGGACUGGAGGGAGGCCAGUUGGGAAGAGAGCGAGCUGGCAAGGUUCAGUCAGUUCUUGGGAUUUCCUACAGCGGGGUUAGAGAAGGACAUUCUGGAUUUUAUGGUUAAAAUCAAAAAAAGAAGGGAAAAAGUGCACCGCAAGUCUCUCUUGGAAAAUUCGAAAUUUGAGAGGGAAUUGAAGAGGCUUGAGUGUUCCAUCAACUAUGACGGGGGAAGGAAGCAGAAAGGCAUUGUGCAAGGAAGGGGGGGUCAGUUUCCAGCUGUUUUAUGAAGAUAAAGCUGGUAAGUUGGAAUGUGCGGGGAGCUAAUGAUAGCUCUAAAAGGAAAGUGAUCAAGGCCAUGAUUAGGAGCCAAAGGGCGGACUUAGUCUGCAUUCAAGAGACGAAGAUUCAGACUAUGACGGAGGGGGUGGUGAGGAGUCUGGGUUCUGGGAGGUUCCUCGAUUGGGGGGCUAUGGGAGCCCAAGGCUCAGCGGGUGGUAUUUUGGUUUGCUGGGAUAAGAGAUCUCUGGAGCUGCUGGAGAUGGAGGUGGGCAAUUAUUCUAUAUCGUGUAGAUUGAAGAAUGUUGAAAACGAAGUGGUUUGGAUUUUUACUGGUGUUUAUGGGCCGUGUAAUAGGAAAGAGAGGGAGAUGUUGUGGGAAGAGUUAGGAGCGAUAAGGGGAAUUUGGGAUGAGCCUUGGUGCAUAGGAGGGGACUUCAAUGUUACUUUAUCUCAAAGGGAUAGGAGCAGACAGGGUAGCCUUAAUGGAGCAAUGCGUAGGUUUGCUCAGGUGGUGGAUGACCUUGCCCUUAUUGAUCUCCCCUUGCAGGGGGGUGUGUACUCUUGGAGUGGGGGAAGGAAUAACCAGACUUGGGCGAGAUUGGAUCGUUUCCUGGUAUCCCAGGGUUGGUUAGAUAUCUUCAGGGGGGCUGUUCAGUGUAGGCUCCCUAGGCCUACCUCUGACCAUUUCCCUAUUUUGUUGAAGGGGGGCGGGAUGAGCUGGGGACCCUCUCCAUUCAGGUUUGAAAAUAUGUGGCUCAAGGUGGAUGGGUUUAAGGAGCUCCUUCGGGAAUGGUGGCAAGGAGGGGAAAGAGUAGGAAGGGCCAGCUUUAGAAUGGUUGCUAAAAUGAAGGUGAUGAAGGAGAAAAUUAAAGUCUGGAACAAGGAUGUUUUUGGUAGAGUGGAAGUGAAUAAAAGCUUAGCCCUUCAGCAAAUUGAGUUUUGGGACAGGGUGGAAAGUGGUAGGGACCUCUCAGAAAGGGAAACGAAUAUGAAAAACGAAGCUAAGGAGAACUUCAAGAAGUGGGUUCUUUUGGAAGAAGCCCACUGGAGACAAAUGUCUAGGGAGCUAUGGCUUAAAGAAGGGGAUAAGAAUACAGGGUUCUUUCACAAGAUGGCUAGUGCCCAUUAGAGAAAUAACUUUUUGGAUAGAAUUAUAAUAAAUGGCGAGGAAUUGGUGGAGGAGUAGGAGGUGAGGGAGGGGAUUGUUAAGGCUUUUCAGCAUCAGCUAAGGGAGGAACCAGGGUGGAGAGCCGACUUAGAGGGGCUGCAUCUUAAAAGUCUCGACCAUAGUGAAGCUGAAGCUUUGGAGGUUCCCUUUACUGAAGAAGAAAUUUUCGCUGCUCUGAUGGAUAUGAACGGCGAUAAGGCCCCAGGCCCGGACGGGUUCACUGUGGCCUUUUGGCAGGCUUGUUGGGAUUUCGCUAAGGAGGAGAUAGUAGAGCUAUUCAAGGAAUUAUAUGAUCAGAAGUCAUUCGCUAAAAGUCUGAACGCCACUUUCUUGGUCAUCAUCCCAAAAAAAGGUGGGGCUGAGGACCUAGGGGAGUUUAGGCCUAUCAGUCUGUUAGGGGGACUGUACAAGCUUAUGGCCAAAGUGUUGGCCAAUAGGCUGAAAAUGGUGUUAGACAAGGUGGUCUCGGAUGAUUAGAAUGCGUUUGUAAGGGGGAGACAAAUUCUUGACGCCUCUCUUAUAGCUAAUGAGGUGGUUGACUACUGGCAAAAGAGGAAAGAAAAGGGGCUGGUGUGCAAGUUGGAUAUUGAGAAAGCCUACGACAGCAUCAGUUGGAGUUUUCUUAUGAAGGUCUUGAAGAAGAUGGGCUUUGGGUCGCGUUGGAUGGAUUGGAUGUGGUGGUGUUUCUCAAGGGCAAAAUUUUCUGUCCUUAUUAAUGGGGCUCCAGCAGGCUUCUUCUCCAGUUCCAAGGGCCUGCGCCAAGGAGACCCAAUUUCUCCUUAUCUUUUUAUUUUGGGCAUGGAGGUGCUGAGUGCACUCAUAAGGCGGGCAGUGCAGGGGAACUUCAUUUCCGGUUGUAGGCUUAGAGGCAGAGGGGAUGCGGAGAUAAUGGUGUCUCAUCUGCUCUUUGCAGACGACACUAUUAUCUUCUACGAGGCCAGCAAGGAUCAAGUAACUCAUCUUGGAUGGAUUUUGGCGUGGUUUGAAGCGGCUUCUGGGCUAAGGAUCAAUCUGGCCAAGAGUGAGCUGAUACCAGUAGGGGAGAUUGAUAAUGUUGAGGAAAUGGCGGUGGAGUUAGGCUGCAGAAUUGGAAGCUUUCCGGUUAAAUACUUGGGGCUGCCUCUUGGGGCCCGGCACAAGGCCUUGCCCAUGUGGGAUGGGGUGGAGGACAGAAUGAGGAGAAGACUUGCCCGUUGGAAAAGACAAUACUUGUCGAAGGGCGGGAGAAUCACCCUGAUUAAAAGUACCCUAGCUAGCAUUCCUAUUUAUCAAAUGUCCAUCUUUAGAGUGCCUAAGUUUGUGGUUAAAAGGCUGGAGAAACUUCAAAGAGACUUUCUUUGGGGAGGGGGAAACACGGGUAGGAAAAUCCAUUUAGUCAAUUGGAAGGUGGUGUGUACUCAAAAGGAAAAGGGGGGUCUUGGCAUAAGGAGGAUGGGGCCUUUGAACAAGGCCUUAUUGGGCAAGUGGAUUUGGAGAUUUGCUGUAGAGAAGGAGGUCUUGUGGAAGAAGGUAAUUGGGGUGAAGCAUGGGUUGGAGGACGGGGGCUGGAAAUCUAAGGAAGCCCGGGGGCCUAUUGGAGUGGGAGUGUGGAAGGAGAUUUUAAAGGAAAUGGGCUGGUGCUGGAACAACAUGAAGUUCAAGGUGGGGAGGGGGAAUAAGAUUAUGUUCUGGACUGAUCACUGGUGCGGAAAUGAAGCGCUGUCCCAAGCGUUUCCCCAGAUUUUCGCCUUGGCAGCAUGCAGAAAUGCAUCGGUGGAUGAGGUGUGGGACCCGAGGCUUGGCCAAGGAGGGUGGAAUCUCAGUUUGGUUAGAGAUUCUAACGAUUGGGAGCUGGGGCUGAUAGAGGAUCUGCUUUUUUUGCUAAGGGACAUCAGAGUAACCCCUGAGGAGGACUCAGUGCUUUGGAAAGGGGGGGAUACUGAUAAUUUUCGGAUUCGGGGGGCUUACAAUCUGUUGGCAGCCCCUAAUCCUCUUGUUUUUCCGGGAAAAAAUAUUUGGGUGGAUAUGGUCCCUUCCAAAGUGGCUUUCUUUGCGUGGGAGGCUACUUGGGAAAAAAUCCUCACAUUGGAUAGGCUGCAAGUGCAUGGGUGGCAGCUUCCAAAUUGUUGCUUUUUGUGUGGUUGUGAAGAGGAAAAUGUAAAUCACAUUCUUUUACACUGUACAGUGGUUAGGACCCUUUGGGAAAUCGCCUUUGCCUUAUUCGGGGUCCAGUGGGUGCUUCCAGAGAGGGUCAAAGAGGCGUUGUUUUGUUGGCAGGGUUCUUUUGUGGGUAAAAAAAGGAAGAAAAUAUGGAAGUCCAUUCCGUUAUGUAUUUUUUGGACGGUGUGGAAGCAAAGAAAUAGGUUAGCUUUUAGAGGGGUUUUUUUGGCUAUUUAGUCUCUCAAUAACUCUUUUGUAUGUAAUCUGUGGAGUUGGGCUAAGUUGUAUAGGGGAGAGGAGUCCUCUUCACUUCUAGGCUUCUUGGAGUGGGUAGCGGUCCCUUAAGGGCUGGUGAGGUGUUCUUGGUUUUGUUUUUUUGGCCUUGGGGGCUGCUUUGUAUACCUUUUGUAUGCGGUGCAGCCUUUUGGCCUUCUUUAAUAUAGUUUCUGCUUUUGCCUAUAAAAAAAAAGACUAUUGGGCCAUCUAUCGGUUUAGCAUUGUUGGCGGUGAAGGUAUAUUGAACGCUAGCUAUCAUCAAAUGGGGGAUAACUUCUUGAACAUCCCGUCUUGCUUGUGAUUUAGAUUUCCGUCAACUGCUGGUUGUGCCUCCAUGUAUGACAUUGAUAACGGGUUGAUUUUUAGGUUGAGUGGAUUGCAUGCCAAAAGGUGAUUCAUGAUCUUGUCUUGGAUUUGUUGUUUUCACAUACUGGUUGAACUUCCCUACAUGGACUAAAUUUUCCACUAGCUUUUUAAAAUGUCGACACUCAUCAAUCACAUGACCAUGCUCGUAGUAAUACUUAUAGAACUGAUUCGAUCACGCUGCUCUAGGUCACUCCGCAUUGGUUGUGGCCAAGCAAAUCCUUCCAUUGAUUGGAUCAAUGCGAGCAAUCGUGAAUACGAAAUGGUCAAUGGUGUAUACAGUCAACCUCUCCUAAUACACCUCGAUCAUACUUUGCACGCUAAUGAGGUCUUAAUCAAGAAAUUCCUCUUAUGUUCUCUCUUCGGUUGUGGCGCCCCACAUACCAUCGUCGUGUGCCCAGAGACAUAGUUUGUUGUGAUGCAACACAAAGGUCAUCUUCGAGCAUCGAGUAUUUGUUAGCCCUCUGAAAUAAUUUUGAAACAGUUUGUCUAUAGUGAAGGGUAGAUCCAGAGAUAUAGAGUUAAAGAAAGGUGUGUGCAGGAAUAUAACUUCCUUAAUGGCUUACAUGAUUGUGUCCAUGCUCACCCCGUCUAACUUGAGAAUGGCUCCUCCAAAACGUUCCAUAAAAUUGCAAAUAAACUCCCCUCUAUCCAUCUUGACAUGAAAUAAACUUGCUACACUUUGUUUUCUUCUUAUUGAGCAUAAAUAGUGAGUGGUGAAGGUUUCCGAUUGUCCUUUGAACGAACCAAUCGAGUUGGCAGGCAAUCGAUGAAACCAAGACAAGGCUGGGUCCUAUAGGCUAGACAGGAACACUUUACAUUAAAGAACAUUAUUAUUGCUUUCAAGAGUCAUUACCUACUAAAAAUGCAUGAGAUGAUCGAAGGGAUCCCCAGAGUUGUCGUACAUAUUGAAUUUGGGCAUGGAAAAGUGUCAUGGCGCAUUUUGGUGCAAGAUAGCAUGCACAAAUAGAGUGGUAGCCAUAUCAUCCAAAAUACAAAAAGUGGUAUUGGUGUUGCUAGUUAGAUGAUUCGGGUUAUCCAACUGAUGCAGGCUGGACGCGCGAGUUUUAGACGAAGUUCGUGUAGCAUUAACGUAUAUGGGAUCGAUGCUCGAAUUUGAACUAUCUUUGACCUCCGUGAUUGGGGGUGGAGGCAAAAACUCAACAACGGGGUCAACCAAUUGAAAAGAUGGUUGUGGGUCAGGAACUGGUGGUGGUAUGGGUGCAUACCAUGGAGUGUGAGUCGUCCUGUUGGAGUGAUGCAGUCGCAAAGAGUAGUUUCUUAAUUUGCUUGUAGUGUUCUUCCUGUUGAUCCUUCAAGUGUUGUUCCAUCAGAGACAAACACUUCUCCAUCGAAGGUUCCUCCUCUUUUCCCUUUUCUUUAGUCAUCCUAGUUUUUCAGGCUUUUUUGCUCUUCGAAUCCCAAAAAACGACGCCAAGUGUUUUUGUCACUAACUAACCCUCUUGUUGGAGCUUUAUGCUCUUUUAUGGUUUAUACCACCAGGACAUGCAUCACAUUCCAAGUGGGUGUUAUUUCAAUAGAAAAGAUCCUUUUGGAUCAGGAAGUGUCAUGUUCUCGCGAACACGAGUCUCUGUGUUCGCAAGGACACAAGUCUCUGUGUUCAUAAGGACACGGGGUUGUUUGUUCACUCCGAGGUACUCAUGUUGUGUUAGCGUGUUAUCCACUUCAAAGACCACAUUCCACAGAGAUGGCCUUAAUCAGAUUCAUUAAUAGAGACUUUAGUAGAAUUUGUAGCCGAGGUUUAAGGUAUGGUGCAGUAAGGAUGGGUAAAUAUUGAUUAUGGAAGAGGUUAAUACCAUGUUGACCACUCAAAACCAUGAUGUUUCCAUGAGGUGGUUAGCUUUUUAUGUAACAAGUUGUCAUCUUAUGUAUCAUUCAUAUUAUCUAAGAAAUCUCUUCAUUUUCUUCCUUAUGCUGGAAUGCAGCAAGGUGUCAUUAAAGCGUCACUUGGCUAUGCUCCUGUAUCUUUUUCCAAUGUUCUUACCUCCUCAUCUCCUUCUUUUGCGGUUAGGUGUGGUGGUGCAAUUGGGGAAAUGAAAAUUUAUAAGGAACCAAAAAUAUACAAAAGAGGAAUAUGAUACCUAAAUCCUCCAACUUUAUCUAGCAGGUGCCCUUUGACAUGACUUGGAUGGGAGUAUGAAACCCUUAUACACUUGCACUUCAGCUGAAAGUUUGGUGAAAUUUCCUGAAAUUUCAUCCAUCAUCCUAAUGACAAACUCCAAUAUUCCCUACAUCAAAAUUGUUCAUGGUCCCAUGCAGAAAGCUUUUUUCAGCCAAUGGAUUCACUUUAUUAGCAGCAUUGUGGAUGCAAGCCAAAGAAUGAACUGAUGUUCCUGGUGGUCAAUAGCCUCUUUAAGUAAGUGAACAGAUCUCUUCUCUCUCACUCGUUAGAAAAUGAAAUUCUAUUGAGUGAAAGAGAAAAAGUGCAAGUGUGGGCAAGAAGUUCUUCAAUUUGUGACACUAUGAAAAAUAAAAGAUAAAGAAAGGCAACAAAACAAAAGAUUUAGUCCCUGAAUAAAUUGGAAGGAGGCUGGAAAUGCCCUAUAAAAUUCCUCAAACAUCAUUGCCUUCUUUUGACCAAACAGCCUCAUCAUUAUGAUGGACACCUACUUAAAACUGAUAUCUAUUUUCUAAGAAAUAUGUUGUAACUCUUGCAUGGAUCAAUAAUCUUUCUAGAGCUCGAUGUAUUAAUAGAUGACUUUAUGAUUGUAGAAGAGUCCCCUUCCACCAUCAACUUCCCCGUCCACUAUCAACUUGACAUGUCCCAAGCACUAGGUUCUCCUAGACCUUCAAUAGAGUGACAGCCUUGACCUCAAUGGCCUUUUGUUUAUCUUUUAGCUUUGAGAAAGGCAACAUAGUUCUCCACAAGUCAUCUAUAUAUGUGCCCCAAACGCAACCAUCAAAAUAAAAUUUAAGUGGUGUAUGGGGCAUUGUUCCUAUUAGAAAUGAGAGAUGAGGAUCUUUAAUCAGCUAUGCACCUUGCAAACCCAAAAGAUGUGUCAAACCAGCACAUUUUUUUACCUCUCUUGACACAGAAAUCUGAAAAGAAACCAUGGAUGUUAUGUUCUUCCAAACCACACUUUGGUUGAGAUUAUUCUAAAAUUUUACGAUUCCUUUCCUGCCAGAUGGUUCAAUCAAGGCUAAAAUCCCCAGACUACAAAAAAUUGCUCUUUCCCCUUUUCCUAAAACCCUUGGAACCAAAAAUAGGCAUAAAAAAAAUAUAUUUGUUGCUAUAGGAAACAAGAAAAUAUUAUUAACUAAAAAGAAAAAAGGACAUGUAUUCCAGGAGAAACCAACUAAUAUCUGAGUCAGCAAACCUCCUAUUCUACUUAUCAGUUGAAACCCUAGACAUGAAUAUUUGAUAUCAAAAGUUUGAGAUCUCUAAGUGGCUGUUUCCCACUCCCACACCUUCCUCGUCUAAUUUUUGCUAGACAGGAACCCUGGUCCUUUGGCUAACUUGAAACAAAGUUUAAGCUUCGUAGAUCAUAUAUGAUGCAUAAAGUGCAAUUCUUUUUUUGUUAAUUUGGUAGGAAUGUUGAUGUAUCAUUGUGUGUGUGUGUGUGUGUAAGAAGUAAAGUUUUUAUGAGUUUUGUUAGAAGCAAGUAGCCUGGAACCUCUAUGCAAGAUUGCAAAUUAACAUUGAGAUUCUUGUGAACACAAAGUAAGUAAGCUGAAAUAUAUUAUUAUUUUUUGAUAGGUAGCUGAAAUAUAUUAUUAUGAUAUCAUUCAAACAAAUAUUAAAUCAUUGAGAACCUUCAAAAAUGAAAAGAAAAAAAAGGGGCAGCAAUUAUUAGAGCUGUCAAUUGAGCAGGUCAGCACUGAGCUCAGCCAGAGGUAUCAGACUCUGGCUCAAGGUCAGUUCAUCCUAAUCCCAGUCUGAGCCUGUGACCUGAGACACUGCUAAUUUAGUUUUAUGACCUGAGACUGAGCUUGAGCUGUCGCUUUAGUAGUUUUGAUGCUAUUGGGCAGAGUGCCAAUUAGUGUUCCCAAGAGACAAAAACCCAAAGUUUGAGGUAAGUGAAGUUCAUUUCUUUUGACUAACAGGCUUUUGGAUGCCCCAGUGAACUACAAAUUGUAUUGAUGUGGGUAUAGAAGGAUUAUUCAGUUUGCAUUCGUAAAUAAAUAUAGAAAAAUAUUUUUAACUAUUAAUGUUGCUAAAGUUUCAACCUUCAAGUAGGGCAAGAAUCACUGCUGCAAGCAAAAGCUAAAGAUUAACCAAGGUUUAUCGAGAAAUCUGUAGAUCUGAUAAGAUAAGAUAUAAUGGGUUCCAUUCUUUAACCAGCAUUGAGAUCUAGCUGAUUUCCAAAUGUUUCAGAAAGAAAAUGAAUGGAAAGCUCUAAUCAAUUGUGCCUAAACUAGAGCCAUGCAAGGAGGUAAAGGCUAGUUUUGAGUGGAGUCAAACUCUUUUGAAAUUUCAGUUGAGGUGGUGAAAGGAAGGGGAGUAGGCAAGGUUUUGGAGAGGGGCUGAGGUUUCUCUAUUGGAUUAGAUUUGGAUAAAGGAGUCUGGUGGCUCUGCCUGAAGGUGUGGAAGAAUGCUGUCUUAAGGUGGUAUGAAAGCUCUUCAGGAAGGUUUUGAAAGAAGGGGGAAGGGGGUGAAAAAAGCUGGAGCACUGCAACAAUGCCACAGGUCAUUUCUUGUCGUGCUCUGUAUUCUCAGUGGAGGAGAAGAGAUUGACCUUGGUGUUUCUAGAAGGUGGGGGGGUAUCCAGGGUUGGGAAUACUCAUGCUAGGAAGCUAAGAAGCAUUAGGGUUGCUUCUAAUCCCUGCAUCACUGCUCUACCUCCAGAGGACAACUCUCCAGCUGUGCUGGGUGGUUCAAUGGUUCCCAAAUAUGGGGAAGUCUUUUUCCGAAGUUGUUAGUGCUUCUCAGGUGAAGGUUGGCAAUGCAGUGUGGAUUGAGGUGGGGGAACAGGAUGUGAAAAAGAAAAAUGGAUGCCCUUCGACUUGGUAUUGUGGUUUGAUGGGAAAGUUUUCCAGUUGGUUUGACUUGGAGGCACACUCAUUUUGUUUAAUUUUCAGUUGACUUCAGAUUUAGAGGAGGCUUCUCAAAGUGAGUGGAGGUUUUCUUAAUGGUAAACCCCUAUUCUUGUAUAGAUGGUCUUUAGAAGUGGGCUGAUUUAGUGAAGGUGCUCUUGCUAGAGAAGCUUCAGUGAUAGUUGUUGGCUUACCAAUGCACUUAUGGGAUAGGAAGCUGUUUCAGACGCGGGGAUGCUUGCAGGGGCUUCAUGGCAGUUGAUGAGGACCUGGUGUUCUGCCAGAGUUUGCAGUGGGCUAGGGUCCCUGUUAAAACUGGCAGUAGAAAGGAGCCAAGUAUGUUGCACAUGGUAGUGGGUUUGUCGUGCUAUGCAAUUCAAUUAUGGUGGGAAAUCCCAAAUUUUGUGGAACAGAUAGUUUCGAGGGCUUGGAUACAGAGAGUUGGAGGUUGAAGAAGGUAGAGAAGUGACAGCACAAGUGGAGGGGAGUGCGGGCAUGGGUGUGGAAUUGAUCAAUGAGGAUGCAGAGUGAGCAGUUGCAAACCCACAGGAGGUAGCUGGUGAGCAGGAUUUUUAAAUUCUCUUGGGCUUGGCAGGGAGCCUUAGUUGGGCUGCAGAACCAGCCCAGUGUUUUGAGGCCCAUAUGGAGAAUCUGGGUCCCUCCUUUUGAUGGCCCUAUUAGUCCCUUUUUAAAUACCAUGGCAGCCUGGAUUGAAAUGAUCAAAUGGAACUAAGCAAGAAGAGAGUAGUCCCAUCUGUGUUUUCUGAAAAUAUAAUGAGUUCCAUGCAAUAAGAAACAAUUAGGAUAUGGUUUCACAGGGGAUUCCUUUGGUUAGGUAGAAAACACAUAAGAAGGUUGAAAUGGGGUUGAAUUGGGUUUUAUUGCGUUCCUGUUUCUGUACUGGAAAUCAAAACAGUACACCUAGGCGUUUUUGCCAUUAUUAUCUGUAUCAUUGUCUUUAUUAAUUUGUUCCUGUGAUCACCAUGGGAUGGCUGUCUUUGUGUUGCAUGUUAGAAGUGGGAGGAGGAGAGGGAGGAAAGGGUGAAGAUAUACAUAAGCUUUUUGAAACAAUUUGGAAAAAUAGAAAAGGUUCAAAUCCAAUCACAUAAAAAAACCCAUUUUAAAGCUCCAAUUCAGCACUAUUACAAAAAUAUCUUAUGUGACUUCAGGCUGGGCCAAGCUCAGGAUGGCUGCACUGCUCCUAACUUAUCAUAGCUGAGCUCCAUCCAAACUUCAAGCUUAAUAAGCAGGCAUUGGACCAGCUUGGUCCAAUUGAUAGUCCUAAGCAAUUAAAAGCCUCUAUAAUGCAAAUAGCAAAUAAUAAUAUCCAGUUCUUGCCUUCUACAAUGAAUAACCAUUAUAAUUGAAUGAUCAUCAUGCAAACAAAUUUGCAUUUAAGACCAUGCUUGUGCUGCUUGCCUUUGUUCUUUCUGUGUUUCAUUAGAACAUUUGACUAAUGAGUUUUGAAUCUGAGUCUUAUCGUGAAUAUGAUUGCCACAUCUCUAGGAAUCCAUGGCUUGCACAUGCUAUUCAUGCUUGAUUUUUCCUUUUGUUUUUUGUCCUCCUUUUUUCAUCGGUCAAAGAAAAUUUGGAUAAGUCUUUUUUGUGGUCGGCUGCUUUCUUAGAAACAAGAUGGCUAAAUACAUUCACCCCCUAUCAUCCAUUAGUUCAAUCAGACUGGCAUACCAUCAUCUUCACUACCAUAUGCACACCUGAAUAUAUCUCUUUACAAAAAUGAAAUCACGCCUCUUUUUGGUUCCCUUACACAGUACCUGCUGUGAUUGAUGCAACCUGGCAGUCACUUGUUCUUGAUGCUGACACCCCCGUUCUGGUUGAAUUCUGGGCUCCAUGGUGCGGUCCCUGCCGCAUGAUCCACCCGGUAAUCAAUGAACUGGCAAAGCAAUACACUGGGAAGCUCAAAUGCUACAAAGUGAACACUGAUGAGAGCCCUUCUAUUGCAACACGGUACGGGAUCAGAAGCAUACCAACUGUCAUCAUCUUCAAGAGCGGCGAGAAGAAAGAAGCAAUUAUUGGUGCUGUUCCCAAAUCCACAUUGACCACCAGCAUCGAGAAAUUCUUAUAGAGGUGGUAAGUUAAAAGAUGCAGCUUUGCGGGAAUUAAGCGGUUUGUAGUAUUUACUUCUUUGAUAUUUAGAUCCUGAUGUUACACUUUCGGUACCGUUGCUUCCUUACAGUAAACUGUCUUAUGUUCUCUUUGUAUAGUUAUUGCUUGUUGCUGUAUUUCCAGUUUCCUUCAGUUAUUCUCUACUUAUAUGUAUCAGUCAUUUGAAUAUCCCUUCGUAACUUGUCCCAUCUUCUCAUCUUAUGAAAAAUGUCUUCCCUGGCAGAUCAAACCCCAUCUGAGUCAAAUUCAAAUUGUUAGAUAAAGGUAUAAAAAAAUUGAAACCAGGAUCGGGAUAGAAAGAAAUGAAGCUUAUUUAUAAAUGAAGGUAAAUAUUAACAAAUAUUAACCAACGGUCUUAUUAUUUAGAAAGGAUUUUAAGCGGAGGUGGAGGCAACAAAUUCGGUUCCGGGGCCCAUACAAGAGAGACUAGUUUUAGGGGGGUAAAUGUGAGAAAAAAAUCAAGUUAUUGGUAAUUUUAAAUUAAUUUAAGUCAUUAAAAUAAUAUUUUUUAUCAAAUGUUUUAAAAUUUUUAUUUUUAAAAAUAAAAAAUGUUUUUAAUAGUUCAACUUGUGAUAUAAAUUAAAUAAGUAUUUUAAUAGUAUUUUUUAUAAUGUGUUAUUUAUUCCAAGUGCUUUUUAAUAAAUCAUUUUUUAAAACUUUCUCAAACAUUCCCUUUGUAGAGAAGAAAGUGCUCUCAAGCAGGGAUGGCAACGAGACGGGUUCGGGACGGAUCGCCUCCAUCCCAAUCCCGUCCCAUUUAUUCAAAACAAUUUUCAUCCUCGUUUUAUUUAAAAAAUUAAACAUGGUGGAGCGGGUGGGUAUGAUAAAUUCUCAUACCCGUCCUGUUUAAUUUUUUUUAUUUUAAUUUUUUUAUUUUAAAAAUUACUUUUAAAAAUUUUAAUUAUAUUAAAAUAAAUAUAUUUUAUAAAUAAUUAAAUUAUUAUAUUUUUUAUAACUUAUUUUAUUAAAAAUAUUUUAUUAUUAUCUAUAUAUUAAAUAGUAAAAUAAAAAUUAAAUUAAAUUAAUUUUAUAUAUAAUCGGGGCGGGAUAGGGCAAUACACAAACCCGCUCUGGAUUUUUAAAAAAAUUCCCAAACCCGUCUCAAAUUUGUUUAUUAAAAUUAAACUUGUCCCAUUAGGGGCGGGACGGGUACCAAAAAAAAAACCCCAUUGCCAUCCCUACUCUCAAAUGCUUUUAAUCUCAAUAUGAUUGCUUUAAAAUGAUGUGACACUAGUGGUUUGUUAAAGAUAAGGAAAAUUCUAGGGUACCUCUUCGGUACCAACAGAAAAGUUUUUCUAAGCCAUUGGAUGUUCAAUAUUACAUUUGGUCAUCCAUUUUAAAUUUGAAAUAAAAAUUCCACUUAACCAGUUAAGGGAAGAACCGGUGGCCUUCUUUCUUCCUCCCUUCUCAACAAUUUUUGGUUUAAAUAAAAUAAAUAUGAGAUAAAAAUAGAAUUGAAAAAAAAUAAAAAUGAUAUAAAAUUUGGAAACAUAUUUAUUAACAAAAAAAAAUCAUCAUCAUCAUAUAUCAUAAUUACAUUAUUUUAUUUUUAACAAAUUAUUAAACAUUUAAAUUCAACAUAAAAAUGAAUAUGGUAAUAUUUUAAUAUGAAAUGAGUAUUUUCAUUAAAAUUCAACAUUUUGAUAAUCAUAUGUAAAACUUAGGUAAUUAGAUCGUCUUAAUUUUUUCCCGUACUCUCCAAAUUUUACAUUUUUUGAAUUUAAGGUUUUUAAAGUUAAAUUAGAAUAAAAUAAAUUACUAAUACUCUUUUGAGUUACUAAUGAUAGUAUUUUCCAAAAUAAAUUUGUAAUUUCAAAAAUUUUAAAACUAAAAAUCAAUAUGAAAAAUGUGAUGAAAGUACCAGACAUGUAUUUAUCACAUUUUUCAUACGGUUCUCAUAUUUUUCGUACCCUAAAUUAUUUAUAUUUUUUAAAUUUCAUAUUUACUUUUUAACUUGAAAUAACAAUAACAUAGUUUAAUAAGAUUAUUUUGAGUUAUUAUUGAUAGAAUUGUUACAAAAGAAAUAAGAAUUUUAAAAUUUUAAAAUUGGAAAUAAUGUAAAUUAUCCUAAAAAAAUUAGAAAAUUAAAACACUAAAAAAUUAGAGAGGAUACGAAAAAUGUGAGAAAAGGUAUGAAGAUUAUGAGAAAUCCUCACAUUCUUCAUACCCUACAUCAUAUUCUCCAUAUCUUGAAAUUUAAAAUUUUUUCGAGUUUUUCCAUUUAAAAAUACAAAUAAUAUUGUUUAUUGAUACAAAUCAAGCUUAGAAAUGAUGAAAACUAUUUUCAAGAAAAUUAAAAAAAUUAAAACACUACGUAAUUGUAAAAUAUUAUAUUUUCAAAGUUUGUACCUUCUUUUACAAAGUUUGUACUUUGUCUUAAAAGUUCGUACCCUCUCUUAAAAAGUUUGUACCCUAUCUUAGAAAGUUCAUAUCCUAUUUUAGAAAGUUCGUACCAUAUUUUAGAAAGUCCAUACCAUCUUUUAGAAAGUUCGUACAAUGUCUUAGAAAGUUCGUACCCUUUUUUACAAAAUUCGUACAAUCUCUUACAAAGUUUUAACCUCUCUUAGAAAGUUCGUAACCUCUCUUAGAAAGUUCGUACCCUAUCUUAAAAAGUCCGUACCCUCUCUUACCAUGUUCGUACAAUCUCUUAGAAAGUUCGUACCAUCUCUUACAAAAUAUUGAUGACAAUUUUAUAACAAAUGACUAAAUGCUUUCAAUUUGAUUAAUAAUAACUCAAAAAAAAAAUUAAAAAAUCUAGAUGUUAUUAAUCAUUACAUAUUUAAAUGUCAUUUACCAUGACAUUUCUACCUACAAUAGUUAUAUGUGAAUGGAAAAAAAAAAAAUCAAAUGUUACCUUUUAACACUUGUAAUCACUUGACAUCCUUUAAUACAUAUAAAACUUCAUCUUCAAAUUUAAUCUAUGAACAAAAAAAAAAAAAAUUAUAUAAAAAUAUUAAUAAUAAUUUGAUAAGAAAAUUUUAUAAUAAACUCAUAAAAAAUUCUAAAAUCGUUAUUUCACAUCACAUUUCUUCCUACAACAAUUAUAUUUGGAUAAAAAAAAUAUCAAAUAUUACCUUUGAUACUUGUAAUCACUUGAAAUCCUUCAUCUUCUUCAUAUAAUACAAAUUUUAAAUUUUCUCUCUCAAAAAGUUUUAAACUUGAUCUUGAAAUUUGAUUCAUCAAAAUACAUCUUACAUAUUUUGUAAUUUGGUAGUUGAAAUUAUUUAAUUUUCAUAUUAAAUUACUAUCCUUUUUUUAUAUAUGAAUAAUGAGAGUAUAAGAGUAGUUGGUAGGAUUUUUUAUAGAUAAAGUUAGAUAAUGUAUUAAAUAACAAAUUAUAUUUGAUAUUUAAUAAUAAAUUAUAAAAAAAUUGUAAUAUUUAAAUAUAUAUGAAAUGUAUGUAAUUAUUUCUCACCAACAAAUCAUCUUUAUAAUUUUAUAAAUUUUUUAAUGAUAUAUAUUUUACACAUGUCAUUUUUUUAUUGGGGUGAAAUGUGGGUAAAUACCCACGAUGAAGAGUGCAACCUAAAGAUAAAAGGCAACACGACAAUGCACGUGGGAGAAAUCAGUUUUGGAUUGGGUCGAAUCUUACACGUAGGAAGUGACGUGGCAGUUAGGGUGAGAUCCUUAUCCUCCUUGUGCACGUCACUUUAAAUCUUGGGACUUUUCUUCACGUAACGACGUCAACCCCACGCGCUCUCUCCCCAAAUGGUGGAUAAAGUCGGAGUUACAGUUUAAAUGAAAAUAUAUAAUACUAUUAAAAAAAUUAAAUUUGUUGAUAAAAAAAUUGACCUAAAAUUAUUUAUAAGAUAUAUUAUAUAAUAUAUAUAUAUAUAUAUAAAUUAUUUUUAAAAUUCUAAAUAUUUUAAUCAUAAAUAUGGUUAAUUAUAAAAAUAUUUUUAUAUUUUUUAAUAGUGAAUAUUGAAAUGUAAUAUAAUUUUUAUUUUAAAUAAUAUAUAUUUUAUUUUAUAAACUAAAUAUAUAACAUAACAUAUUUCAAAUCAAAUAUGGUUUUAUAGUAUGUUUGAUUCCUAAAAAAUUGUUUUUUCAUAUUUGGUUUUACUAUAAAAAAAUAUAAAAAAUAAAAUAUAAUUAAAAAUUAUCAAAAAAUUAUAUAUUUUAAAAUUAUUUAAUAUUUAUAUAAUGAAGUCUAAUAAGUGAAAUAAAUUUAAAAAAUAUAUAAAAAUAAUUUAUUAAGUUUAAAUCUAUUUUUUAUUUUCUUGCACUUUUUCCUUAUUUUUAUUUUUCCUUUAAAUUUUUUUUGAACCAAACAUAUUCUUAAGUUUUUUCUAAUUCACGUUAUUAUUAUAAGUGAAUACCCGAAAAAGAACUAUUACUUAUUUAUUUUCUCUAAAACAAUUAUUAUAAAAAUGAUAUUAAUAAUAAAUGUAGUUUAAGCUCUGAAAAGGCUCAAUUUAUGCGAGUAUCAUAACUUUCAUCGUUAUAAUAUUCAUUUAUUUUUAUUUUUUUUGUCUUCAAUGCAUUUUCUAUUUUAAUUUUAUAAAAUAUAAAACAAAUUCCACCUACCAAGUGCAUGACACGUAAGAUCCACGAAAUUUCCUCAGAAAAUAAUUAUUCCAUAAAUUAAUUAAUUAUUUGACCGGCUGGGGCACUUGCCAAGUUGCCAAUAAGCUUGAAAAUCUCCGCAAAUUCCUUUCUAACCCCAAUAAUGUUAAUAAAUAAUAAUUUGGCAAUAGUAAGAGUUGGAAAAUAUUUUUCCUUAGCCAGUAAAAUUUUCUAUGGAUAACUAACUGCUUUAGGUCCACACUUCUUGAACUUUUAUUUUAUUUUAUUUAUUUUUAUUUUUUUAUAGUCCUUGAGGUUUAAGUAUAAAUAUACUAAGUCGUCAUAUUUUUCAAAAUUUCUUGAUUAGCAUCAUAUAAAUUUAUUUUAUAUUUCAUUUAAAAAAAUAUAUAAUUUAAUUUUUAUAAAAUUAUUAAACACUCCUAUUUAAAAUAUUUUUACUAAAAAUCUCUUUAAAAAAUAAUUUUUAUAUACAACAUAAGUUUAUAAGGAUAUUAAUUAGUGAAAUUUAAAAUUAAUGGUGGUCGGGUGUAUUUACAUCAAAUCUUGAUAGGUCUCAAUGAAAUUAACCUAUAACAAUAAUUUAAUAAAUUUUAUUAGAUUUAGAGUUUUGCAAACAUCUUUAAAUAUCGCAAAAAGUAAAAUAGAGAGAAAUUUUAUUAGAAAAAAAAAAAAGGUUGUAUUUGGUUCUAAAAAUUUAAGGAAAAAUGUGAAGAAAAAAAGAAGAGGAAAAGUAAAAGAAAAUAAAAAAUAAGUUUAAACCCAAUAAAAUUUAUUUUUAUUUUUAUAUUUCUUCAAACUUAUUUUAUUUAUUUCCCUAUAUUAUAUAAAGAUUUAAUAAUUUUAAAUCUAUUUUUCUUUCCUUUUGUUUUCCUUUUCUCAUUUUUUUCUUUAAAUUUUUUGGUAACCAAAAAUGGGGUGAAAUUUUUGAAGAAAAGAAAAUUAUUAAUAAAUAUAUUUAUCUCGAAUUUUCUCUACCUUUGUUUAAUAAAGGGAAGAUGGAAAAUCAUAUAAAAAUAAAUAAGAAGGAAAUUAUCAAAAAAGAUUAAAAUAUUCUUCCAUUCUUAAUAAUUUCAUUUUCUUUUUUCUUAAAUGUUGUGUCUUUCUUAAAUUUUUUCUCACAUUUUUUACAACGUUUGAAAUAUUAAAAAAAAUCAUUUUUCCAUGAGAAGUCAAACCUCACGGUAUUGAUCGUCCCCAACAAUUAGUACUGAAACCACACUACCCCAAUAUGGACUAUUCUCUUUGAAAAAAUCAUAAGAAAAAGAUAUUACUAAGUUAAGAACCAAAAUUUUGGUAUUAUAUCCUACAAUUAUUUUAAAAUUUGAGGCAUAUAAAAGAGAAAUUUACAAUAUUACCCCUGUAAUAGCACUUAACAUAAAUUAAUAAUUAACAACUUUACGCGUAAAAAUAUUUUAUGGAAAACAUUAAAAAGCACGUUACGUUGUGCAUUAAUUAAUUACUUAGGUAGAAGGUUCUAGAAGCACAAAUCCAUUUUUUAUUUUAUUUUAUUUGUUAAAUGUCCUGUUACGUGCCAUGUGGGCUGCGUCUUCGGUGGGGGCUGGCUGGGUCAUAUUUUUAUACAUAAGAAGUCAUAUUAAUUUCCACAUGUUGUGUAAUGAGGUGGGCAGAAGAGAUUAGAUAAUUUCGGUCUCCUUCUUCUAUACGCUCAUAUCUUUAUUUUUCUAUUUUGUUGGUUUUAAAUAAAAAAACGAAAUGAAUUUAAUUUAUAAAUUAUAUUCUAUUUAAAUUCCUUUUUCUUUCUUCAAAUAAAAUAAAAUUUAAUUAAAAUAAAUUGGAAAAAAAAAAAAAAAAAGCGACGUAGAAUCGGGGGAGGAAUUAAAAGCGUGAAAUGAAUGACACGUGGCGGAUAAUGAGUGGGUGGAAGUUAGAAAAUGGUCAACAUCAACCAAUAGGAGAAGAGCUUCAGUUUGCCGUUUCAAGACGUAAAACGCGCUCCGCCCCGCUGUCUUUAUAUACAACGCCCUUUUUCAUCGCCGGUCAUCAUCUCUCUCUACUACGUUCGCUUUUCGCCGUGAGGAUUUUGCUACGAAGUAAUCGAUUCCGUGUUCUUCAUCCUUGUUUUGACUCCGGUGCGUUUCUCACACUAGCCAGUAUUAUUUAUUUAAUUUCUUUGGAUUGUGGUGUUUUUUAAGUUUUGUUUGUUUGGAUGUUGGAGAAUGAGAGGGAAUGGAAUCUUUGGGGUAUUUUUUUCCUGCAUUUUCCCUUUCUUUUUUACUUGUAUUUUGUGAAGUCCGAAUGGAGCGUCAUUGUUUUGUUUUUUGUAAUGUUGAAAUGUGGAGAUUUGUUGGAUCUUUCUAUGAGUUUCUGUUUGGAUCUCGGGAAAGGAAAAGGAAAUGCUGAAAAUGGCUUGAGAAAAGGAUCAGAAAGAACGAGAAAAAUAGGAGGAAAAGCUUCUGUUGUCAAGCUAGUUUCUCAAAUUUCUGUUCAUGUCCUUUAGUCUUUUGAGUCUUUUGAUGGUCGAGCCUAAUAAUUACUUUAUUUAAAGAAUUUUUUAGUGUGUUUGAAUCUUUCUUCUGGAAAAAGCUUGAAUUGAAGCGCAGGAAAGAAAUGAUUUUCCCUGGUAAAGUUUAUCUUGGGAUUUGGCUUUCAAUUGGUAUGUAGGGGAAUUAGACUUAACAGUUCUGCCAUUUGGUUUGGACGAGUUUAGCAUUGUGUUCUCUGGGUCCUAAAUGAUGAAAAUCUAGGCUCUGUUUCUGAAAAAUGCUGAAAACAGACAUUAAAGGAACCUUAACAUUUGAAAUUUGAAUCUUAUGUUCCCUCUAUGCUGAAAAAUCUCUCUCUACUUCCAUUUGGAUUUUGUUGAAUUGAAAAGCUUAAGCCAGAAAUUUAAAGCAAAAGAAAUGUCACUGAUCUUUUGGUCUUGUUUCAUCUGCAUCUCUUGGUUUUAAAAUUGUUUUUCCAUUAUUUAUGAACCAUUUCUGGUUCUUUAAUUCAGGCUUUUUUUUCUUUUUUCCAUAUGAAAAAAAGGGAGGAGGUCAUUGCCUUAUUUGUCUUGUUGGGAUGCCAACCCUAGUUUUCCAACUUUUUUUUUUUCCUGUUUUUCUUCCAUAAAAAAUUUGCAAUAUAUAGCGGAGGUGAUCUGGAAUCAAGAAUCAAGGCAGGCAGAUUUGGGGCAAAAACUGCCUAAACCUUGUUGCGGGGCCUUCAGAGAGAAAAUCAUUAUUCUUUAGCUAGCUUGUUUUCUCGUCAUCCGAGGAUUAUUAGGGGGUUCAUUAGAUUUUAUUUUAUUUUUGGAGGAAAUUAACUGCGAUAGAACGUGGCAAUUUUUCUUGUUAGGUUCUCAUAUUGCAGUUUUUAAACACUUGCAGGUGUUUCAAUUUGCCCUCAACUACCCUGGUCGUCUUUGGGUAUUCGGGCAGAAGGUUCUUGUGAAGACUAGUCAUUUCUUCACUAACUACCCUGGUCAUCUUUGGGUAUUCGGGUAGGAAGUUCUUUGUUUUUGACUAGUCAUUUCUUGACUGUUUCUUGUGUAGAGGGUUUCACAUGUAUAGUAAAGCAGAAAGAUACCUAAUACCCACAAAGCUAAUAUCAUGAUUAAAUCGUUAGGUCAGCAAUCUCAAUUCCAGAAUAAAUAUUUUACCAAACUUCUGACCUGAAGAAGUUGAUCUCUCCGCAUUGGUCCAAAAUCUUACAGUAAAAUUAGUUUCCCAUUUUCUGUAUUUGGUGACCCACUUUUACGUUUCUAGAGCCCACAGGGCCCUUGCUUUACUUUUGAAUUUUCUAUUUGAAUUACCAUCAUUCCGGUCUUGACCUUUGAACAAAAAGUAGUUGUUUGUCACAUAUUUCUAGAUCAUGAUAUGGAGGCUUAAGUAAUGUUAUUGAAAACUCAAGCAUUGUUAGGUUGCCAUUGCUAGAAGGUCAAAGAAAUCAAAGCCAAAUUUCAAAACCAUUGAAUUCUGUAAUACCAGUAAUUUUUUUAUUUUAGGUAUGCUUGAAAAUGCUUACCUGGGAAUGGUCACUUGGGCUGCUGGUACUGGUCAAUUCUCUUUUUUUCUUCUGAAGGGUUAGAACAAAAAGAGGAGCGUCAGGCUUCCAACCCAUUUUGCGAUGCCAGUACCUUACCGGUUGUCCUUUAGUGUUCUUAAUGGGGCAGUAAUGAAGGGAGGUGGGGAAGGAAGAGCUAUUGUAGGGACCCGUCAUUGCCUAUUCAAAGGGAAAGAAAAAUAUGUUUUAGGUACCCAUCAUUUGUCUGCAUUUUAGAUAGGCAUUUGUGGAUAGGGGGAAUAUUUUCCUGUUGGAUUUCUUGUUAUUAAUUUGAAGCCGGCCUGGCUGAUUCACAUUUCUCUGUCCUUUUUGUUUACUGAGUCUCUUCCCCUCAUCCAGCAGCGUAUUAUUUGAGAAUUUAUGGUCUUUGUUUCACAUGUUAGUGCCUGUUUAGAUGCUCAGGAAAUCUACUACAUAAACUAAAGGUCCUUUAUCCUUUUUUUUUUUUUACCAUUUCCAUGUGCUAAGAGGACCCUGUUUUGAAACAGAUCGCAUGGCCUUAGAACAGGACUUCCCAGAGCUUGCAGCACAACACGAAUCUGACGGAGAUGUUUCACUCCAGAAAAAAUGGAAAGCCAUCUCAGCUUCAGAAGCUGCCUCGGAAAAUUCUAAUGGCAGUUUUGAUUGCAACAUCUGCUUAGACUCUGCCCAUGACCCCGUCGUCACCCUCUGUGGCCACUUGUACUGCUGGCCCUGCAUAUACAAGUGGCUCCAUGUCCAGAGCACCUCCCCUGUUACAGAGCAGCAGCAGAACUGCCCCGUCUGUAAAGCCAACAUCUCCCACACUUCACUAGUCCCCCUUUACGGCCGUGGCCCAUCCCCAUCUGAAUCAGAAACAAAGAAGCUCCACGUUGGCCCUGCUAUACCCCGCAGGCCGCCAGCUCAUGGGGUGCACACGUUGAUAACUACGACUACUUCAGCCUCUUUGAACUCUCAUCCAAGUCGGCAUCUUCAUCCUAAUCCUUUCCAGUCACAUUCACAAUACUUUCCCCACCCUUAUGGUGGUUAUGCUGCCACUCCAACAUUGACCAGCGUAUUGAAUCCAACUAUUGGGAUGUUUGGAGAGAUGGUUUUCUCUAGGAUGUUUGGGAGCUCAGACACAAGUUUGUUCGCCUAUCCCUAUCCGAAUACUUAUCCUCUGAUGGCCAGUGCCAAUCCUAGGAUGAGAAGGCAGGAAAUGCAGCUAGACAGAUGUCUCAACAGAGUAUCCAUCUUUCUCUUCUGUUGCUUUAUUCUUUGUCUUCUCUCGUUCUGACUUCAUUCUUCCACCCCUCUCACCCUUUGUAAAGAUGUAAAAAAUCGUAAGAUUAAAGUUUGUUUGUCCAAAUUACGGAAUCAAUUAGUCAUGUAUGCUGUAAGAGAUAUUGCAGAAAAAGAACUCUCUUGUGAGUCUUCUUAUUUGUACAUAAGACCCUUUACUUGUGUUGGAAGUGAGGCUUUAUAAACAUCCCUCAUAAGAUCUCUUCUUGUUUCUCAUUUGUUUGCAUCCCUCGUAAGAUUUUGGUAUUAUCUCUAUCCAUGUUCAUUUUGCUUUGGUUUGUUUGGUCAAAAGUUCUUUAUAGGUAAUCACUACUCUUGAGAAAUAAGUAAAAAGUGGUGUAUCCAAAUUCACACUACUUUAUUUUACCUAUUUCACCUUCCUAAACAAGGUUAGGUUAUUUACAUGUUAGAGCAAAGGGUGGAAAUAAUUUUGCAGAAUCUAUGGAAGAAAUUAUUUGAAUAUUUAUAAUUAAAUGUUGUAUAAGCUACACUAAUCUUGAGGGAAAAAAAAAAGAUCAAUUGAAGUGGUAAUUGGUUUGUAUGUGUAAUGGAAAGGAGGGGGUUUGGGGGAGGAGACAAGAGGUUUCAAAUAUGCCUUUUCCUCAGGAGGUCUCUCUAAUGGUUUUCACCAUAGGCCUUUGGUAGUAUUGUUGGAACUUCGUGAAGAAUUAAGGGAUGUGUUUUUCUAGGAAGUUUCACGAGCAGAGUGUUUUAGGAGAAGCUUAAAUCUUGAUUCCUAAGAAGUGGGAAAGCCUAUAUAAACUUCUAGUAGGAUUUUGAGUAAUGAUAUAUUCAAGAAAAUAGUUGGAAGAAUAGUAUCCAAUGCUUAGAAUGCUAUUCUUGAAACUUAUGUUUAAAUUGGUCUCUUUGGUGCCACGCAGACACCAUGUCAUUAAAAAAUAUUUUUUUUUUAUCAUUUUAGUUAAAGCUUCAGUUGACAACUUAGACUUCAUUUUUGAAGUGAAGCCGCAGUUGCCAACUAAGACUUCAUUUUUAAACUGAAGUCUCAAUUGGCAAUUAAGACUUUAUUUUUGAACUAAAGCCGCAUUUGACAAUUGAGGCUUCAUUUUUGAACUGAAGUCGUUGCACAUGAAGACUUUAGUUAUUUUUUUUAAAAUUUAAAUUAAAUAUCUUAAACUAAUAAAUUACACAAUUUUAUAUAUUAUUUAUAUGUUAUAUAAUUUAUUAUUUUAAGAUUAUUAAUUUAUUAAUAAAUAAAAUAUUCAUUUAUAAUAUCUUCUAUUUAUCAAUUUAUGUUUGUUGAAGUAAUACUAGA
rnacentral:lncRNA from 1 species